ACACACAUAAAAUUACCUCAAUAACAUAUAUUUCCUGAAUAUGAUAAGAAUGUAACUUCUUCUUUUUGGGUCAAAAAUGAUAAGAAUGUUUGUUACAUCUCGGACUUAAGACCCUAAUUAACUAAGGGAUGAAGUUUCAUGAAUUGUUUUAAUGGCUGGUGUAGCUCGUGAUUGCGGGAGUAACAAGGCUUCUCAUUCUUUGAAGGGAUGCAAGUGGACGCCAAUCCUAGCAAAUACACCAAAUAUUUAUAUUACUGCAUGUUGAGGAUUAUGAUUGUAUGGUAACUCUACUGCGUGUCGAUGCAUGCAUCAGCUUGAAGAAUUUCUCUUCUUGAUACCUUUUGAUCCAAGUAUGCAAACGAUGAAAAGGAUAUGACGCUUGCCAAAAUUACGGCUGGUCAAAAUUAGGAGCAUGGGCUAACGACUUUAUGAACGAUCAUAAUAUGGGCUGAAUAAAUGCCCACUACUAGCAAAACUAAGCCCACAAAAUAGGUUUUUUGUUUCCUUAAGGACUAAGCCCACUAAAUGCAUACUGAAAUUCCACUGUGUAGGACUAUUCGAAAAUCUAGGAAUCAAAAGUCAUGUCAACUAAAAAACACUCACAAGCAAAUGCCACACGCAACUUGAUAGCAAUGAUAUAUAUAUAUAUAUAUAUUUUUUUUCCGACUGAAUGAUUCCAUUAUAUUAGGCGAAAGUGGAAUGCAUUUUUGAAAUACAACAACGAUAAGAGUCGAAACUCUGUCAGAAAUUAAGUCGGAGAAAGACAACAAUAUCUUCUGAAACCUAAGCCCAAAAGAGAGAAACAAACUGUAAGCAAAAAGUUACAAAAAAGUAAGCAUAAAAAUAACCUAAAAGCUAAAUCUGAAACUCAAAACAUCAUAACCUGCAAUCAAUCCCAUAGUAACGAUUAGCGUCGAGCUGAAACCAAGAAACAUGAGCCCCAAGAAGAACCAACUCAGCGGACAAACUCCAAAAGAAAGGAAAUCCCGAAAAAGAACGAAUAUAAAGGCUCAACAAGCAACAACCCAAUAGAACAGAUAACAAUGAUAUAUAACACGAUAUUCUAGAUUUCUAGAUUUUUUUUGCAUUAGUGCGCAACAUAAUAUUAAACCUAAUCAACAAAAAUAUGCCAAAUUCCUAAAAAUGAUAAGAAUGUCUCUUAAAUCUCGAAGUUAAGACCCUAAUUAACUUCAUUAACGCUUCUUAAUCUAUAAAUAUAUAGUUCUUCAAAAAUCUUUCAACGCAUUAAUUAUUCAAAAAGUAAACACAUGGAAGCCGUGUAGUUCACGCGCCGGUCAAAUCGAAACCGUAGAAAAAAGCAAAGAAAAGAAGACAAAAACGGACUUGACUUAUAGAGAAAGACUUAAACAAUGGCGAAGACGAAGACGAUGAGCAACAACAACAACAACACACUAGUAACAACAGUAGCAUCAGCUUGAAAGAGAGAACUAAAACCUAGAAAUCGAGAGAGAUUGGUGGAAGAUUUUUCACCAGAUUUCAUGGGAGAAGAAGAGAGUCGAAUUGGAGACGAGCUUUCGAUUUUGGUUCUCACGGCGGAGCGACUCCGUGUAGCUGUGGAUGAAGCUGAAUCAUUCAAAACAGAGUGUGGCGAGGUUGGUAAACAAGUAGAUCGGCUUGCUCAAAUGCUUAGAACACUUGUUCGAUUCGUCUCUAGUUCUUCUCAACAAGUUUAUGAUCGGCCGAUUCGUAGAGUUAUCGUCGAUGUUAAGAAGAAUCUCGAGCGUGGUUUUGCUCUUGUUCGUAAGUGUAGGAGACACAAUAUAAUCCGACGAGUUUGUACUAUCAUCAACGCUGCUGAUUUUCGUAAGGUGAUUAAUCUUCUGGAAUCUUCUAAUGGUGAUGUGAAAUGGAUUCUGAGUGUGUUUGAUUCCGACGGAGAUGGAAGUUUUGGUGGUGGAAUCGUGAUUUCGCUUCCUCCGAUUGCUACGAAUGAUCCGAUUUUGCCUUGGGUUUGGUCUUUGGUUGCGUCGAUACAGAUGGGGAAAUUGGUUGAUAAGAUUGAUGCGGCGAAUCAGCUUGGUUCUCUUGCCGGAGAUAAUGAUCGGAAUAAGAAGAUUAUUGUUGAUGAAGGUGGUGUUUCUCCGUUGUUAAGGCUUUUAAAGGAGAGUUCAUCGGCGGAGGGGCAAAUCGCGGCGGCUACUGCGUUAGGGUUGUUGGCUUGUGAUGAAGAUAAGGUUAGGUCUAUUGUUAAUGAACUUGGUGUUCCGAUUAUUGUUCAGGUUCUUGGUGAUUCUUCUGUUAGAGUUCAGAUUAAGGUAGCUACAUUGGUUGCUAGAAUGGCUGAACAUGAUCCUGUUGCUCAAGAUGAGUUUGCUAGGCAGAGUGUGAUUAAGCCAUUAGUUACGUUGCUUUCGCUUGAUGUGUUUGUUGAUGAUAUUCAUUUGAGUAAGCAUAAUAGUAUUCACUCUCUUGUUCAGAUGAACAAAGAGGUUGAGAAAGAUCCGUCUUCGAAGCUUUAUAGGCCGCUUAAGAGUUCUAAGUCGAAUGUGUAUCGUGACAUUGGUGGUAGUGGAAGUAGAACUGGGAAUUUCAAGAAGGAGAGGGAUAAUGAGAAUCCUGAGGUGAAACAUGAGCUUAAGGUCAAUUGUGCGGAAGCUUUGUGGAUGCUUGCUCGAGGAAAUGUAGCGAAUAGUAGGAGGAUUACGGAAACGAAAGGGUUGCUUUCUUUGGCGAAGAUUGUGGAAAAGGAAGUUGGUGAAUUGCAAUAUAAUUGUUUGAUGACUCUGAUGGAGAUAACCGCUGCUGCGGAGUCGAGUGCUGACCUUAGACGGGCAGCAUUCAAGACUAAUUCUCCUGCUGCUAAAGCUGUUAUUGAUCAGAUGUUAUGGAUAAUCAAAGAUGUCGAUAGCCCGAUUUUAAAAAUCCCAGCGAUUCAAUCUAUCGGGUCAUUGGCACGGACAUUCCCGGCAAGAGAAACGAGAAUGAUCAAGCCAUUGGUUGAGAAACUCGGUAGUAGCAACCAAGAAGUGGCUAUAACAGCUGUAAUUUCAUUGCAGAAAUUCGUAUGUCCCGAGAACUUCCUCUGCGCAGAGCACUCGAAGAACAUAAUCGAAUACGGAGCAAUCCCGUUAUUGAUGAAACUAAUAAGGAACGUCGAGCAGCAAAUGCAGUUACAGUGUCUAGCUUUACUCUGCUACCUUUCCGUGAAUGCCAGUAACCACCAACAGUUGGAACAGGCCAAGGUUUUGACGGUGCUCGAAGGUGCAGAACGUUUGGCGGGUCUGCAGAAUAUGGAGUUGAGAGAACUCGUGUCGAAAGCUAUAUAUCAGCUAAGUCUAUACAAUGCAGGAAGUCACAGUCAAAUGCUAUCGUAUGUUGGUCCUUAAAGCAAGAUACAGUUUAUAGUGUGUUGGAUUCAUAUCGUACAGACAGGAAUCUUCAUUGUUAGAUUUACAGAGAAAGAGCAAAAAGCAGAAUCUCUCAUUUUGUGAUCGCUGAUUGAUCAAAUCCUUCAUUGUAUAUGGAACGACACAAAGAUAAUUAGGUGGAAGGGUAAUAAAACUAGCUUUGCUCUCUGUGAUUCGCUAGGCUAUGAAGUAUGAAUGAUGAUUCCAAAAUUCCUGGUUCAUGAUAUAAAUUUUGUAACAUGGUUUUUGAUGCAAAUGUGGGCCUUAUUAUAUCUUAAUUGAGUUGUGUUGUGUGGCCCAGUGGAAUUUUAGUGUUUAGGUUCAUUACAAAAUAUAAAAAACAGAUGCGUCUUGUUUUAGCCGUCACAAAAUUUAGCAAAAUAAAAACUUGAUUUAUGUCAUUAGAUGAUUAUGUCAUCUAGAAUAAUAUAUAAUAUUUUUAAGUAUAAUUACAUUAUAUAUCAGGAAACUAAGUUAGGUUUUAGUAUUUUCAUCGGUGUAAAUCUUGAAACUCCUAAAAUAGUUUGAAAUUUUAAUAUUUCUUUUGAUCCGUCAAAACAUGUAAUGACCAUAACCCCAUCUUUCGUAAAUACAAUGUAUUCUUUGUUUUGAUGAUAAAUUCGUAUAUAUUAUAUAUAUCUUUGUAACUAGUACACAUAGAAAUUCGUGGAACUACAAAUGUUUGUUUAAACAAUCAUUCAAAGACGUUCAAUAUAAUAACCACCAAACUCUUAGUUUUCCUCUAAAUGUUCAUCCAAGUAAUAGAUUUUGAUAUUUAGAAUUUGAAUGUUGAAUUUCAUUGUAGGUUGUUGAGUAAAGAGUAUGUAAGUUUACAAACUCAUUCCAAUACAGUGACAUGUGUCAUCGAAUACAUCUGCAUUAUCAAAUAGCAAGUCAUCUACUUCUAAUAGAUGUUUAGGCAUGACGUUGAUAAAUUCUUGAAUUGAGAGAUAUCGAUCAAGAUAAAAAAUCCGUACUAUAUUUUUGAAUUUAGAUUUAUAAAUUCUUGAUAAAUUAGACUUUUACCAAUUUAAAGAGAUAAUUUUAAAACUUUAUUAUUGUAAAGGAUUUCACAAUGAAAAUUUAGAAAAUAAAAGUUAAAUCAGUGUCACGUAAUAAUAUUUUGGAUACUAUCAAUCUUGUAAUCUCGGUUUAGAAAAAAAACAAAGAUUAAAAAAAGAUAAACGGAUUGAACUCAAUUGUACAAAAUGUGUUCUAGUGAACUUACCCGACACUAAACUUAUAUUUUAUGUAAGUGUGAGCGAUUAAAUGCUACCUGAGAGAUUAUGAAGAUUCUAGUGAUAGGGUUAUUCUUAAAAUGGUGGAGGAUAUGACCGAGAAAAUGACAAGUAUUGGAAGAGCCUGAAUUAGAUAUGGUUUCUUUUAGAAGUAUGGAUAUUGUUGCAUAUUGGAAAAACAAUACAUCCCGUUUUAAAGAAUUAUCAUCAAUGGCGUGUGAUAUUCUUAGCAUUUCGUUCACUAUCGUUGCAUCGGAAUCAGCUUUUAGUAUCGGAAGUCGUGUUCUUAACAAGUAUAGAAGAUGCUUGUUACCAACAAAUGUACAAGCUCUCAUAUGCGCAAGAAACUGAUUUCAUGGAUUUCAAGAAGUUGGUAUAUAUUCUAAUAAGAAUUUUGUUUACAUAAUUGAUUUAUAGUUGGCCUUGCUUGAUUAAUAGUUUUGUUGGAAACUUAAAUGGCUUUGGGAUUGCAUCUUUUAGAUUAAUAGCUCGAUUAUAACAGUUUAACCCACAUCUGAACUCGUUUGCAUGUGGUUGGAUCAUUUGUUUUAGCCUUAGUUAUUACAAUGUCUUUAAAGAAGUGUUUGAAUUGCAGUGAUACUAGUAUUCUUCCUCUCAUGAUCAGUAUGAUAUGUAUAAGAGCUCACAAUGAUUCUUUUAGCUAACUACAUGGUUUUUAUUAUUGUAGGUGAUGAGGUCUAAAUUCAUGAGGAGAAAGGGAACACACAUUGUGAUAAAGUUUCAGUUUGAGUGGCUCUUGGGAAUUGCUGCUUUCAUAUACAAGUAAGUAACAAUUUCUUUGGUUGGUGUUUCAUGAUUGUAUUAUGCGAAGUUAAGCUGUGUGGUGUCAGCUCAUUAGAACAACAAGACACAUGAAUUAGGUAUAGGAUUGACACCAUUUACGUUCAUCAUAAUGUAGGUCUGUGUGAAUAUUGUGAAGAAAAUAUUGACUUCUUAGACCAUGGAUAAUGGGCGAAUUCUUAGACCAUUAUCCAUUAAGGACCAACCAUUGGAACCCAUAAAAAAUAGUGGUCUAAAUAGACAUACCCAUUAGAAUUUGGAAUGACCAAUUAACACUUCUACUUAUACUAUCCAAAUACGUGAAAAUAAUACUCUAGCGACUAGAAAACUUGAUUAGUAUUACAUUUAUUAAUUUUAUAUUUUUUUGGAUAAUAUAAAUUACAUUUUUAUUAGAUUCAAGUUCAUAGGCUCAAACAAAUUGACUAGGAUUCAAACUCGAUCAUAAUGAACUGAAUCAUUUUACAGUAAAUACUCAUAAUUUAUAAUCACUAUACUAAUAGUUUUUUCUAAUCCCCGAGUUGAGGUAUUUUAAUAAUUAAUACAAUUCGAUAAGAUACAUUUUAAAAAAAAACAUUAUGUAAGUAUAUGGUCAUAUAUAUAUAUAUAUAUAUAUAUAUAUAUCAGAAACUAAAUAUAUGAAUAUAUAUAAAAAAGUUUGAUCUUAAUAAAGAAUGCUUUAGGAAUUUCUUCACGAUAUAAUUAUGAUCCAUGUGUCCCACAUAAACAUCCAUGUUGUGGCACUCAAUGUCAAUUAGACAGAUACAUAAGUAGAUGCUUGAUGGAUAAAUUCUAUUAUUAAUUUCCUUUAAAAUCUGAAGAGUAUUCUUUUGCUAAGUUCAUGGAUACGGUAAGUUUCCACAUUUUCAUCAUGUGUUUAGUUUGGAUACGCCAAUUUUGUUCUGUAGUGAUGAUCUUCACAACCAAGGUUUGAAAGCGUUGCUGACAAACAACGUCUAGCUGAAAUUUGAACUAUCUACAAAAUAUGUAAGAUUCUUAUAAUGGACAUCUGUGUUCAGAGGCAGAUCUAUGUUGAAGCAUUACAUAGACAGGUGCCUUACACUAUUACUGAAAGUUUUAUGUUUAUAGCCACAAUUAUUAGAUUAAAUCAUGACAAAAUUGGUCGAAUUCUCAUGAGGACCUUAGGUAAAAUAGAUUUUAACUCACUUCCUAUCUUCUUUCUUCUUAUUCCUUUGUUUUACUUUUUAUAAUUAAUAUUUUUUUACUUUGUAGUUUCUGAAUUUUUUCUCCUGUAUAUUUCUAAGUAAAAAUAGUUAAAUAUUCUUAUCAUUUUAUAAACAAACUUCAAAUUCAAUACAAAAUUACUAAAAAUUAAUAUUUUUCCUCAAUGCUAUAUUAGAUUUUAUUUAUACACCGUUUAUAAAUAUUAAUUAAUGGUGCCCCACGUAGAAAAAUUUCGAGAUCUGCCAUUGUAUGUUGAUCUAAAUUUCUGGGGUGUAUAUGACUAUAUGUAAAGGAACAAACUUUUGUUUUAGUAAAGAGUACAUUUCAUUCUCUGCAUCUUGUGUCAACUUUUGCAUGACUUCAUUUGCUAAGCUUGUUUUGGAAUUAGAGUAUGCAAUAUUAGAGUAGGCUAAUAAUAUUAUCUAAACCUAAAAUUUAGUGGUGUAUUGUCAACUUAAGUUUGUCCUAAACUCAUCACUUUAUAAAUUCACCAAACACCCAACUUUGGGUUUUGUCUUCUUUUGGCAAAAUUAAUACUAUAUUAAACUUUUGGAUUGAGAUAUAAAAGGGGACAAUUAUUCUUUGUGUACUAGAUAAUUAAUUGUUACUUUCUAUUAGUUCCUGUUUGUCUCUCCAUAUAUAAAUAGUUAACUAUUAUUUCGGAAAGUUUUUGUUAUUUUAUUCAUAAUUCUUUGUAUACCUAAUAUACUAAUACCACAUAAAUCAUCGACUGAUCCGCAGUAACACGAAACCAAUGGUACUGGAAACUGGAAACUGGAGACUGGAAACAGUUAGAUUUUACAUAUUUUCUUGACUUAACCGUAAUAACAGAGUAUACAUUUAUUUUCCUAUACCUACAAGGUAUAAAUUUUCUUAAAAUGUAUUGUUGUAUUAAAAUUUAGAUUUAAUACAAUGUUUCCUUGACUAAUUAAGCUAAUUAAGCACAUUUGAAUGAGUUGAACUAGCGAAGUACAUUAAAGAGAUUUAAAUAAUAUUUGGGACCAAUAGUACUAUUAUUAAUUUUUGGAUAAGGUCUUUUUACUUUUAUAAUGUACUACUAGAGUGUAUAACGGUUGCUUAUGAUUGAGUAAACAUUGUAAUUGCUACAGAUCAUUCCCCAUUAACUAAUUUUUAUUAUUAUUACUCAACAAUUCACCACCUUUUCUAUUAUUAUUAUCCAUAACAUAAUUUAUGUCAUAUUAUUAAUUAUCAGCUCUUGGUUUUCUUUUUACUACUAAUAUGUAGCCACCUUUUUUAUAUAAAGAAUUAUCAAUUAACAAUGGACUGAAAGAAUGUAUUUGAAUUUUGAAGCCUAUGAAAAGGCGUUGAGGAAAGAAUCAAGUUUCUCAUUGGUUUUGCAGCUAGUUUUGUAUGUAAAUGUAGAGAAACAGAAUUUACACUAAGAUGUGUUACAUUGUACCUAAGUGUAUGUUUUUUUAAAAACACCUUCCUGUAAAUUUUUAAUAACAAUUUGCCAUGGAAACACAUUAUUUGCAAGAUUUAUGACCCGAGAUCAAGGUGUUUGACACGGAGAGAGGAGCUUUUGUUCUUCACUAGUUUUUUUUUUUUUUUUUGGUUCUUCAUACUAGUUAAUCCACACUUUUAAAGAUAUGUGCAAAUUUUUCUUUGUGGAGGAAAGAAAUUUUGUUGACCUUUUCGUAGAUAAAUGAGUGCCAUGUUAUGAGGCGUAUGGUGCGGUAUUAGAAGUAGGAGUGCAACAAAAUAAAACUUUGGUUGUUGUGAGUUUGUAAUUCAUAUAUGUUUAUGGUACACGUAGGAAAAUUAUAUGAGAGAAUAGAUGUGAAAACUCUCUAGUUUAUAAAUGGGGUUUAAGCACUUAACAAGUGGUUAGGACUUACUUAACAUAAACUAUUUGUUAACUUUUGGAGUUUUGAAGGGUAUUUCUGAAAAUAACACAAGAGAAUAGGUCAUUUAGUAAAACUAUUGCUAUAUAAUACCUUGCAUGUAGCCAUUUCCUUUCACCAUACACCAACAAAAAGAAACCCCAAAAAGAAUCAAAAACAUAACACAAAGUUAUAAGAAAAUAUGAAGACAGUAAAGAGUUUACCUAUUUUAGCUAUGCUACUCGGUGUCAUAAUUGUAGCCGCCGCCAUCUCCACCGUCUCCGUUGAGGGCCGUAAACAUCACGUAAAGAAGAUUAAACCCAAACACCGUCGUCAUUCCAAAAACACUCCUACCGGCUCUCCGGCACCCGCACCUUACCCGUCCACCAACGAGGGCGUUUUCAACAUUUUCUCCUAUGGUGCCAAGGGUGAUGGAGUCUCUGACGACUCAAAGGUACGUCCAUAUAUUUUUAACAUCAACUUGAUGCUUCAAAGAAAAAGAAAUAUUAAUCUUUUAUCAAAAAAUAUCUAAAUUAGUGUCUCAAUUCUUAAUUUACGUUUGCGUUUGAUUUUUCGUUUAUAUUUAGAGUCAAUGUUUUUUUCCAAGUAAACUCAUUACAUAAAUAAUCAUAUUAACCAAAACUGUUUUGGUAAUUGUACACGUAAUUAAUCGCCAAACACAAGUGGAAGAAAACAUUCGUAUGCAUUUGCCGAAUACAUUCUGUCCAAAUAAUUGAUAGUUUAUGAAUUUGAGCUUCUCAUGAAAAUAAAAACACAAUUUGUUUUUGAGGCAUUUGUAAUUGAGUGCGCAGGCAUUGGUCGGAGCGUGGAAGGCAGCUUGUAAAGUGGUCGGAGGGAAAGUGGAGAUUCCGGCAGGGACACAGUUUUUGGUGAAGGCAGUGACACUGCAAGGGCCGUGUAAGGAGGAGACGGUGGUUCAAAUAGAAGGAAUCUUAGUGGCUCCAGAGAAGAUAGGGUCAUGGCCUAAUUCAAGCUUGUUUCAAUGGCUUAACUUCAAAUGGGUCAGUCAUUUGACCAUCCAAGGCUCAGGGACUCUUAACGGUCGUGGCUAUAACUGGUGGAACUUAGACACUUAUCAAACUCAGGUACGGACUUAAUUCAAAAUAUAAUACUAAAAAUCACUAUACUGAAAGUUUAAGAUCUUUGUUAUAAUUAUAAUUGCAAUCAAGAUUUUUUGUGUUAUGUACUUUGAAAGAUUAAUGUUUUGUUAUAUGUUCGUUUGAUAUUUUUUCGAAAUUGUAUUAUGAGAUUUUAAAAUAUUUAUUGGUUUUUCUUUCUUUUUUUCAGACGAGAAAUAAGUAUAUCCCACCAAUGAAACCAACGGUAAGUCUAUUGUUACUAAUUUUUUUUUUUUUAACUACAGAUUCGUAAAAUGUUUAUUGAUUGGCUUAUGUGAAUUAUAAGUAUAGGCACUUCGGUUUUAUUCAAGUAAUAACGUCACGGUCCGUGAUAUAAGCAUCGUGAACAGUCCAUUAUGUCAUUUGAAGUUCGAUGAUUCGGAUGGAGUCAAAGUCAACAACAUUACGAUCUCUUCGCCGGAGAAUAGCCCUAACACCGACGGCAUCCACCUCCAGAACACACGUAACGUCGAGAUUCAACACUCCAACAUCGCUUGUGGUAAUUCAUAUUUUCUUACAAUAAAUUUUCAUUUAUUUUCUUUAUUAAUUAACUAUAUAGUUCCGAUCCAUAGAUCAUUAACAUUUAACACUAAAACGCUUUUCUUAGGAAAAAAGAAAGAUUUUAACCAGAAAUUAUAACAAAGAAAGAAGAAUAUAUUAUUAUUACAUAUAUACAGUUACAAAAUGAAUUUUGACCGUUCCAUUGUUCUAAUUAUGCGCGACUCUAUCAUUCUGCAAUUUGAAAUACAUAAAUUGAUAACUAUAAAUUACAUGUAUAUAAUUGAACAUAGUGGUUGUCACGUUGUAGACGCCAAAGUGAAAUAAAAUGUUAGGACGAAAGAUAAUGUAUUUUUUUCUUUCGUAAAAGUAGUAUUAUAGAAUAAAGGCAUUAAACAAGAAAAGACAUCAUUGGUUUAAUAAAAAACACCAUUUAAUAACGGUAUAACUGUCACCAAACUAACUUUUUAUACAGACAAUAGGCAAGCAUGCAGAAUGAAAAGGCUCUCUUUUCUUUUAUUUAUUGUUAAUCAAUUAAGAAAAGUUACAUGGACCAGAGAUUCUAAAUGUUUAAAUACUAAACAAAAAUCAUAUUAUAAACUUCAAUAAUCAGUAAUAUGUUAUAAACUAUUCAUCUAUUUUGGGCAGGACUUAAUUCUAAAAUUUCUAUUUCAAUCUUUCUUUAAUAAGCAACUUUUUACGUAUAUAUAUAUAUAUAUAUAUAUAUAUAUAUAUAGGAGAUGACUGUGUAUCCAUUCAAACCGGCUCCUCCAAUGUACAUAUUCACCACAUCAAUUGUGGCCCUGGCCAUGGCAUUAGGUAUAUGUAUACAUAAUAAUAAAUUUUCAAUUAAUUUUCAAUCUAUUACUUUUUCAAUUUUUUACUGAUUUUUUUUGUUUGUUUGGUGUAUAUUUGCUUUGGUUUGUGAUCACAGCAUAGGUGGACUAGGGAAAGAUAAGAGUGUGGCAUGUGUUUCUGAUAUCAUUGUAGAGGAUAUCUCUAUACAAAACACUCUUGCUGGUGUUCGAAUCAAGACUUGGCAGGUACAUAUAUAGAUACCACAUCAUACCUUAUAUAAAUAAAUGAUUUUGUGACUUCUGACCCACGUAAAUAUAGAGACCACAUUAUAUGAUAUUAUUGAAAUAUAUAAAACUAAAACUAAAAGAUAGAAAUGAGACCUUAUAUGAAUAGUUGUAAUUUCUGAGAAAACUUAACACGCAAGUCUUUCUACGUAUAGGGGCCUAAUCUGGCUUUAUGUUCAAUUUUUUUUUGUUAUAAUAUAAACUAAUCACGUUUGUGUAUGGUUUAGUUCGGAUUUAUUUUUCGAUGUCCAUUGUAAUUUUUCUUGUGAAUCACGUGUAUAUAUGUAUCCGCAGGGAGGAUUAGGGGUCGUCAAGAACCUAACGUUUUCGAACAUUCAAGUAAAGGACGUGAAGGUACCAAUAGUAAUCGACCAAUAUUACUGCGACAAGUCCAAGUGUAAGAAUCAGACGCGUGCAGUGUCGAUUUCCGGCGUUAAAUACAACAACAUUGUCGGUAGUUUCACGGUGCAACCGGUACGUAUUGCAUGCAGCAACAACGUGCCAUGCAUGGACGUGGAUCUUAUGGAUAUAAGGCUACGACCUUCUGGAGGAAUCAGAGGGUUACAAACUCAUCAGCAACAACAAGCUUUGUGUUGGAACUCAUAUGGCAAAACACAAGGGCCUUUGGUUCCUUCUAGCAUUGGCUAUUGCUUGAGGAAGAGUAAUAUUGGUGGUUAUUAUUCACAAAAAGUUUCUCGGUCCUAUGACAAGAUUUGCCCUUCAUAAAACCUUAAAUAAAAAACUAAUAUCAGUAAUGCUACCGAUUCUAGGUAUCUAUGUUUACUAUAUUUGCUAUUUAAUUUGUGUUUAUUUUGGGAUGUCAUGAUGUAUCCUUUUGCUUCCCCUCUGCAACUUUUUGUGGAUGUGAGAAGGUGGUGGCUUUUGUAUCAGCUUUUUAUUUUGUUCCAUAGUGUUAUGAUGUAUCACCCCAAUCUCAGAAGUUUAAGAUUACUUUCACAUAUUGCUUGUAACAUUUAUUUAAUAUUAAUGUUAUUUUUUAGCUUCGUUUCUAAUUCACCAUCUAAAUUUAGUCCAGUGGAGUUUGGUAUAUAAAUUGAAGGGAACUGAUUUAAUGUCCAAUUCUUUUUUAGGAUUUGUAACAUGCAUCUUGGUUAAGCUUUUUUAAUCGUUUAUUAAUAUGCUAGUUGAUAUCUAAAAAGAAUUAACAAGACUGUAAAUUGAUUAGUGUGCAAGCUUUUCUUUUUAUAAUAGCAAGUUGAUCAUUUAUGAACGAAGAAAAGAAAACUAGAAAAUGCUUCAACAAAAAUAUGAACGUAUGAACUUUUAAUUUCCUUAAAAGCUACAAACAAAAGAGAGUCUUAUAAAUAAUUUCUUAGUGGAGUUCAAACCAACAGCUGAUACUACUUUGCCUUUGGUGGAAAGGCCACAUUCUCUAUAUGAUAAUGCUACUAACUACGAAACCUAACUUUUAACAGUAUAACAAUAAUUAUCCAUCAAUCACAAUAUGGAUUGCGUAUUAGAAAACUUAUAAAAUACAUACUUAUGUGUGAGCAAAUUCUCUCCGUGAGCAAAUUCUUAGUGUCGACUAUUAACAAAUAAAUAAAUAAAUAGUUAUAUACAAAUUUAAUUUGAAUGAUAUUUUUAAUAUUCCGAUCGCUACAAGAAAAGAGUCAUAUUGCAACAUAACUUCGCGAAGUUAAAAUUAGACAGAAUAUUAAACUAAGAAAAUUUAUGACUAUGAAUGUAAAGCUCAUAACUCGACUCGAAUAAUGGGGAGAUAAAUAUUUGAGCAUUUGAAGGUGGAUUAAAUCUACAUAUUUAUGAUUACGAAAGUCAUGAGUAUUGAGUAAUGUGAGAGACAUAGAGUGUCUUCACCGUCCAUUUAGGCUCUCUCUCUUUAAUCAAAAUCUAUGUCGCACGCGUAUGUCAUAUGUAUAUCUUUUUUUUUUUUUUUUCUUUUAAAUCCAGGAAGUUUUGUGCCGAAGCCCGUAAUCCCCUAGGUCCGAAACCACAAUAUGCAAUAUUAGUUUCGUUCCAAACGUCACGCGAACCGGCGAUCUCUAAGUUUCGCCUAGGGUCUUUACCAAUUGAGCUAACGACACUUGGUCAUAUGUAUAUCUUUUAUCAAAAUCAAUAUCUCUUUUCCCUAUUUUCCUUUUUCUUCCCUAUAUAUUCCAAACAUUAUUAUACAUAUAUACUUUUCUACUAUUAAUUAGUUAAAGACUUGGGUACAUAUAGUUUAUAAUUUAGGAGUUCACUUUUGAAACGCAACUUCUUAUAACAUGGAGGAACAUAUAUGAUUAUUUCUUCUAUUCAUAAUGAAGAACUUUUUUUUACUUUCAACACGUAUUAUUGCAAGGAAAUAAAACAUGAAAGAUUCUUAGAGCAUCUCCAAUAGUGGCUAAAUUGGAUUCUCUCAAGUGGUUCUCUGAAAAAAAAUGGUUCAAAAAUAAAUCAAAAUAAUGUAUUAUCAAGAGAGACAGCUCUCUUGAGAGAUUUUUUGAGAAGGAAGAGAGGCGAUAACGUGGCGCAUUCUGAUUGAUCGAGUUUUAGAAGAAAAAAAAGAGAGAAAAAAACUUGUGAAAAAAGUCCAAACAGUUCUUCUUUCUCCGACUCAUUCUCUCUCUCUUUGCCACAACAGGCGAUGGCGAUGGAGAUCGAUUUUCUCCGACGACGAUUGAGGUUACAAUUGAGAAUCUUCUUCUCUGAUCGUUUAGAUUGAUUUUGAAUUUUGUAACUUGUUAUGUAAUUUAGUUUCUCUUUAGAUUUUCUUCGGAUCAUUUUUUAUAAAGAGAUUCAUGAAAUUAGCCUUGAUGCCGUUUUUGUUAAUCUGUCUGAUCAAUGUCUUGAAUUGGAGUCUGAUUUUGCGGUUGAUUGACUCUAAUUUUUGUUUUCGUUUAUUUCCACUGAAUUUGUGGUUAGUGAUUGACUCUUAGUUGUACCUUCUUAUCUUUUGGUUUUUUCUUGUAUGUUAAUAUAGAAAGACUUGAACUUUGAUCAUUUGCUUGAUUACAGGUUGAGAUCAGAUAAUUUAAUUGGAAGAUUUUAAGUUAUGGAUAACAGAGGUCAGAAACGAUGGAGGUUGUGGAAGAGUUACAUGAUGAUAAGAGAGCUUGUAACUCUCAGGAUUUCAGGCUAAAGACUUUUGAUUAUUGAGUACUUGGACGUUUGCUGAGCAGGUACGUUAUACUUUCCACCAAAUGACCUUAUUCUUUACACCUAAAGAACGCAAGUUUUGAUUUCAUACUAACUAUUGAAUUUUCUAGUGUUUGCAAACACUUGAGAAAAUAUCCUGACAUGAGCCGGUAGCCUGCUUGAAUGCUGGAGCAAUUAUGGCAGUGCUUUCGUUUAUUGAUUUCUUCUCAACAAGCAUACAAGUUACUCAUCCCAAAUAAAUAGCCUUGCUAAGACAGAUGGUUUUAACAUCGCAUUUGCUUCAGAGAGUCGCAAUUUCUACUGUGGUCAAUAUAUGUAAGCAGCUUUUUUCUGAGUCUCUCUCGCCUUUCAUGGAUGUUGUUCCAAUAUUAUGCACUCUUCUUCAAUAUGAGGAUAGUUAGGUAAAAUGAUGCUCAACUCUUUUGCUGCUUUUUCUCACUGAACUAAUUUUCUUCAGUAAAUUAUUGAUAGCAUAUAUGUUUCCAUUUGCAGCUGGUUGAGAAUGUGGCUAUUUGCUUGACAAAAAUAGCAGACCAAGUUAGUGAGUGACCGGCAAUGUUGGAUCAAUUAAGGAGAAUAGUAGUGUUUUGAACUUGGAGAUAUUGAAUGAUUUGAUUGCCUUGUUUGGGAAACUUGGUUAAUCCAAUAAUUUUUCUAAAAACCGCAUUAGAGAGAACCUAGCAUUGGACUGGAAAAAAAACUUACAAGCUUUCAUUUCACAAUUUUACAAAAUUUAUAUUAAACAAUUGGUGAGAGCCCCCAUGGAGUUCUCACCAUUGGAGAUGCUCUUAAAGGUCCAAACAUACUCUGGUUUCUGGUCUAAAGAAAUGAUUUACAGUUCUAAAGUUUCUGGUAAUCGAAAAAGUUAUAUAUACACACUAUAAAAGAUUUUGUUUUUUUGUCAAAGAUAAAAUAUUUAUUUUAUUAUUUCAUCAAAUAUCAAAAAAGUUAUAUAUACACACUUUGAUAAAAUAUCAAAGAUAAUUUAUUUUUUUAAAUAUAUAUUUUUGAAACACUUAGUUUGAGUCUUUCCAACCUAUUUAUCUAUACUUGCUUUUUUUUUUAAGGAGUUUUUCACGUGGAAUCUAAGCCCAUAUUGUAUAAUGGGUUUUUCACGUUGAAUCUAAGUCCAAACAAUUUUUUUUUUUUUUUUUUUUUUUGCUAAGCUUGUAAAUAUCAUUAGAAAUGAAAGUGAAGGAAUUACAGAAGCAACACCUAAAGAAGAGUAAUCUUGGAAAAAAAAAGAGUAAAAAACAAGAUUACAAUAAGGCUAAAGUGAGAUACAAUUAUCUAAUCCAAAGGAGCAAGAGCGGACGCCAACGCUUCUUAUGACGUCUUCCGGAAAUGAUGUUGCGGACUUGACGAUCAACGAGCUUGAAGGUUCCAGAGGCAGUGAUCCAAAGGUUGUUGUGAAGGUAGUUAUUACGCUGAUGCCAAAUAUGAUAAGAUACGGCUUGAGAAACCACCUUGCGAAGCAGAGAGGGGGCGGAAGAGGUUGAAUGGCGAGUCCAAGAAAGCAGCUCGGCCCAAGUUAGCAGCUGCCGAUGAGAUGGCGAAAGUCUUCGAAAAACCUGAGUCCAAAUUGACGCAGCAAACUCGCAAGUCAAAAGAAGAUGGUCCCGUGAUUCCGGUAGAGUAGAGCAAAGACAACAACUAGCAUCAGAAAUAACUCCCCAUGAAAGCAGGCGUUGCCUAGUCGGGAGGCGAUUAAGAGUAGUAAGCCACAUGUUGAAAGCAUGUUUUGGGACUGCACCCUUAAACCAAACAGAGCUUGCCCACCGUUUAAUCUCCUCCCUAGGCCUCAGCGAUUCCCAAGUCUUGGAAGAGGAAAGAUCCAAACACUCAGAAUCGUCAACAACCCAAGCAUAGUUAUCCUUCUCAAGGGUUGAGCUUGGAAGGUUAAUAGUGAUCAGAUGAGAGUGGAAGAUUAGAGCAUUGUCUGAUCUUGGAGGCGGGAUAAUCCAACCUAUAUCACCACAAGCAUCACUAACCUUUGAAGCAGCUGGGAUACACAAAGAGGAAGGCCCCGCUUUUCCUAAGAACUUGAUUAAUUGAACACAAGGGGUCCAGUUGUCGUACCAAAAGGAAAUCAUUUGACCAUUUUCAACUCUUGCCUUUAGGAACCUUUCACCAAGAGGUCUUAACCGAAGCAGCGUCCUCCAGGUCCAAGGGUCCCGGGGGCUCUCCUCUAGUUCCCAAAACGACUUAUUUUUAAUAUGGUGAAAUUUAUGUCAAUUCGCCCAAAGCACGUCAUUAUCUGCAAAUAAGGGCCAAAUAAAGCGAAGAUAAAAAGUUUUGUUCCAUGGCGUGAACCUGCGUAAGCCAACACCACCUUCAUUCUUUGGUAAACAGACACCUGACCAUGCAAUCUUUGCUCCCUUACUAGCAUCAAUGCUGCCAGACCACAAAAAUCUAGAACAAAGAGACUCAAUCUUUUUCACGCAGCCAAGAAGAAGAACAAAAGUCGACAUCCAGAAGUUGACAAGACCCGUAAUGACAGAGGUGAUCAGCUGAACCCGACCAGCAAAAGAAAGGCUCUUAACCGCCCAGGAUCUAAACCUUUUAACAAGCUCAUACUCUGAAAUUUUAAGUUUCCUACUCAUCAGCGGGAGCCCAAGAUAACGAAUUGGCAAAGUGCUGAUUGGGAAGCCGUAGUGCGAAAUGGCAAGAGCCUCAACCUCAUCAGUUCCAGCCAGAUACAAAUUUGUCUUAUCUUUGUUCACAUGCAGCCCCGACCAAGAGGCGAAGUCAUCAAGAGCUUCACUGAUCCCAUGUAGAGAGGAGCUUCCCCCAUCGAAAAAAACCAUAACAUCAUCUGCAAACAUUAGGUGAGAGAUUGAGAGAUCAGCGGUUUUAGGAUGGUAGUGGAUAUAACCCGCAUCAAACCUAGCUUUCAGCAAGCUAGAGAACACCUCCAUCGCAAGAACAAAUAAGUACGGCGAUAAAGGAUCACCUUGUCUCAACCCUUUGUUACUUUUAAAAAACCCACUGCUAGAACCAUUAACCAUGACUGAAAAAUAGGGCGUUGAAAUGCACUGAUUGAUCCAGCAAACAAACUUUUCAGGGACUGCGAGAGCACGGAAGGCUGAGAUGAUGAAAUCCCAUCUGACGCUAUCAAACGCUUUCCGAAGAUCCACUUUAAGCAUACCCCGAGAGCUGAUAUUUUUAGUGUUGUAACCAUGCACAAUUUCAGUAGCUAACAAGACGUUUUCCGAAAGUAAACGACCAGGAAGGAACGCAGACUGAGACGGAGAAAUCACCUCAUUUAAAAGCUUCUUUAGCCUAGAAGUCAGCAGCUUAGCUAUCACUUUAUACAAAGUGUUUAAGCAAGAGAUUGGCCUAAAGUCAGUCAUCUUUGAAGAGUUUGUGAUUUUUGGAAUAAGGACCAAAGUUGUUGCGUUCCACUGCUUCAAUAACUGACCUGAACGAAAAAAUUCUUGGACUGCUUCAGUCACCUCUGGACCCACAACAAACCAAACACCUUUAAAGAACUCAGAGGAAUAGCCGUCAGGGCCGCUAGCUUUGUUCCUGGGCAAAGAGAAGAAAGCCUCUUGAAUAUCAAGAUCCGAGAAACUCCUUUCCAAGUCAUUAAUCUGAUCCACAGAACAUCUGAAAGAAAGAAGCAGAUUCAUAUCACUCUGUGCCAAAGAGUUCUCGCCCUCUACACCACAUAGGAGGGAUUCAAAAAAAUUACAGCUAUGCUCCUUUAUGCCCUCCUUUAUGCCCUGCUGGGUCUCAAUCCUUUCACCAAAAUCAUCAAUCAAGAAAUUUAUUGUAUUAAUCGAUUUACGCAUGUCAGCCAUCUUAUGAAAGUAAGCAGUAUUAUUAUCACCCUCAUAUAACCAAGAGAUACUUGACUUCUGGCAGAAAAAACUCUCCUCAGCCUUAGCAAGAAUUUGCCAUUUUCUGGUGGCCUCCAACUCAAGUGUAGCAUGAACAACAGAAGGGUUGGUAAGAGUAAUCCUUUGACGGUGGAGCACAAUAGCAUGGGCCUCAGAGACCCUUUUCUCAAUAUCAGAGUAGUUCUCUCUACUAAAACAACAAAUAGGGAGCUUAAGGUGCUUAAGCUUUUUGGAGACCCUGUACAUCGCAGAACCAGAGACAUUGCAAGAGUACCAAUUCUCACGAAUCAGCUGCAAGAAAUCCGGGUUAUGUAAGAAAUAGUUGAAGAACCGAAAAGGUCGCUUUGCUUUCAAGACCGCUGGAUCUAACACCACCUCACAAGAGCUGUGGUCAGAGAAAUCUGGCUCACCGAAGUUCGCGUAAGCGGAUGGGAAGAGAGUGUUCCAAUGAUCAUUGACCAAAAUUCUAUCUAUCUUUUUUGCCAAAGGUCUAGAGCUGCACUUAUUCCACCAAGUGUAAGAACUACCUUUGUAGACGAGGUCAUACAAAUCAGAAUCAAGCAAGCAACUUCUGAACGCACGAAUCUUCCUGCCAAUAUUUGCAUUGAUAGCACUUUCCGGAUUUAAGAUUUGAUUAAAGUCGCCAAGAACAAUCCACGACCUGCCAACAACAACCGGAGAUAAGGCAAGCUGAACCAACUCAUUCCAAAGCUCUUUUCUGGUACCCUCCUCAUUUGAAGCGUAAACAAUAGACACCACAAACCAAGAAGGAGAAUCAGGAAGAAGAAGCUCACAUGUGAUCAUUUGCAGGGACCUACCAAUAACAACUACCUUCACACUUGGAUCCCACAAAACCCAUAUUUUUCCCAAAACAGAGAAUUCAUAAUUCUCAACAAAAGACCAGCCAGGCAAAAGGUUAGAGAUGAACUUCUUCUCCUUAGGCUGCUUUACAUGUGUCUCAAUGAGACCUCCAAAAAGUGGUUUAUUCAAAAGAAACCAUUUCUUAAAACCGCGGCGGUGACUGGAAAUAUUAAAUCCGCGAACAUUCCAACAAAAGAGCUUAGUACACAUACUUAAGCUUUGGUUUUGAGGCCCUUGCCUCGUAGAUUCCUCUUCUGACGCUUAGACAAAACCUUGAUGAAAGCCUCUUCUUCAGUGUCAGUAGAUAACACGUCAGAGGAAUCAUCCUCAACUGCACAAACUGUGCCUGAACAAAUGCCAACCUCCUCAUUUUCAGUUGCAUUAUCAAUGAUUACAGCAAACUGUCCAACACUUGAAUCUCCUUUCUGGACCUUAUCCAAACCGAGAGAGAUCCCAUUGGUCUGAACUGAAAUAGACCCAAAAACACUAUCUUCAACCUUAAGAGACUUGGACUUAGCCACAUUCUUCACAGACCAAACUAAGCCACCAUCUUCCUUUCCUUUGACAGGGAGCCGAGUUUGAGUCUCUUGACCCAGAGAAGCUUCACAGACCAAACUAAGUCCAAAUAAUAAAAUCAGUAAUUUAUCAAAUUGAACUUUUUUUCUCCAUCUUAUACUUAUUAUUUAUUGUAAAUUAUGAGAAUUAUUAAACAGACGUAUGGGCUUAGGUUCCUUCGGACAGACGAUAUUUCUUUCUCGACACUUCCUUCUUCUUCUCCAUGUUUUUGAUGAACACCUUUAAUGAUCUUUUUUGCGUAGAAUCCUGGCGAACGGCUAUAAUUGUAUAAUCGUUGGAGAUCUCCUAAUAAAUCACAGUAUCUGAGAUUCGAAUUCCAAAUCCCUAGGUGUAUUAAUGAACAUUUGGUCAACCAAACCAAUGUACCACCAAAGGGGCUUACACGAACUUUACUUUUCUUUAGGAAGAAAAAUAAAAGUCAGUUCAAAAAAAUACAUUGUCCGUUUAUAAUGGGCUUUUAACGUUAAAGCCAAGCCCAUAAUGAUACAUGACAGCCCAUUCAUUUUAGUACUCUAAUUUGGGGUGAAUAAUCCGUCCCGCGUUAAAAAACACAGAAUCAAAAUUACUUCAUAUCUUCUUCACGUGAGAGUCACGUGUUCGGUAAAAGUGGUUGAAAGUUGAAACCCAUUGGGGAACAAAAACCUAAAGGAGUCUCAUUUCUGCUGGGUCGAGAAAUCGCUGAUAGAGAGUAGAGAGACACACGCAGGUACGUGAAUCUUCGCGACUUCGAUCUCUUUGUGUAUCAAAUCAAUCCGUUCUUGUUAAAGUUUUCAUUUUUAAUCUUCCAAUUUCAAUCUGGGUCUACUUAAAUCAAUCGAAAUCUCAAUUUCAAGCUGAUUCUUAUAAAGUUUCGAUUUUUCUUGCUGUUUUAGAUUUUGAGCUGCGUGCUCUGUUUUAAGCUUGAAGGAGGAAAAACAUGGCAGACCAAGAAUCAGAUAAGAACAUUGAGAUUUGGAAGAUUAAGAAGCUAAUCAAAGGACUUGAAACCGCAAGAGGUAAUGGAACAAGUAUGAUCUCUCUUAUAAUGCCUCCUAGAGAUCAAGUAGCUCGUGUCACUAAGAUGCUUGCUGAUGAAUACGGAACCGCCUCAAACAUCAAGAGUCGAGUGAAUCGUCAAUCUGUUUUAUCUGCCAUUACUUCUGCUCAACAAAGAUUGAAGCUUUACAACAAAGUUCCUCCGAAUGGUCUUGUUCUCUAUACUGGAACCAUUGUUACUGAUGAUGGUAAAGAGAAGAAAGUGACGAUUGAUUUCGAGCCUUUUAAACCGAUUAAUGCUUCGUUGUAUUUGUGUGACAAUAAGUUCCACACCGAGCCUUUGAAUGAGCUUUUGGAGUCUGAUGAUAAGUUUGGUUUCAUUGUUAUGGAUGGAAAUGGAACUUUGUUUGGUACUUUGAGUGGGAAUACAAGAGAGGUUCUUCAUAAGUUCACUGUCGAUCUUCCGAAAAAGCACGGAAGAGGAGGACAAUCUGCGUUGCGAUUUGCUCGUCUUAGGAUGGAGAAGAGACAUAACUAUGUGAGGAAAACCGCGGAGCUUGCCACUCAGUUUUACAUUAAUCCAGCUACGAGUCAGCCUAAUGUCUCUGGUCUUAUACUUGCUGGUUCAGCGGAUUUUAAGACCGAGCUAAGUCAAUCAGAACUGUUUGAUCCUCGUCUUCAAGCUAAGAUAUUGAAUGUGGUUGAUGUUUCUUACGGAGGAGAGAAUGGUUUCAACCAAGCAAUUGAGCUGUCUGCUGAGAUUCUAUCUAAUGUGAAGUUCAUACAAGAAAAGAAAUUGAUUGGGAAGUACUUUGAGGAGAUUAGUCAAGACACUGGGAAAUAUGUUUUCGGUGUUGAAGAUACUUUAAAGGCUCUGGAAAUGGGUGCUGUUGAGACUCUUAUAGUGUGGGAGAAUCUAGAUAUUAAUAGGUAUGAGUUAAAGAACAACACGACCGGAGAAAUCGUGAUUAAGCAUUUGGGAAAGGAUCAAGAGAACAACCAAAGCAAUUUCCAUGAUGCAGAGACUAAUGCAGAGUUAGAAGUUCAGGAGAAGAUGCCUCUGCUUGAAUGGUUUGCUAACGAAUAUAAACGUUUUGGUUGUACACUUGAGUUUGUGACUAACAAGUCCCAAGAAGGAUCACAAUUUUGCAGAGGCUUUGGCGGUAUUGGUGGAUUGUUGCGGUACCAGCUUGAUAUGAGGACAUUCGAUGAAUUAUCCGAUGGUGAAGUUUAUGAAGACUCAGAUUAAGUAAGAGAAAAUGUGGUUUAAGAUCUGAAGAAGGAUUUGAAGUUUGGGGAAAAAAAGAAAGACUAUGAACUUUUGUUUGAUAUACUUUGUCUCUCUCUAUUAUCUUCUGUUGCCGCUUUUAAGUUUUUCUGAAACAGUUAUGUUAAAAUGUAUGAGAAAUUUGAGCUUCAUUAUACUCUAUUUUGAAGACAUUUCUUAUUGCCUAUUUGAGAAUUAGCUAAACAUUAAUAUUGCCUUAACAGUAAUGUUAACGGUAAUAUAAAGUCUAAUUAGUCUAAGUGAGAAUCAACAUAAAUAGUCUUACCUUAAGUAAAUGUUCUCAAAUUUCAGAAACUGGAAACUAGCCGUUUGAUUAUUGGAAAAGAAAGGAAACGAAAAGGAAUACAAAUAGCUAAAUCUUUGUGUAAGAUUUCACAAUCUCUUCUUUUGUGUUAUUUGUUUAUAUUUGUGUCUGAGAAAAUCUGAGAUGAAUCCAAAAAGAUGUGCAGCUUGCAAGUAUCUGAGAAGAAGAUGUCCAAAAGAUUGCGUAUUCUCACCAUAUUUCCCUCCAAACGAUCCUCAAAAAUUUGCAUGUGUCCACAGAAUCUAUGGUGCUGGAAACGUUUCCAAAAUGCUUCAGGUAUAUAUAUCUAUACACAUCUUUGUGUAUCUUCUUCUAAUAUCCUAUUUAAGAUCACACUUUAUGCAUAUAUAUAAGUAAGUGUAUUCAUGGUUGGAUUUUGGUGAUCUUUUUGACAGCAACUUCCUGAUCAGACAAGAGCUGAAGCAGUGGAAUCUUUGUGCUUUGAAGCAAAAUGCAGAGUAGAUGAUCCUGUUUAUGGUUGUGUUGGCAUUAUUCAUUUACUUAAAACUCAGAUUCAGAAAACUCAGAAUGAAUUAGCCAAAACUCAAGCUGAGAUUGCUGUUGCUCAAACCAAACUUAGCCAAACCCAUAUUUCUGAUUUUAUGUAAUAUCUCUCAGUUUCAACAAUAAAUUCUCCUCUGCAUUUUCGUUUCCGAUUGCUUCUACUUAUAAGAUAGUGAUCUUCUUUAACUUUAACUAUAUCAGACUCAUAAUCAAGAGGCCAUUAGCUAUACUAAAAAAGUGUUUCAUAAAACACAAAUGUAAACAAGUUCGAAUCGAGUUUAUUAUUAUCACAAAUCCAUAACUAAAGGGUGACAAUUAUACAGUCUUGAGUCUCUUGGCCGAUAUUUUGAGAAUCAUAAUGUAAAAAGAUAAAUGAAUCUGUUUACAAAAUACAUGACACUAUUACAAAUCGAAUUUACUAUUUUCCCUGCUUAAGCUCCCAUUCCUUUUACAAGUACAUGACAUUACACUACUUUUGAAGGAGCUUUUCUUGUAUAGUUACAAAGAUGAUCAAUGAAUCUGUUUAAUAGACGAAAAUAUAUAUGUCAAGAGACACUGAACCUUCAAAAUCGGCCUGUAUCCCACUUGGUGAACAUAAUUUGAUGUUGGCUCGGAGUUUCGUUCGUUUCAUUCAUUCCAUCCGUGUAUUCAUUACCAAAUGAAGAAUUGAAGUCUGGAUCAGAAUCCAUGGAUUCAACCAAGUUUGAAGCUUUCUCCACCUCAAGGGCUUGCUCCAACAAUUGGAUCAUACAAGCAUUAUGUUCUCGAAUAGGUGAGAUACCGUAAACUUGGAUCAUCCGAGUAAAGUACCUCAAACCAUCCUUUACAUUUCCAGUAUUCGCACAAGCGGAUAAGACACCAACGAAAGUGAUAGCGUCUGGUUCUACGCUUGCUUCUUCUUCCAUCUCUUCAAACAGAGACAAAGCCUCUUCACCACAUCCAUGUACCCCUAAGCUAGUGAUCAUCGAGUUCCAAGUCGCUAAACUCUUACCCUGCAUCACGUCAAAUACUUUCCUUGCGUCCUGCAAGCUUCCACAUUUGCUAUACAUAUCGAUCAAAGCGGUUCCAAGGAAACAAUCAAGCACAAAACCGUUUUUAUGAGCAUAGUCAUGAACCCAUCUUCCCAUAGACAAGCUUCCUAACUGAGUAGAAGCUUGCAACAAAUUAACAAUCGUAAACUCAUUAGGCUUGACAUCAUCAACCUGCAUUCUCCUAAAGAGCUGAAACGCCUCGUCGGGUCUACGGUUCUUAACGUAAGCCGUAAUCAUUGCAGUCCAUGAAACAACGUUUCUCAUUGGCAUUUGAUUGAAUACAAUCUCUGCAGAAUCUAACUGAGAAUUGGAGACAAGACCAUAAAGCAUAGUAGUCCAUGAAACAAUACUUCUCCCAGGCAUUUUAUCAAACACCUUACGUCCACUAUCUGGUUUCCCACACUUAAAGUAAAGAUCCAUGAGAGUGUUUUGGAAGAAGACAUCAUUAAAAAACCCAGCUUUAAUAGCUAAACCAUGAACUUGGGUACCUAAACGAAUCGACGAAGAAGCGAGACAAGCUUUGAUAACAAAAGGGAAAGUGAAUUUAUCAAACUGGGAUUGAUGAGAGAUCAUCAUAAGGAUAAAGAGAAGAAGAGCUUCACGAGGUUUGUGAUUAACAGAGAGAGAUCUUAUCAUAAGGUUCCAGGUAAAAGUAGAAGGAGAUUGAAGUUGAUUAAAGACGAGAGAAGCGUAUUGGGUUUCUCCGAAGGAAGAAGAAACACUUAUGAGCUGACGAACUAGUAACUGAUCGUUGGUGAGAUUGUGUUUGAUGAUUUUGGUGUGAAUUUGUUUCAAUUGAGAGAAAUUUGAACAAGUUCGGAGAAAGUAAGAAGCUUCGGGAGAUCGGAAUGGUGGAGGAGAGAGGAGGUUUGGUGGUGAAGACGGCGACGGAGCCGCCAUGGAUUAACGAUAAAUCACCAAAUUCUCACAUUCACUCUUUCCUCGAUUGAUCGUGUGUGGAUGAUGAUGAAGCUGCAUAUAAACCGAACUAAACCGAAGUUUGGCUGAUUUGGUUCGGAUUCGGUUUAUUGUGUAGCAAGAGGAAGCAUAACCAGAUUGAUUCGACUAGGAACCACUAAACCAAACGAAAUACAGAAAUUUCGAACCAAACCGGAUCGAUUCUACGUGUAUUAAACGUCGUCGUUUUUGUUAGCUAAAAAGAAGAAAUAGUAAAUAUCCAUUAGAAGAAGAAGACGAAGCAGAGGAAUCUAGGGUUUAUGCUACAUUGAAGCAAAGAUGGUUACGAGCAGCGAUCAAAUCCAAAAUGGUUCUGAAGAGCAAUCAAAAAGAUCAGAGAUUUACACAUACGAAGCACCAUGGCAGAUCUACGCAAUGAACUGGAGCAUUCGUCGAGACAAGAAGUAUCGGCUCGCAAUCACAAGCCUCAUCGAGCAAUAUCCGAAUCGCGUCGAAAUUGUUCAGCUUGAUGAAUCAAAUGGUGAGAUUCGUUCAGAUCCAAAUCUCUGCUUCGAACAUCCUUACCCACCAACGAAAACCAGUUUCAUACCCGAUAAAGAAUGUCAAAGACCCGAUCUUUUAGCUACUUCUAGUGAUUUCCUUCGUUUAUGGCGAAUCUCUGAUGAUGAAUCUCGUGUUGAGCUUAAGUCUUGUCUUAGUAGUGAUAAGAAUAGUGAGUUUAGUGGUCCAAUCACUUCAUUUGAUUGGAAUGAAGCUGAGCCUAGACGAAUUGGUACUUCUAGUAUUGAUACCACUUGUACUAUUUGGGAUAUAGAGCGUGAAGUUGUUGAUACCCAGCUUAUUGCUCAUGAUAAAGAGGUUUAUGACAUUGCUUGGGGUGGUGUUGGUGUCUUUGCCUCUGUCUCAGAGGAUGGUUCCGUUAGAGUGUUUGAUCUCCGUGAUAAGGAGCAUUCGACGAUUAUCUACGAGAGUGGUGAGCCUAGUACUCCUUUGGUGCGACUUAGUUGGAACAAGCAGGAUCCGAGGUAUAUGGCUACUGUUAUCAUGGGCAGUGCUAAAAUUGUUGUGUUGGAUAUUCGGUUUCCGGCUCUUCCUGUCGUGGAGCUUCAGCGACAUCAGGCUAGUGUCAAUGCUAUAGCUUGGGCUCCUCAUAGCUCUUCCCAUAUCUGCUCCGCUGGAGAUGAUUCUCAGGCGUUGAUUUGGGAUAUAUCUUCCAUGGGACAGCAUGUUGAAGGUGGUCUGGAUCCGAUUCUAGCUUACACAGCCGGCGCUGAGGUUGAGCAGCUUCAGUGGUCAUCUUCUCAGCCUGAUUGGGUUGCCAUUGCCUUCUCUAACAAGCUGCAGAUUCUCCGGGUCUGAUUAUGUUUUACAGAUUUCUGUUGGAUACUUGGAUGUAAAAACUCGUUGCUAUUGUUGAUUAAUGAUCUUUUGAUCUCUGACUCUAAGCCUCAUUGAGUUUCCUUUCAUAGUAUGGUCUGUGUAGGAACUAUGUACCUUCAAAAUUGUGAAUAACUAGCUUUAGCAUUGGAUUUGAUUAGACGUAUGGAAGUUAGUUUUGAACAGAGAGCAUGUGACAUAACGGGGAACUUGAAGUAGAUUAUGACUAACACCAGCAUUUAUGUUUCUCUGCCCUCGAGCUGAUGGAGUUGCAGGAUUUUGUCUGCCUCACCAUCGUAUGGAAUGUGUAGCUUUCUAUGGUAGUUGUUAUAAGUUUUGUCUCCAUUGUCCAUAUCACUUUAUGGGUAUGUAGAUUUGUGAAAUUAGGCAUUUGUAACAUCGUACAGAUGAUGUAUUCUUCAUUACUUCAAUACAGGCAUAUAGACUCUCUGUCCAACUUAAAAGGCAUACAAGGUCUGUGGUUUACCAAAAUCAGCUUUACUAAAUCCUUUGGCCAAUAUUCUCUCAGCCAGUCCUAAGAACCUCUGCUCUAAAAAGUCUUAGCUUUGAAAGUCAGACAAAUGGAGAGCAGCCUUAUCCUCCUUUUAUAACCGUGACCACACACACAAAUGAAGAAGCCCAAAUGAAAGGCCCAAAAAUCUAAAAAAUAGGUGAAGGAGGGACUUUGUGAAUAUGUGAUCAUAGAAACAUGAAGAGACAAGAGAGUGGUAAAACCACAACCAUAGAAACAAGUAAGAAAGCUAUCCAGAAUCUAAUCUUAUUUGCCUCCAAGUCAUCAAUUCUUUAUCCUAUAUUACUAGUCUCUGCUUCACCAAUCCUUUUUGCUCUCCUGUCUGCUACAAACCUUAACUUGGAUUCUUUCUGGUCACCAUGGCUUCGGUUACUUUCUCUGUCCCCAAGGUACCUUCCUCCUUCUUCUUCUUCUCUUCUUCAGGUCUCUCUUACACAAGUUAACUAAAUGUUGUGUUUUGUUUUCAGGGUUUCACUGAAUUCUCAGGAUUGCGAAGCUCCUCUGCUUCUCUUCCCUUCGGCAAGAAACUUUCUUCCGAUGAGUUCGUUUCCAUCGUCUCCUUCCAGACUUCUGCAGUGAGUUCUCUGUUCUCCUCCAACAUUAUUUGUAGCUUACGUGUUCUUCCUUAUGAUGAUCAUCAACUAUAUGAAAUGUUUGUACCUAUAUGCAUGUCUAUCGAUAAAUCGGAUGAAUUAUGUUUGCUUCUGUUUCUCGCCGGUUUUGUAAACUAUUUGGAUGGUUGUUCUGUUUGUGUAUCAGAUGGGAAGCAGUGGUGGAUACAGGAAAGGUGUGACUGAGGCCAAGCUUAAGGUGGCCAUUAAUGGAUUCGGUAGGAUCGGGAGGAACUUCCUGAGAUGUUGGCAUGGUCGCAAGGACUCUCCUCUUGAUAUCAUUGCCAUUAAUGACACUGGUGGCGUCAAGCAGGCUUCGCAUUUACUUAAAUACGACUCUACUCUCGGAAUCUUUGAUGCUGAUGUCAAACCUUCUGGAGAGACUGCAAUCUCUGUUGAUGGAAAGAUCAUCCAAGUUGUCUCUAACCGAAACCCGUCUCUUCUCCCUUGGAAGUAAGUCGAAAAACCACUUAUGUGAUCAGUCUUUUUAUCUCAAGUCUAGAAUAAGCAUUUGAAUUGGAUAUGGUUGGUAUCUUAGGGAGCUAGGAAUUGACAUUGUCAUCGAAGGAACCGGAGUGUUUGUGGAUAGAGAAGGUGCAGGGAAACACAUUGAAGCUGGUGCCAAGAAGGUUAUCAUUACUGCUCCAGGCAAAGGAGAUAUUCCAACUUAUGUCGUUGGUGUCAAUGCAGAUGCUUACAGUCAUGAUGAACCUAUCAUCAGCAAUGCAUCUUGCACUACCAACUGUCUUGCUCCCUUUGUCAAAGUUCUUGACCAGAAAUUCGGUAUGCAAUCCGUUUUCCGCUUUCGCUUUUCGUGUUCUCUCACGGGAUCAAUGAAACGGGUUUUAAUGUGUUUGUAACAUUGCAGGUAUCAUAAAGGGUACAAUGACGACUACUCACUCUUACACCGGUGACCAGAGGUUGCUAGACGCGAGUCACCGUGAUCUAAGGAGAGCAAGAGCAGCUGCUUUGAACAUUGUUCCUACUUCUACAGGAGCAGCUAAAGCUGUGGCUCUUGUGCUCCCUAACCUCAAAGGAAAACUCAACGGGAUCGCUCUCCGUGUACCAACACCAAACGUAUCAGUGGUUGAUCUCGUUGUGCAGGUCUCAAAGAAGACAUUUGCUGAGGAAGUCAACGCUGCUUUCAGAGAUUCUGCAGAGAAAGAGCUUAAAGGUAUACUCGAUGUCUGCGAUGAGCCACUAGUGUCCGUUGAUUUCAGAUGCUCAGAUUUUUCAACGACCAUUGAUUCAUCACUCACUAUGGUUAUGGGAGAUGAUAUGGUUAAGGUGAUUGCUUGGUAUGAUAAUGAAUGGGGUUACUCACAGAGAGUUGUUGACUUGGCUGACAUUGUUGCCAACAACUGGAAGUGAUUUCAUCAAACUUUGUUUCAUGUUUUUCCAUUUUUUUCUCUUUCUCUUUUUUACAUUAUGGUUCUCAAAAUAUCGGUGAAGACUGUAUAAUUGUAGUAUGGAUUUGUAAUAAAUAAUCAUAAACUAUUCAAACUUGUUUACAUUUUGUGUUUUGUGAUACACUUUUCAGUAUAGCUAAUGGCCUCUUGAUUAUGAUUAUGAGUUUGAUAUAUCAAAGUUAGUUGAAUCUUAUAAGUUACAGGGAAACAAAAAUGCAGAGGAGAUUUUAUUGAUGAAACUGAGAGAUAUUACAUAAAAUCAGAAUUUUGGGUUUGGCUAAGUUUGGUUUGAGCAACAGCAAUCUCAGCUUGAGUUUUGGCUAAUUCAUUCUGAGUUUUCUGAAUCUGAGUUUUAAGUAAAUGAAUAAUGCCAACACAACCAUAAACAGGGUCAUCUACUCUGCAUUUUGCUUCAAAGCACAAAGAUUCCACUGCUUCAGCUCUUGUCUGAUCAGGAAGUUGCUGUCAAAAAGAUCACCAAAAUCCAACCAUGAAUACACUUACUUAUAUAUAUGCAUAAAGUGUGAUCUUAAAUAGGAUAUUAGAAGAAGAUACACAAAGAUGUGUAUACCUGAAGCAUUUUGGAAACGUUUCCAGCACCAUAGAUUCUGUGGACACAUGCAAAUUUUUGAGGAUCGUUUGGAGGGAAAUAUGGUGAGAAUACGCAAUCUUUUGGACAUCUUCUUCUCAGAUACUUGCAAGCUGCACAUCUUUUUGGAUUCAUCUUAGAUUUUCUCAGAAACAAAUAUAAACAAACAACACAAAAGAAGAGAUUGUGAAAUCUUACACAAAGAUUUAGCUAUUUGUAUUCCUUUUCGUUUCCUUUCUUUUCCAAUAAUCAAACGGCUAGUUUCCAGUUUCUGAAAUUUGACAACAUUUACUUAAGGUAAGACUAUUUAUGUUGAUUCUCACUUAGACUAAUUAGACUUUAUAUUACCGUUAACAUUACUGUUAAGGCAACAACAUUCAUGUUCUCUUUAGAGAAAAUAAAUUGCACUACUAGUUAUUAGACGCUAGUUAUAGUGAUCUAAGGAGAGCAAGAGUAGCAGCUGUUUGCAUAUGAUUCUCCAAAUACUGUAUAUAAUUAUAUACCUGAGUUAUGGAUUUGUAAUAAUAAUAUAAACUCGAUUCAAACUUGUUUACAUUUUGUGCUUUAUGAAACACUUUUCACAGGUCUCAAACAAAAAAAUGAAUAUACAGAGAUGUUGUUAUGUAAUACAAUUUGGUUCUUGCAAGAAUACACAAUCGUGGGAUGGUUUCCUAAAAACAGAUUUUGCUACUACAACAUAUGUGAUAAGAGAAGAAUGUGCAUGAGAUUCGGUCUCAUGCUUUCUGUUUUCACUACCUACUUAAGCCUUUGAAGAGAUGGUCUUUUCAAGCAUUCUUGUUCCUUCUUCUUCCAUGGCUAGUUUGCUCCAUCCUGACCCUCUCAUGGACAAAAUCUUUGCCCGUUCGAGUCCGUUUCCUCUAAACCCUGUAAUCUUCGAAGAUACCAUUGGCAUCACUAGAAUCGCAGAUGCAUUUAUAGAGUCUUCACCAAAUCCUAGUGCUGCUAAACAAGCAGUCUGCAACACAAUGAAGUAAAGAGUUUUAAUUAGUACUGUUGAAUAAGCUCACAAAUGAAGAUGGUUCUGCUUGUGGGUACCUUUGUCUUGGCAAUUAAAUCAGCUGCUUUCAUAUACAUUCCUUGUACAACUACUCUUGUGUCUUUGCUGUGUCCAUCUUCAGAUGAUUGUGGUAUCAACCUGUUAUUGAAGAUCAAAAUAGUUAUAGUAGCUAAAUCAUAGAAAACUUCUGAAUUUCUAAUGAGAACACAGUUUUUUACCUGUCCUCCUCAGUUGGCACACUCGAGGACACGAUGGAGUCAAGAGAUGAUGAAUUAUCUUUUGUCUCAUUGCCUCUUGUAUCAUCAGGUGCUAGUAAAGAAAUGCCUAUGAAUACACACAUCAUUCCUAAUAUGAACAUUGUUGUUCUUAGCGCAUCGAAAACCUGUUUAAGGAAGAAGAAAAUUAUCUAAGCGACUAUCCCUAAACCCACACCAUUCUGUGACAAAAUGAUCAAACUAAUCAUCUAGAUCCGUAUUAGCCCGAAGAUAAAGAAAAGAGAGGAAAAGCAUCACAAUGUAGUCAAUAGAUGAACCUGAAACUCUUGAAAGUAAAUGCAUCCUGUACAGAUGGAGAAGAAAGUCCAAGCAAUCUGAAACAUUGGAACUAUGAGAAUUGCAUCAUAUAGAGACAAUCCUUCAUUCAAUCUUGUCAUCUGCAACAGAAGCACAUGAAAGACGUUUUUACUUCAGUAACUAUAUAGUCUCAACGGCACAACAAAGCACCAAAAUAUUUCAGUAGCUUGAGGUUUUUUUUUACCCAGAAUCCGGCUGUACUAAGAAAUAAAAGAAGCAUAGAGUAUGUGAACCAGCUGUGCAGUUGAUAGCUACUAGACAUGGCCAAUCUCAGCAAGUUCGAGCUACAAAACGAAACUCAAAUUUAUCACCUGAAACUAUCUGAUUUUCAAGUAAAGCCUGUAGAUUUGCAAACUCACAGUGACUUGGCAAAUAAAACUGAACAUGAUCCUAUAGCACCCGAGACCACUGCAUAUGAGAAAGGAAGCAGCAUUUUCCAAUAAGAGCUAAUUUCUUGUCCAGGUGUAGAUAUCAAAACUUCUCCCUUCCUGAAUAUUUCGAUUAAACUAAUCACAAAAGAGGUCCCGAUAGUUGAAAAUAGUCAAGGAAGAAUUUCAAAUGCAAGACUCACCUAUAGAGGAAAUGGUGCACGGCUACUAUUAAAAUCAAAAUACCACAGUAGACCAAGAAUGUUACAUUGCUAUAUUUCUCUGCCAACUGUUCGGGUGUGAAAACUGAGCACAGAAGAUUUUUAUUAGGCCACGCUUUGUGAAAAAACGACAGAACAAUCUGUUCAAGAAUAGUUACCUGGUGACUGGUGAUUACCAAAAGCUACAAGGAAAACGUUUCCAAGAACUAUAAAGGCUGUAGCAACGAGUACUCUGUGACCAAGGCAUACUAAAGAUAUUAGAAGAGCAGAGACUUAGUAAAUCGGUAAUGCAUGUUAAAGAUUGCAGCGAGGUAGUUUGCAUACUUGACAGUAACCAUUUUGUUCAAUACAACAUAAGCAAAUGCUAUGUUGGAUACAAAUUGAAUGGAUCCAAGAGCUGCUAGAAGGGACUGCAAAGAGAGUUCAUAACGGUAAGAAAACCAAAGAGAAACCAUAAUGAAACCUGACAAAUCACGCAAGUAGGCAAUGUCGAGCAGAUCAUUCUACCUGAGCAGCAUAACCAAACGAAAUGAAAUUGAGGCAAUUCCCAAGAAGAAAGACAAGGAUCCCUGUAAGAUUCCAACAACAUUGGAGACUCAGAAAAAGCUUCAUAUAAACUUCAACGGGGAAAAGGUUUAAGACCAGGACAUACCAACUCUCCAAGUCUGAUUAUGUAUAAUUGGCUUCAAUGGCAUCUUUCCUCCGCCAUCUUGUAGGGCUAACCUUUCUCUCUGAUAAUACACAAAGUAAGACAAUACGUUUCACGUGACGAGAUCAAAUGUAACCAAACAGUAGUGGCUGAGGCAAAUGCAGACCUCAUUAUGUCCCAAUUUGAGAAGGUUUGUGCCAAAAUUAAUAGCAACACUUCCAAAAAUGUUGAUGAAAGCUCCGAUGACCCACUCUCCCAUUGGUAAUUAAAGAAUGAAGAUAGCUCAGUUAAAGGAUCAUCUAAAGCUGCAAACUUGAACCAAUCAACUAGCUCAGGCCUCCCUCAUAUGAAUCUUAGCCUUCAAGAGAAGAAGCAUAAAACCUAAGAAGGGCUAUUAGAUGGUGAUUGCAAACACAAGCUUGUACCUUUGAUUGAAACAGAGAUCAAAUGGACAAAAUUGAAACAAGGGUUUUCGAUGAUUAGCAUAGAGAAAGAGAAAAUGAGACAAAACCUGCGAAGGGACGAUAGAGGAGCUUCAGAUCCAGAUCGAUUUCUAACAGAAGAUGCAGAUUGCACAAGUUCUCUCCCAACAAAGAGAAUCCUUUUUGAGAUUUAAGCUUUACCAAACAAAAUGGCGUCGAAUAAAAGGAAGAAGGAUAAAAAUUGGAUCUUUCCCCAAAAAUUGAAAAUUCUAAAAAAGCUUUGAUUUUUCGUAAGGAAGACCCAAUCGCCGAUAAAGCUUGAAGACGACGGUGACGAAGACGACGACGAUGGCGAUGUUAGAUUGAUACAAAAUGACGUAGUGGUUGGGCCCUUUUGUGUUGUUAAAUCUGUCUUCUUGCUGCUCCUCACGUUUUGUUUUGGGCUUUUUACCAUUUUUACUCUCUUCUCUUCUCUCUCUCUCGUUGAGAGACACUCAAUGGCCAAAAAGCAACCUUUGGCGGGCGGGUCAAAAUUGACUCUUUUGACCUUUCAUUUUCAUUGAACCUCUAUAGACAGAAAAGGAUGGAUUUUUCUGAUGAAGACGACGACGAAAACUGUUUUGGUUCUCGUUUCAACGACGGUGUAAAUGAAGAAGAAGAAGACGAAGAGGGUUUUGUGUUUAACGACGAUGUUGAAGAGAAUGAAGAAGAAGAGGGUUUUGCGUCUGAUUUCUAUAAGGCUGGUUCUGAUUGGUCUUGUUUAGUGGAAGAUGAAGAGACUGUUUCUUCUUCUGUGAAGAAGAUGAAACAGUCGAACUUGUUUCAGAUUUGGGGUUUACAAGAGAAUUCUCCUGAUACAACGAAGAAGAUGAAACAAACUGAUUUGUUUCAGAGUUGGGGUUUACAAAAGCCUUCUCCUUUCACUUCACCUGCUUCGAAUUCGGCGAAGAAGACGACGAGUGCUCUUGGAAAAAGGCGUAGAGACUCUUCGUUUAGCAAUGACUCGCCUCGACCAUGUCCAUUUUACAAGAAACUUCCAGGUCUCUCUCUCUCUCUCUCUUCUUCUUCUUUGAAUUCAUAUGCCUAAAUGUGCUUCUCUCUUUGCCAAUUUCAUGAAGUUUGUGAUUGAUUGUAUGUAGGAACACCGUUCACUGUGGAUGCUUUUCGCUAUGGUUGUGUUCAAGGAUGUUCUGCUUAUUUCCUUACUCAUUUUCACGCUGAUCAUUACAUUGGUCUCACUAAAGCUUGGUCUCAUGGUCCUAUUUACUGCUCCUCUCUCACUAGUCGUCUUCUUAGACUUAGUCUCUCUGUUAAUCCCUCGUAAGCUCUUUGUUAAAGCUGUCUGUGACUAAGGACUUCCUUCUUGAAAUUAUGUAUUUAUUAGUUUCUGUGUGUAGGUCUAUUCAUCCAUUGGAGCUAGACGUUGAGUACACUAUUAAUGGGAUUAAAGUCACUUUAAUUGAAGCUAAUCAUUGCCCUGGUGCUGCUCUUAUUCACUUUCGUCUCUUAGAUGGAACAUGUUAUCUGCAUACCGGAGAUUUCAGGGCUUCUAAACAGAUGCAAACGCAUCCUCUCCUCUUUAACCAACGAGUUCAUGUUCUGUAUUUGGAUACAACAUAUUGCAAUCCGAGAUACAAGUGAGAGCAAAAAUUUGUCAAAUAGUAUAACUUGUGAUGGAUUUGAAGGAGCGUGUGCUCGUAAUGUAAUGUUUGAUCCAUUCUUUUUUAUGUUAUUGUUCAGAUUCCCUUCUAAAGAAGAUGUGUUAAGUUAUGUUGUGAGAAUCACAAAGGAUUUCCUCAGGAAGCAACCGAAGACUCUGAUUGUGGUUGGUUCUUACAGCAUUGGAAAAGAAUGUGUUUAUCUUGCUAUUGCCAAAGCUCUUGGGGUAUAAAAUGCUGGAGACAUUUUCUUUCUGUUUUAGCCAUCUUUUUGGGACUCUAUAUGUUCUAACUUUUUGGAGUUUUCAGGUUAAGAUAUUUGCAAAUGCUUCAAGAAGACGAAUACUGCAAUCUUUUGGUUGGGAUGAUAUUUCGAAGAAUCUUUCUACAGAUGGGAAAGCCACAUGUCUUCAUGUUCUGCCUAUGUCGUCAUUGAAAGUUGAAGUAUUUCUCUAAAUCUAAGAUGCUUAUCUCAAGUAUUAUUCUAUAUAGACUCCAUGUCAACCUCGCAUGAUCAUAACUCUGUUCUGAUUAUUUCCCUGAAGAGACUCGAUGAACACUUGAAGAUUUAUAGAGAACAGUAUGGAGCAGUUUUGGCAUUUAGGCCCACAGGUGAUUUUUUCCCUUGCUGUUAUUUUAUAUGGAUUUUAUUUAGACUAUUGGUAUGAAAAGUAAAGUUGGUUUUUAGGUUGGACUUACUCCGAGAAGAUAGGUGAACACCUUGAUCUGAUAAAACCAACUUCAAGGGGAAAAAUCACCAUUUAUGGUGCGUUUGAUUUUUAUAAUGCACAUUCUCUAUGAGCUUAGCUCUAAAUAUCAUCAUUAUAUUAUGAUGACUUGUGGAGGCCGAUUUGUCUGACUGUCAGGUGAUUAUGUAACUUUUAUAGGGGUGCCAUAUAGUGAGCAUUCAAGCUUCACAGAGCUUCGUGAGUUUGUUCAAGUAUGUAUCAGGAAUGUCAUUAUUUUAUCUAUCCGUAUCUGUCCUGGAUAAGUUUUUCACUUCUUUUAGCAUUAACUGAUUUCGUUAUUGCGCAGUUCUUAAGGCCUGAUAAGAUUAUUCCUACGGUGAACAAUGGAAAUGCUGGAACUCGCGAGAAAAUGCAAUCAUGUUUCAGAGAAUGGCUCAGACGCUGAGGUUCAACUCUAGGUUGAUGGAUGAUAUAUUGGUAAGAAAAUCAAUGGCUUUGGCCAUUCUAUUUCUAAUAUUAUUUCCUUUUUCUGCAGUUUCUGAAUCCCAAUAUGUUGAUCAUUGAAGCUUUCAAAGGAUGUGUGAUGCUUCUGUAAGAUCUUGGUUAUUGCAAUUGGUGAAUACAGUAGAUUGAAAUACUUGAAGGAUUCAUAAUAUUCUUUGAUCUAGAUGUUUUAUUCUUAGUUAUUUCUCUUAUACUAAUCUAGUAUAUGUUUCUUUUUUUUGUGUGCACACUAAUCUAGUAUAUCUUCAAGUGGCUAAUUUGUUUAGUUAUGAUGGUUGGGAAAGAUAAGAGUUCAGAGAAACAAUACUGUCUACCAUUUUACUUCUCUUUACCUAGAAGAAGGGUUAGCAUCACACGAGUAGACAAUGCAAAGAGGGAAUAAGAUAACCAAAUCAGAUUCAGAAUCUGGAGAUAGAAGAUUGCCAUUAACCUCAUUGCAAAACUUGAUUUGUCGCUGUGUAGAGAACUCUGAAGAGAUUUUAUAUUGUAGUCAUAUUUCAAAGCAAUUAGCUGAAUCACCGGGAAUUGGACCAAUCUUCAUCUUGUCUGCACUGCCCUGUUGUGAAAGGGUUCCUUAUCUUAGUUGCAUUGUUCUGUGAGUGAUUUACUGUCUUAAAAUCGUUUAUCUUCGUGUAUUUGAUUGUUUCAAAGAGCAUCUAAAACAAUGGAUCCUAUGAGUUAAUAUAAUCUCUAUAUAUCUUUUGCUUAUGAGAAACACAUUCAAGUCACAGGGUCUGAAAGCAUUUGCUUCUCAUGUUUUAACUUUGUUUACAGAAGAAGUCUUUCCAUAAUAUAUAACAAUUGAGAGAGAGGUUUGAUACGCCUAGAGAAACGAAACUAGUUAGACUACAAAGCAGUAGCGAGGAUCAAUUUGACGCUCUCCUCGAUUUGAAAUGCUGGAAAUGGCAAGAGAGUCUUCCUUUGUGCUUCCUUCUUCUGCCAUUACUCGUAGAAACUCUUCAAGAGCGCUCUGCAUCCACUCAUACCGACACAGCUCCAAGGCUUCUUUUACAUUCAGCUGUGGCAUUUACACAAACCAUUAUCACUCACUCAUAUAACAACAUAUCUACUUUCCUCGCGGUUAUCAAAAGCAAAGAUUUGCGGUUUUACCCAUCUUCUCUCGCGGUCAUCUUGCUCAGGCCAUAUCGCAAGUUCUUCCUUCACCUCUAACGCAAACAUAUAACCUUUGCAUCCACCACCUAAGCAGCAAUCAGCUUCCACACUGCUACUCUUACUUCUAAAUUCCCAAACUCCUAAUGGAUCUUCCUACACAACACACCAAUCUUAAAUCUAUACAAGAACUUUCGAUAAAGAAUGACUGCCUUAAUAAAAAAACUUACUCUUAGUAUUCCUUUAACUCCUGCUUCUUCCAUAGCUUCACGAGAAGCAGCUUCAAGAACAGUUUCAUCAUCUUCCCAUCCUCCCUAAACAAAUAACACAAGUAAAGAUUCUAUUUCUAUCCAAUAGCACUUUGCAUUAUAGUUUCAAGAAUUUAAAGGAAAACAAAAUACCUUUGGGAAGACAAGAUCGUGACGAUUAGGAGAUGAAAUCAUAAGAACUUGAAGCUUGUUUUCAAAGUCAACACUUGUUGAGUCCUCUUCUUCAUCUUUCACCAGCCUAUACGGAAUGCAUCUGUCAUAUCCAAAUUAAAAAGAACCAAACCAAUAAAAUAUCAAAUCAAGAACGAUAUAAAGGUCAACGACAUGAAAGUGAAAGGAGAUGUAAGAAAAUGGUGAAAAGAAUUUAAGUACCCAGAAACAAGACGGAAGUUGUUGUCAUAACGUUGAUGGUCUCGUCCUGUUCUUGCAGAAAGAUUCGACAUUUUUGAUAACCUGCAACACACACAUUAAAAACACACAAAUUUAUUUGGAGAAAUUGAGAAGAAGAGCUAAUUACGGUGAGAAUGCAGGUCCUAAGCUUUGUAAAAGUCGUGUCUUUAUCUAUUGGCGUCAGCAAGAAACAUCAUCGUAGCUUGCUUUCUUCUUCUUGUUUCAAAAUAAAAAUAAAAACAGAACCGAUCUUCUUUGUUUAACCCAGAAGACGAACUAAAGAACCAACAACAGGUGAAACACAACUCCAAAAACAAAACAAAAAAAAACAAGAAAAAUGGAAAAAGAAAGGAACGGUUUUGGUUUGUUGUUGGCACAUAUAGGAAGGAAGGAAGAAGGAAAAAGAUGAGAUUUUUGCGGGGACAUAUAUAAUAAGAGAGAGUCAGCUCGCUGACGAAGCAGAGAGCAUUCAUUUCUUUUCUUUAUUAAAACCACCCAUCACGUUUCAUUGUUUUUAAAAUUAUUUUUUCCCAAUUUUGAAAACAGUGUUACAAACUUUAUAUCAGGAAAAAUAUUUUAUAUUAUGAUAUAAUGAAAACUUUUGGAUUGUUUAAUUUAGAUUAGAAAAACCGGAUACUUUUUAGAGCUAAAACUAAACAAGCUGGUUCUUGAAGAAAAAUACUCUGGUUUAUUUAAGCAGAUGUAAAACAGUAAUUUGAAAAACAUUGUUUGUAAAAACAAGUUAAUACAUGACCCAAAUUAGUAGAUUAAAUGGGAGGUUGAACGGAAAAAUCUGAGUAUUAGAACAUUAUCAUUUGUAGUAGAUGAUAGACAAGCGAAUUCCUAAAUACGCAGACGUAAAACAGUAAUUUAUUUAUUUAUGUUUGCGUAUUAAAAUAAAACAGUAAUUUUAUGAUUAUAAUUGUUUGCUUUUAUGUUUUUUCUGAACAAUGAGAUAGCUAGAUCCUCUCGAUUUUCAAUGUAAAAUUGAUGUUUCUUGACAUUCAGAAGAUACCAUGAUUGGGCAUGAAUGAGUCCUAAGACAAGACUUAAUACUUCAUCUAGGUCUCAAGAGUUUUUUGAAGCAAAACUAAAUAAGCUGGUUUUUUUUAAAAAAAUCCUCUAAAUUGUUUAAUUUAAGCAGAUGAAAAAUAGUUAAAACCAUCUCCAUCAGUUAGAAACUCAAUUUUAUUAAAUAAUAUAAAUUUUAUUAUUAUUUUAUUGUUAUUUUUUAAUUAUUAUUUAAACUAAUCAGAACAAAAUAAAAGUAAAAAUAAGUUUUUCAGAGUUUCUAUCCCUAAUGAAGAUGCUCUUAUUUGAAAAACAUUUUGUAAGAAUAAAGAAAUAGGUAAACACAUUAAUACAUGACCCAAAUUAGUAGAUUAAAUUGGAGUUUGAUCGGAAAAAUCUGAUUAUUAGAACAUUAUCAUUUGUAAUAGAUGAUAGACAAACGAAUUCCAAAAUACACAGACGUAAAACAGUAAUUUUACUUAUUUACGUUUGCGUAUUAAAUAAAACAGUAAUUUUUAUGAUUACAAUUGCUUGUUUUAUGUUUUUUUUGGACAAUAAGAUAGCUGGAUCGAAAACAUAUAAUAUGUGACAAAAGGAUAAGACUUAACAUUACCAAAACAAAAGAACCAAAAUCAAAAUUGAAUACUUCUAGUUACGAAUUAAAAAAAAAUUGAGCAUAAAAUAUGGAUUUUUUAACGUAUACUACAAAAUACAAAUAUUGUGAUGAAAGAGACCAACCAAACAAAACCAAGUUGACCCGGUUUGAUUCGUUGGUAUCUUGGUUAUAUGAGUGGUUCACCACAAACAAAUUUAAAAUACUUAACAGGCCCACCAAAUUGGCUAGAUAGCCCAUUAAGUUUCACUCUGUGUAGAACAAAUGUCCCCAGUUGUUCAACUAAAAACAACUUAUUGGGCCUAAAAUGGGCCUUUUAAAUUGAAGUAGACGGUUGGUGCAGAAGACUAUGAUUGAUUUAAUUUUUGAGUCACUUUUUCAAUCAUUUCCGAUUUUGUAUGAUUUAUUCAUGAUGAUGACCACGACCGCCGUUUCAAUCAUUGGUCUAAAACUCUAAACAUUUCAAAAUUCUCUAGUUUUUAAAAGAACGAAAUAAAAAAGUUUGAAAAAAAAAGAAGAGAAUAAAAAAAAAAAAAGUCAAGAGAAACGUUAAAACGCAGAUUGAAACAAAACAUAGAAAAACGCGAAACGCAGAUCGUGGAAAUGUGAGUUUUUGAAAAGUUAGCGUCAGAGAGAAGAAGGAAAUGUAUGUCGAUACAGCUGGCUUAUGACCCCACCAUUUUUUUUUUACUCUGUCGAUGUGAGGAAUUGUGGUCCUAAAUUAAUUAUUUUAUUUUGUAAAAAAGUGAGUUUGUUGAAUUUUUUAUUUAUAAAAGAAUAUUUUAUGAAUGUUUGUUCGCUGGAUAUAUCUAUUUGUCAUUAAUAACAACAAAAGGGUUAAUUUUUUAAUUUGCUUUCUAAUAGUACUAGUUAAAACUACAGUUCUUUUUGCUAUUAUUGUUGGUGUAUUUAUGUUUUAGUUAGUAGCAGUAUAACAUGUCAAAAAUAAAAAAUUUAGUAGCAGUCUAAGAUGUAAGUCAUGUGACAUCUACCUAUAAGAAUCAGAAACACUAGUAUGAAACAUAAUUAAAUAUUCUAUUUUGAUUUAUAACAUUGUUAAUUAUAAUUUUGUAUUAAAAUGGUGAAUUAUAAAAUAAAAAUUCUUUUACUAAACUUAGAUUUUACUAAAUUACAAAUAUAUGAUUAAUAAAUGGGAAAAAUGUCAUUUAAUUCCCCAACUUUAAAAAAAUGGUUAUUUUAUACAUCAACUUCGUAUGUGCCCGUUUAAAACAUGAACUAAACGUUGACUAAUUUUUAAAACAUGAUCUUUCGUUGACCAGGCCAGAAUAGACAUGCCGUUAUCAGUCAUUAACGGAACUUUUAACGUCUGUUAUCAUCCGUUAACUUUAUUAGUCAAGUUUCAAAUUGUGGUCAUUUUAAACAUCAACUUCUUAUUUGGCCAUUUAAAACAUGAACUAAACGUUGACUACCAUUUAAGACAUGAAAAAUUCGUUAACCAGGCCAAAAUAGAUAUGUCUUUAUCAGUAGAACCUAGAAAUAAUGACUGUUAAUCUGUCCAAAACAACGUCGUUUGAGAAUAAUCGAAAGAACACAAAGAUUUUUUCCAUAUAAAAUCUCCAUAUCAAAAGUUUUAAGCAGAACCCAAGAACAUAGUUUGAUAAAGAGAUAAUCGCAGUGCCAGUAAUUGGAAGCAAAUAAAGGUGUUUUCGUUUAUAUAUUUGUUUUAAAUUUUAAAGGGAAUCAUGGAAGCAAAUUGAAGACUCAUUAUAAGAUUAUUCGUCUUGUUUGAGCGGUUGUAGAAAUAGAUUUGGGGAACUGGGGUUUCAUUUAGAAUCUUUUGAUUAUUCUCAAAACAAAGUCGUUUUAGGGAUACUAAUAAAGUCGUUAACAAGUGAUAAUGAAUUUUAUAAGUUCUUUUAAUGAAUGAUGACAACAUGUUUAUUUUGGCUUGGUCAACGAAUUUCUCAUGUUUUAAAUGGUAGUCAACGCUUAGUUCAUAUUUAAAAUAGUCACAUAUAAAGUCGGUGUUUAAAAUGGCCACAAUUUAAAACUUGACUAAUAAAGUCGUUAACGGAUGAUAACGGAUGUUAGAAGUUCCGUUAAUGACUGAUAACGGCAUGUCUAUUUUGGCCUGGUCAACGAAUAAUCAUGUUUUAAAAGUUAGUCAACGUUUAGUUCAUGUUUUAAACGGCCGCAUACGAAGUUGAUGUAUAAAAUAAUCAUUGUUUGAAAGUUGGGGGAUUAAUUGACAUUUUUCCCAUUAAUAAAUUGACUCUUAAUGUUUAGAUUAAGCUUAGAAUUAACAAAUCAACUGAUAAGAGUUAUAACAAGUUUAAGCUCUUCUUCUUCCUAAACUGAAUAUUAUGCCAAUAUUUCAAAUAUUAGAAAUAAAGGUUUUAAACUAAAUGUAAAUCUAUGACAUGACAUAAUCCUUUUAUAUUUUUGUAAUAAACAUAAGAAUAAUAGGAUAGUGCAGAAAAAGCUGUGAUUCCAAUAUAAUUAUGUGAUUGAUUGACUAAACAAAAAUAUGAAGUCUAAAGAAUUAUAAAUUUCUGUAGUUAUGAAUCCCAUCUAUCAUUGGUUGCUUAUUAAUUUAUGAGAAAAAUAAAUUUUUAUUGACAAUCUUAUUUGUUUUGUUUUUGGUAGUCUAAUAUUGAAGUACACAUUUAUUAAAGUAAUAAAAAUAAACCAUUUUAAGGACACAUACGAAAAAAGAAAAAAGAAAAAAUAAACAGAGAGAAUUGCGGAGUAAAAUAAAAAGAAAAGAGAAGAAGGCAGAGACAGAGUGGUGGUCUUGUUCGUCUCCUUUCAAAACUUGCGGCGGCGGAAACUACGUUUCACGGCGGCGGUCUUAAGUUUCUUCCUUCUGAAUCUUCUCUCUUAAAAAAAAAAAAAAAGUUCCCAUUCGCUGUAAUUGCAAACUGGCCAAGUACCCCACUUGCUUCUACUCUUGUCUUCAAAGGUUCUCUUUUUUUAUUCCUUCCUUUUUUUUCACCAAAUUAAACAAAUGGGUUUGGUAGUUGCACAAGAGUAAAAACUAACCAAAGUAAAAAGUUUGAUUCUUGUUGUUGUUGUUGCCGUUGUUGAUUCUUAGUUAAGUAAGUAAAAAAUUUUCGGUGAGUCUUAAGAAAGAGAGAGAGAGAGAGAGUUGUUGUCUGAAACGAUGUCACUUUCUGUCGGCAUUGUCUGCGUUCCGACACAAGACUUGAUUUCUUCUUCUUGUUCUUCUUCUUACCCUUUUACCUUCAAGUUGUUCUAGAAGAAACUGCGGCGGUUUGAUUUGAUGUUUCCAUUGCUCUCUGUUCCGUUUUCACACCAAGCUUUCUUGUUUCUGAUUAGAAAAAUAAUUUGAUUCCUUGAAUCUGCCGAUAUAAGGAAUUUUUUUCAUUGAAUGUGGAGAAAAAAAAGAAUGUGGGGAAUCACGUCAUCGAUUUUGUUGAAUUUGUGUGAUAUUUAAUCGCCGAUGAAGUUGAGAUUUUCUGGAGAUCUGUCAAGGUUCUUUUAAAAAAUACUUACUGCAUGUUGAUUGAUUGAUUUUUACAAAGUUGACACCUUUUCUUUUUUUACCUCUCAAGCUCCUCUGUUUGCUUUUAAAACUGUCUCUUCUGUUUUUUUUUUUUUCUUUUCGCCGACAUUCUUGUUUUAUUCUUUCUCUCCAGGGUUAUCGCAUGGUAGUAGAAGCUUGGAGCAUCGGUGAGGAAAAGAGAAAGAGAGAGAGAAGGCAGUUUUGUUUUCCAAAUGUCAGCAAUUCUUGCAGCUGCCAUUGGUGGUGCUGUAGGAGCUCUUGCAUUGAUUGCUUUGUUUGUUUUUCUCCUUUGGUUUUGUGUCUUUCGUCGUAAGAAUCUGUCUAGAACUUCUGAGACUGGCUCUUCUGAUCCAUCUACUCAAGGUAAAUCACAAAUCCCAUCAAUUCUAUUCCUCUCUCUCUCUCUCUAUUGACUUUCUUGGAUGAUAUCAAAAUGAUUUAGACUUUUUUUUCUUUUGUUAUAUGUUUGUGUGAGUUCAGAAGGAAGAAAUGUUGCAAUUGAGUUGUCAAUGAGAGAAGCUAGAAGAUUUGAAAUGGAGGAACUUGCUCAAGCCACCAAGAGUUUUACCAAUAAAAGUCUUAUUGGUAUUGGCAAAUUCGGCGAGGUUUACAAAGGUUUGCUUCAAGAUGGUGUUCUUGUAGCUAUCAAGAAAAGACCUGGUUUGCCUACUCAAGAAUUUGUUAACGAGGUUUCUAUAAUUAAUCUUGUUCAAGUGUUUGCUUUUAGUCUUCUUAGACCAAGUGUAUUGAUUGAGAGGAUAUGGUUUAUUUCUUCAGGUUCGUUAUCUAUCGUCUAUCCAUCACCGUAAUCUCGUCACUCUUUUGGGGUUUUGCCAAGAAAGCAACACACAGUUUCUUGUCUACGAGUAUGUUCCUAAUGGAAGUGUUUCCAGUCACCUGUACGGUAACUCUCUGUCCUUAAUGUUAUUUUCAUUUGGUAUUUAAUCAGUUUGAGAAAUGAGUUUGGACGAUGUAAGCAUCGUUUAGGUCUUUUCCUCUGUUAGGUGCUGGUGGUAAAGUACCUGGUAAUAGACUAGAGUUCAGACAUAGGCUUGCAAUAUCUAUAGGAGCAGCUAAAGGUAAAUCCUCUACAAAAUCCUCAUUGAAGCCAGCUCUAGCUUGUGUCCUGAUCUUGCAUAUACCCUUUUGUUAUCUCUAGGCUUGGCACAUCUUCACUCGUUGAGUCCUCGGUUGAUACACAAGGACUUCAAAACCGCUAAUGUUCUUGUGGAUGAAAAUUUCAUUGCUAAGGUUGCGGAUGCAGGAGUCCGUAACUUCUUAGGAAGAGAGGAUGUUGGUACAUCGUCUCACAUUGUUGCAGACCAGAUUUUCCUCUCCCCAGAGUAAAUUAAAAAGAUUUCACCUUCUAAGCUCUCAUAUGCUUCUUUUUAGUAUCAAAGUUUCUCAGAUUGUCCCCUUUUUUUUUCAGGGUUCAAGAGUUCAAAAGAUUUUCAGAGAAAAGUGAUGUCUAUGCUUUUGGUGUAUUCCUCUUGGAAUUAGUAAGUGGAAGAGAAGCAUCAGAACCAUCCCCUUCAAGCUCAACGCAAACUCUAGUCGAUUGGGUAUGUAAUCACACUCAAAACCGUGCCAAUGUAAUCUAUUUUGAUUCUCAUUUUGUAUGCAUUGGGAGUUGCAGAUGCAAAACUUAACGGAUUACGCAGAUAUACCAAUGAUGAUUGAUGAGAGACUAGGAGGUACAUACACAGCAGAAGGAGUUGAGGAACUUAUUACAUUGACACUAAGAUGUGUUGAUGUAUCAAGUGAGAAGAGACCAACAAUGAGUUUUGUUGUGACAGAGCUUGAAAGAAUAUUGGAUAAAGAAGUGAGCUUAACAACAGUAAUGGGUGAAGGUACUCCAACUGUUACUCUUGGAAGUCAGCUUUUUAAAGCAACCAAGUGAUUAUUAUAAAGGAACCAUCUUUUUACAUAUAUAUACAUAUAUAUAUAUAUAUUAUAUAAGUUCUCUGAGACAAGAACCAAUCAGAGAACUUAAGGAGGAAGAAGAAGAAGACUGAUCAGCUGUUUUGUGUUAAGUGUAUAAAGAACAGCUGAAGCUUAUUGUUUGUUUGUUUUUUCCCUCCUUUUUCACUUCCUUUGGAGGUUAUUAUUUUCAGCAAUUAUUUUUUUGACAAUGAGUGCAGAAAAGUAUAACUUUGUAAAAACAUUAUUUAUUGAUAUAAAGGAAGCAAAGAGUGGAAUGUUGUGUGAUUCUUUGUUACAUUUUACUCUCUACAAAAGCUUUGAACUUAGCUUGAAAGACUUUAUUGCCAAGUUGGUUGGUUGAAUAAGUUUUGAUGAAAAGAUUCCAAUUGGCUAACUGUUGAACUAACAGAAGGUGAUAACUCCCUGUCUGAAGAACUCUAAUUAUUAUGUUUGUACAGAAAAACUCAGAGCUACUUUUUCCUAUAAAGUAGCCAAUUUUGGGAAAGAUUUUGACCUUUAGCUUCAACCUACCUAUGCUUUGAUAGCCUUUAUUGCCAAAGGGGAGAUAUAGUAACCAAGUUGGUCUCUAAAGUCUUGAUCAAAGAUUCCAAUUGGAUAACAACACUCUUGGUCUUGGACUAGUAUAGUUCCUACAUACUCCAUUUGCUACUAGUGAAAAUAAACUCAAUGCUCUGAUUUAUUACUCUGUCCCUAGUUUUGCUAAAAAACCUUUGUGGGCACACAGAACUAUAAACAAACAGUCUUUGGAACAGAUUGCAAAAUCAAAAUCAUGUUUGGUCUGAUUUUAUGUCGGGAGAGAUUGAAGAUCUAAUGAUAAAGACUCUUCUUCUGUAGAUAGUUAACUCGUUAAAUUGGUGGGUCUCACAUUUAUUAUUACCUUCCAGAUUUUGACCUCACAGAAGCAAAAACACAGUAGUGAUUGAAAAGCUUAGAAAAGAAAUUACAAAACCAGAGAUUGUUGAUUCUUAGUUCAUACAUAGAAGAAAGAAACAGAGCUAAUGUUUUGUCAUAAAUACUAAAAACCGUUAAAAGUAUAUUUUUAAAAUGAGAAAAAAUGUGAGCCAUUCGAUUUUUGGAUAGACCCAUCAUGUAAAGGUUUAAGCUUUUUUUUUGUUAGCCAAAGAGAAAGCCUUUUUAGUUCUAUUGACAAUGGCGACGAAGCUGAUUUCUCCGCCGUUGUCUUGUCCGUGGGUUACUUCAAGAGAGGUGAUAAUCAAAGGGCUUCCACGGCGGAGAAGAGAAUGGAUGGUCACGAAGAGAAACAGAGUCUCUGCUGUCACGGCCAUGAUUGUGGAGCCACUUUCUGUUGUUUCUUCUUCAGCAAUUCAGAUUCAUCAAUGGUGGGAACAAAACCCUAAUUCGUUACUGUUAAUGACGGAGGCUACUGGUGGUUAUUCGUUGGCUAGCUAUUAUACGUCUUUGGGUUUGUUUGUUAUCUCUGUUCCUGGUCUUUGGUCUCUAAUCAAACGCUCUGUUAAAUCAAAGGUUCGAACUUUACUAAUUACAAAACCCUAAAUUUCACUUCCAAUUCCCAAUUUCUUCGAUUUUGAAAAAGCUUGAAUGCAAUGUUGAGGAUUUGUAGAUAGUGAGAAAGACGUUUGUUGUUAAUGACGUCAAGAAGGAGCCAAAGCAAGUAGCUGGAGAGAUUCUAUCUUUCUUCACAAGGAAGAAUUUCAAUAUCACUGAUCGUGGAGAAACAAUCACGUAAGCUACAAAAAGCUCGAACUUUUCAUUUGGGUUUCUGUGUUUUGUUACUGACAUUGUUUUGAUAAAAAGAUUUGAAGGAAAGAUGGUUCCAAGUAGAGGACAAGCUGCUCUGCUUACGUUUUGUACAUGUAUAAGCUUAGCAAGUGUUGGUCUUGUCUUAACCAUUACAGUUCCUGAUUUUGGAAACAAUUGGUUCUUCAUCAUUCUCCUUAGUCCACUCGCGUAAGCUCUCUCUCUUUAAGGUCUCUGAGACUGUUUUUUUGUCAAUGAAAUGGUGAUUAUUUUGUAUGUGUGUGUGUGUUGCAGAGGAGUGUAUUACUGGAAAAAGGCGUCGAGGAAAGAGGAGAUAAAAGUGAAGAUGAUGGUGGGAUCAAAAGGGAGAUUGGAUGAGAUUGUGGUUCAAGGAGAUGAUGUUCAGGUCGAAGAAAUGAGGAAAGAGCUUCAGCUUAAUGAGAAAGGCAUGGUUUAUGUCAAAGGUCUCUUUGAGAGAUCAUCAUAAUGAUAACAUUUUAGCCUCCCAUUUUUGCCUUUUGGGGAAUGUGUCUAUACUUGUUUUAUUAAGGUUGAGAUUAAUGACUUUUUAACUCAUUUCCCAUACUUCAUACUAAACGAAUCGAUUUGAAUAUAGUUCAUUUGAUUGAGCAAUUUUGUUAUUUUGAAAGUCCAAAUCCAUUUUUUCAUUACCAAAGACAACAAUAAAGCCACAAAUUUACUAAGAAUUAGUAAGUAUGGUCUUCCUGAGUGAUCGGCUAGUCCAUGAUUCCCAAAGCCAAGGUUGUUCAGUACUAUAUGCCAUCAAUGAUGAGUUCGAAUUAUAUGUACAUAUGAAAUGGGAGAUAUGGAUACUUCGAUGCCAUUGAGAACAACUCAAAAAUCUUGGUGAUCGAGACUUGAAAUAAUGACAGCAUUAAGUGUACAUCUAAAAUGUGUUUUGGAACUUUUCGAGAUCCUUCAGAUGCUCGAGGUUUGACACAUUUUCUUGAACACAUGAUGUUCAAAGGAUCAAAGCUAUAUCUUGACCGGAGUGAGGUAUAAUGAUUACAACAAUAGUAGAGACGAAUACGUGGAGAUAAGUAUAAGUUUGUUAUGGAGGCUAAUAAGAGGUUAAAACACGAUUGAAAAAAAGAAAAAAGAAUCAUGAGAAUAAGACUUGAUCAAACAUAAUACAUUCUAUGAAAGGUAAAACACCAAGAUGUAGAGUUGGCAAAAAGAAACUAGAAAAAGAAAGUGGAACUUGUUUUUUUUUUAAUAUUAAAUUAUAUAUUUUUUAAUAUUAAAUUAUAUAUUGACAACAUAUAACUUUUUGUUAAUAUUAAAUUAUAGAAUUUAUUUUCAUCUUUAUUUGAAAUGUUAAUUAUAUAUUGAAAACAUAAAAAUAGUUACAUUAUUUGAGUAUUUUAUUAUAUAAAUCUUGGUUUUCAAAGUUAGUAACUCGUAUGAUCUUGAUCAGAUGAUGCACAAACUUUGUAGACAUCAUGGUUAACCUAACAUAAAUUUAUCUAAGUUAAUCAAAAGAAUCUUACAAAUUAAAAAAUGAUUAGGUCGAGGUGAAGAGAACAAAUUACCACAUAGUGUUGUAAUUAGACGGACAUAUAUGUUUAAGUUAAUAAUGGGCUUUACCUCUAUUUGGGUUGAGCUCAACCUUACUCGAUUAACAAAAAAUCUGAAGGUCGCGUGUUUGAUCUACGCUCACCGCACCAUUUGUUAAGAAUAAGAAACGUAAUCUCUAUUUCUUAACUUCCGAUACACCGUUUCACAAAAGAUUGAGCCACCGGCACAUCACCGAUUCAUAACUCUCUCUCACAAGCGACACAUACGUUACUAAACAUUCAUCAAACAAUGCAUAAAACUAAUUACAAGUCUAAUCUCAGUAUUUAUAUACAAUUGUUUCUUAAUUUUUCUUCUUUCUUCUCUUCACUCACGUGAUCAAUACUAAACUUUGACUCUCUCUUGUUACGACCACAAAUUUUUGACGUAUCGAAAUGGUUGUCAGUCUAAUAAAAAACCGUAAAUAAAAUCUAGUAAAAUCUCUGUUAAAUUAAUAGUGUUGGAAUCAAAAUAUUUUGAUUUAUAGUGAUAAGUUAUCUCUAAAUGAAUAUUUAUUAUUUUAUGAUAUAAAUGAAUUGUUAAUUUGUAGAGACAUUUUUUUAUUUUUUUAUUAAUAUACGUAUAUCACCUUGAAUAAUUAAUACAAAGAUACUUAAAUGAUACUGUGUUUAUAUAAAAAAAAAAAAAAAUCAUUAGCAAUCAUUCGAUUCGGCUUGCAAUAAUCUAAAUGGACCAUUUUAUCACUUCUCCAACAAGCAACUCUACAGUGUUUAAUUUUAAAUUAAGAAUUUAAUUAUCUAUAUCGUCUCUUCUUUAGUUAGGAAGUGGAUAAGAUAAAGUCUAAUCCAAAUUAAAUCAUUAAUACAAAUAAAGUUAAGACAAAUAUUUAAUUUAAAUAAAUAAUCAGAAGAAGAGUGAUGAUAGUGAUUCUUCACGCGCCUCUCUCUCUUCUUCGUCCUCUACAAAAACACUUGUCUCUCUUCUACACAUUGUUCUUCACGAACCUCUCUGUAUCAUCUUCAUCUUCUUCUCCCGUAAAGCUCUCGCGUCUAUGGCGGUCAAAUGUUUCUCUCUUUAUCUGAUUCUGGCGGCGAUUGUAAUCGGCGGCGUCACCUCCGAGUACAUAGAGUACAACACAAAACCGAGAAUCGUCCCUGAGAAAAUCAAUGUUCACUUAGUUCCUCACUCACACGACGAUGUAGGUUGGCUUAAGACCGUUGAUCAGUACUACGUAGGCUCCAAUAACUCCAUUAGGGUACUCUCCCUCUUCACACAUCUCUCUCUCUGUCUCUUUCCAUGGAUUCUUUAGGGAUUUGAUUUUUGUUCUCAAUUUGAUUUGAAUCAGGGAGCUUGUGUUCAGAAUGUAUUGGAUUCUGUAAUCGCUUCAUUGCUUGAUGAUGAAAAUAGAAAGUUUAUUUAUGUUGAAAUGGUAAGAUUCAGAUAUUACCAAAUCCGGAGUUUUCUUUUGUCUUGCUUGAUGAAAUUAGUAUUGUUCUUAGGCUUUCUUUCAAAGAUGGUGGAGGCAACAAAGCAAUGCUAAGAAAGUUAAAGUCAAGAAGCUUGUUGACUCUGGUCAACUUGAGUUCAUGUGAGUUUGAUUGAUCUCUUACCUUUUUUGUUUUGAUGACUUGUGUGUAUCUGUUUGUGUUGAUAUGUGGUUUUUGUAGAAAUGGUGGAAUGUGUAUGCAUGAUGAGGCAACUCCACAUUAUAUUGACAUGAUUGAUCAGACUACAUUAGGCCAUCAGUUUAUUAAAACUGAGUUUGGUCAGGUUCCUAGAGUUGGUUGGCAGAUUGAUCCCUUUGGACAUUCUGCAGUACAAGCUUACCUGCUUGGUGCUGAGGUAUAAUUUGUUCAUCGUUUUUGUUCCUUUCGUUUCAUAGUGAGUUUAGAUGAGUUCAGUAUGUGAAUGAUUAGCUUAUAUCAGCUCUAAGUUAUUUUGAUCGGACAACCCUUUGGUUUCUUCUACAGUUUGGCUUUGAUUCGCUGUUUUUCGCUAGAAUUGACUACCAAGAUCGUGCAAAGAGGUUAAGAGAGAAGACACUUGAGGUUAUUUGGCAAGGUUCCAAGUCUCUUGGCUCUUCUUCACAGGUUUAAACCGUUAAACCUCACAUUAUAAUUCUGCUGUUUCCAUAGCUGGCUUUGUCUCAUUGCUAUUUGAUGUUACUUGUAGAUAUUUACUGGUGUAUUCCCAAGACAUUAUGACCCUCCUGAAGGGUUCACGUUUGAAAUAAAUGAUGUAUCAGCUCCUAUCCAGGUAAAAGCAAUUGAACCGGCUGUGCUGUUUUUGAACUUUGUUUGAACGUGCACUGAUGAAUCAUCUUGAAUAUAGGAUGAUCCUCUCCUUUUUGACUACAAUGUUCAAGAAAGAGUCAACGACUUUGUAGCAGCAGCCCUCGCACAGGUAAAGAUCAUAUCCAUUUUUUCUUGAAAUUAGCUAAUAGAAAAGAAGCUUUGCUGUGAUGUGACUUGGAUUUCUCUUUUCAAGGUUAAUGUGACCAGGACAAAUCAUAUAAUGUGGUUAAUGGGAACUGACUUCCGUUACCAGUAUGCAUAUUCGUGGUUCAGACAGAUAGACAAGUUUAUUCAUUAUGUUAACAAGGUACACUGGAUUUUCAUACUAGCAUACUCAUAUCAAUUGAAUUUCACUAGUCUCAAGGUAAGAGAAAUACCAAUCUUGAUUCUCUUGUUCUUUGGACAAUCCAGGAUGGGCGUCUCAAUGUUCUGUAUUCGACACCAUCUAUCUACACCGAUGCAAAAUAUGCUGCAAACGAGUCCUGGCCCCUAAAGACUGAUGAUUUCUUCCCGUGAGUUUGAUAGCUCGGGUUUUACUUUCUACAAAUGCAAAAUGCAUGUUGAUCAAAUAAAUAAUACAUGUACCUGUGUCAGGUAUGCGGACAAACCUAAUGCAUACUGGACAGGGUACUUUACGAGCAGGCCAGCCUUUAAGAAAUACGUGAGGGAUUUAAGUGGUUACUAUCUGGUAUGGCCUACAAUUAUUUUAUAUAAAUUUCAUAGAUUUGUGGUUUAUAUUUUGCUCUUUUCUUACACGGCCUUAUCUGUUUUCAAACAGGCAGCUCGACAAUUGGAAUUCUUGAGAGGAAGGGAUAGUUCAGGACCAACAACUGAUAUGCUAGCCGAUGCUUUGGCAAUUGCUCAACACCAUGAUGCAGUUAGUGGUACACAAAGACAACAUGUGGCUGCAGAUUAUGCUCUUAGACUCUCAAUGGGCUACCUGCAGGUGAUUUUUAGUUAGGCAUCUCAUGUGUUGUUCAUGCAAUUUUUGUGUUUCUUGUUGGCAUAGCAGUUUAAGAAUUUCUCCAUGAUCAUUACUAGGCCGAGAAAUUGGUUGCCUCUUCCCUUUCCUUUCUAUCAGCAGCAAAAUCAAGUACUGAAAAGAAGAAUCCUGGCACAAAAUUUCAGCAGGUAAUGUGCUUUAAGAUUUUGCAGGAUUCCAAUAUUACUGGUCGUGUUGGAAGAGUUGAAAAGACAUUGAUAUCGAAUUUGAGUGGUUAUUAAUAUCGCUUCCGCAAAUGAUGCUGUUGCUUAAGGCAACAAAGAAGUUUUAGUAAGCUGCUUUGUAGCAUUUUCAUGACUUGAAUGACUCAAGUUCCCAAAACUUAUCAUAAUCUAUGUUAAGCUGAUUCUUAUCUUGUGCAUUAUAUUCAUAUUGGCAGUGUCCCCUGCUUAAUAUUAGUUACUGUCCUGCAUCUGAAGCUCGUCUGUUGAGCGGGAAAAGCCUGGUAAGUCUAGCAGACAGGCUUCCUUUGAGUCUAUGAAGCCUUGGACCUCUUGGUUAGUUUUUAUCUUCUGUUCACAUUGAUCUCUCCUUGUAGGUGGUUGUUGUUUACAAUUCUCUAGGAUGGAAACGAGAAGAAGUUGUCCGAGUUCCUGUAAGUAUUUUCUUAUCUACUUGGUUGACCAGUGUAGUUCUCACUUUAUCUUUGUUUGUUAUCCAAUAUUAUUUACCAAAUCUACCUGAUAACUUCUUUAGGUGUCGUCUGAAAAUGUUAUUGUGAAAGAUGCAUCUGGGAAAGAAGUCGUGUUUCAGCUUCUACCUCUUUCAGAAAUCGCUUUGAGAAUUAGAAAUGAGUAUGUCAAAGCGUAUCUGGGAAGAUCACCACGGGAUACUGCAAAACACGUGCUUGCAUUUACAGCUUCAGUACCACCUCUUGGGUUCAGCUCGUAUGUAAUCUCAGACACUGGACGAACAGGUAUGUUUCAGAAUAUGUAAUAUUGUGUCAUAACAUUAUUAUGAGUUAUAGGAUCUUGAAUACAAUUGCAUAUGUUUUAGCUCUACUAGCCGCAACUUCCUUACUGAUACCAACGGAUGUUAUGUAUUUAAUUACAUCUUCGUUUUCUAAUUUGAUUAAGCGCGUGGACUAUCUGCAUCAUAUGUUACUUCUGGAAGCAUGAAUCAAAAUGUAGAAGUUGGCCAGGGAAAUCUAAAGUUACGCUAUUCAGAAGAAGGAGUUAAAAUAACUCGUCACUUAAGUACCAAAAAUCAGGUGUGCCUGUGUUUUUUAUAUCUUAACUUACCUAUUUUUCCAUUCGGAUAUGUAAACAUCAUCUGAUGUUGAUUUUUGGUGGAUUUUAAGGUUACUGCAGAACAGUCAUAUGCUUAUUAUAUUGGAAGCAAUGGAACUGACAAGGAUCCUCAGGUAGCUCAGCUCUUUAACAGAUACAACCUUAUCUACUUAGCUAUCAUUUUGAUGUGUGUCUGAACCAUUCUCAUAUACUUUUAUAAGGCUUCUGGAGCUUACGUUUUUCGACCAGAUGGUGUGCUUCCAAUUAAAUCUAAAGAAGAGGUAAUACAUAUAAGCUGCAUCUAUAACCUUAUUUCCCGACAGUAUGUGAAAACACAAAAGAAAAACUAAUUGUCUAGCCUGACUCAGGCUCAAUUGACUAUUGUUCAAGGACCUUUGUUCGAUGAAGUGCACCAGGAGCUUAACUCCUGGAUAUCACAGGUUAUAAACUCUUUGCAACUAGUUAAUGCUCUUAAACAGUUUAAUUACAUCACAGAAGCUAUAACUGUUUGAUCCAUCUUGUGAUGGGUCUGUUAAUUUGCAGAUUACCAGAGUGUACAAGGGAAAAAACCAUGCUGAAAUUGAGUUCACAGUGAGUUGAUCUCUUUUCACAAUUCUUCAUGUUAAACUGAUGAAGAGAAAUUUCAGUAUUUUAAUUUCCUACUUUCUAGAUUGGGCCUAUACCAGCUGAUGAUGGUAUUAGCAAAGAGAUUAUCACUAAACUUACAACCACCAUGAAGACAAAUGGAACAUUUUACACAGACUCGAAUGGCCGUGACUUCAUCAAGCGGGUAUUAGAUGCAAAAUUCAUGUGAAGUAGUUUAUUUUUAUUUUUGUAACAAGGGGUAUUUUGUUUUUAUUGUAACAUACUUUGUUACAUUUUCUUGCAGAUUCGGGACUUCAGAACAGAUUGGGACUUGCAAGUGUACCAACCGGUUGCUGGGAACUAUUAUCCUGUAAGGCAUCAAACCCAUCUGAGAUUCCUUCUCGUGGUGUACUAAGGUCUUGUACUAGACUGAGCUGCACUAUAUCUGGCCUUUUGUCUAAUAUAUAUAUUUUCUUCCAGCUAAAUCUCGGGAUAUACAUGCAAGAUAAAACCUCAGAGCUAUCCGUGUUGGUGGAUCGAGCUGUAGGUGGAUCCAGCUUAGAGAACGGCCAGAUCGAGUUGAUGCUUCAUCGGUUUGUCAACUAACUUUCUCUAUAUAACCAAGACAAGCAUAUGUUGUUUUGCUUGUAUUUCACCUUUUUUUCAUUCAUGUAGGAGAAUGCAGCAUGAUGACAUUAGAGGUGUUGGUGAGAUUCUUAAUGAAACAGUCUGUCUCCCUGAAGGAUGCAAAGGAUUAACGGUAAGCUUAAGUUCUCAUCUCAUUUUUAGCUGUCCAAGUUGCAACGUAUCAGCUUUUAAGGGAACAUGUGACAGAGCUUGUUUCCAAGGUGGUAUUAAAUCGUUAUAGUUGGUCUUAUAACCGUUAUGGUAACUCUGAAUUGUUUUGCAGAUACAAGGGAAGUUUUAUGUACAGAUAGAUAAACCUGGAGAUGGGGCAAAAUGGCGUCGAACAUUUGGUCAAGAAAUUUAUUCUCCACUACUUAUAGCAUUCACAGAACAGGUUGCUCUUAAAAAAAAAAAAAUACUUACUUCCCUCCAGUUCUAUAAGAUAGUGAAGUGAGAUAAGGUACUUUUUUUGUAGGAAGGAGAUAGUUGGAUUAAUUCACAUAAGACGACAUUCUCAGCGUUUGAACCGUCAUAUUCAUUACCAAAAAACGUCGCAUUACUCACCCUCCAGGUUAGUUGGAUUGUGUACUGUAUACAUGUCAAAGACGGUUUUUUAUUAGUUUGACCACACUCACACUAUGAUUAAUUCUGACAUUUUCAGGAGUUGGAAAAUGGGGAAGUUCUUCUAAGGCUUGCUCACUUAUUCGAGGUUCUUACUUGUCCUCUCUAUGCGUUUCCACCGUUAAUAAUGUGUUAUAGCUAUGUGCUUUUUGGUUGUGGAAAUGUAGUUUAACACUAGGCCGAUUAAACUAGCAAAUAAUUAGAGAUAUAGAAAAACUUGUAUUACUCAGAAAACCCAAAUCUUGCAGUGUCAGGAAACCAGACAAUUAGUUGUAUAGAGUUAGUUCAUAAAACCAAACCGUAACGUUUAGGGUGUAUUUUUCACCUAAAAAUCAAACUGUUUUCAUGUUUAUACUCGUAAAAAGCUGACUAUGCGGUUGAUCAUCGUGCUAUGUCAUUUGGUUUUCCUUAAUAGUUCCACAUGUGAAAUAAGAUGAGACCUAAAGUAAUAUAGAAGGGAGAUGGUCAAGUCCACUAAUUGGUUUUAAAUUGAGAACCCAUGAACUUCGACAGUGUUGCUUUUUUGGUUCACUAAGCAACGGGUAAAAUCUAAUGUGGAAUUUGAUAAUUAUUUUCUAUCUCUUCUCUUAAUGGUUUCAUCGAAGUUGAGUCCUUCUGAGUUACUGUCUUGUUAACCUUGUGAAGGUUGGGGAGGAUAGUGAGUACUCAGUUAUGGCAAAAGUAGAGCUCAAGAAACUAUUCCACAACAAAAAGGUUCGCCAAAAAAAGACGACCCUUCUCUUAUUUGUCUCACUGUAUGUUAACAAAAACAACUGCCGUUCUGUUUUUAAUAUGUUUUGAACAGAUAAGGGAAGUAAAGGAGACAAGUCUUUCCGGGAACCAAGAGAAGGCGGAGAUGGAGAAGAGACGGCUAAUCUGGAAAGUAGAAGGCUCGGCCGGGGAGGAAGUGAAGAGAGGAGAGGCGGUGGACGCAGAGAAGCUAGUGGUUGAGCUUGUUCCGAUGGAAAUUCGAACCUUGUUGAUCAAGUUUGAUGAUCAAAUUGAAAUGGUUGGUGAUAAAGAGCAGCAACAUAGGUUAUGAAAUAAUACACGUUGUUGUUGUCUUUUUAAGUUUAAUCGGAGAAGAGAAAAAAGUUUGAAUUUAGUGUCUGAUGCGAGUUUAAAAUUCGGGUGAUUGCAACAGUCACGAGUGCGAUCCCGGUAGGAGUAUCGCAAUUUCUGCAUUAACAUUUACGUUUGCUAAGGGGUGGGCAUUUUAACCGAACCGAACCGAUCCGAACCAACCGAACUCAAACCGACCCAAACUAAACCCGGAUUAACACUAAAAUUAUUCGGUUAGGCUUCUUCUCAACCCAAAUAGUUCGGUUUAAAAACUUUCCUAUCACGACAAUAAAUUUUGUUUGGUGUUUACAUAACCGAAUUAAUCGUACCGAAUCCGAACUUAAACCGAAAUUCCCACCGUUAACCUGGCUAUACUGAAACUAUAUAUAUACGUAUAUAUAUAUAUAUAUAUACAUGCGAUGUUGACAAAUGAACACAAAAGUAGAUAAACUCAAACCGGUAGUUAUUACAUUAACUGUGUAAUAAAGAUUCGGUAUAUCCCACCCGCGAAGAAAAGGAAUCAUAUCACGGGUUAACGAAUCCGGGUCGGGUACACGGAGCAAUCAUAAAGAAGAAACAAAAACUACGACGACAACUUUUUUUUGGCCUUGGUUAAAAAAUUUUCAUAAGUGAACACAGAAGAAGCGGUGGCUCUGAGCCGGCGAAAUCUCCUUUCUCAUCCCUAAAAUUUUCAUGUCCAUCUUGCCUCCUCCGAUUAUCCAAGGUCACAAUUCGUCUUCUCCUUCUUCAGAUUCCUCUCUAAACCCUAGCUCUGAGCAUGGCAACAACUCUUCUUCUUCUCUCUCUCCUCUUCCCUCCUCUCCUCCUUCCCGGAUCUCUUCUUCCACCGGAACUCGAUUCUCCGGACAUUCUGAAUCCUCUCACAAUUUCUCCGGUGGCUCUAGGGGUAAUGGAAUUGAUUGAUUAACUCAGCUGCUUGAUUUUGCCCUAAAUUUUAGGGUUUUUACAUUAAAAGUUCGUUAAUUUUGUUGAGUUUUGAUUUGGGUUUUUAGGGUCUCUUUGAAAAAUCUUAGCUUUUUCUCUAAUUUUUUAUUCUUUCUGUUAAACUGUAGAACCGAGUGUUGCAGCUGAGGAGGGACAUAGCCGUGGAUCUUCCAAAGAGGUAAACUUUAGAUGCUUCUCAGUAAAUGAUGAGACUUUAAGUCCUUUUUUGUUGAAUGGUCCGUUACUUUUGUUUCUACGCUGCAGAUGACACAAAAUGGAGCAGGGAAGGAGAGUUUUUCCCCACCUAAUGCAGAUAAGCGUGACCAUUUUCGAUAUGAUGGUCGAAGGAAUAGGUCUAGAGGGAGAGGUACUGGAGCUGCUGGUUCUUCUUCUUCUCAAUUGCAGCAUAAUUCCGGACCUUUUAAUUCUCCUAGAGGCGGUGUUUCGCAUCAUAAUCCAACUGGUAGAAGAGCUAAUAUGAUAAGUGGGAAUCAUUUACUGAAUUUUCAGUAUGAUCCGAUUUCGCAACCGCAAUCUAGGGGUCCUCCUCCGCCUCAAAGAAGGCAACAAUAUAAGGGGAGGCCUUUUAACAAGGAUUUGUUUCUUAAGGCCAAUUAUAAGUUUGUUGUGUUGGACACUGGAGAUCAUUCUCCUGAUUCAAUGGAUCCUGAUAAAAUGCUGCAGUGGGAUGAUAUUAUUUGUGUAAGGUAUUCUACUCCGUCUCCUGUCCAGUGUCCGAUUUGCUUGGAGUAUCCUCUAUGUCCGCAGAUUACUUCCUGUGGGCAUAUUUUCUGUUUCCCGUGUAUUCUACAGUACCUGUUGACUGGUGUUGAUAACCACAAGGUGGACUGCUUCAAGAGGUGUCCUUUGUGCUUUGUGAUGAUUUCUCCAAGAGAGUUAUACACUGUUUAUAUUGAGAACGUCAAGCAGUAUUCUGUUGGAGAUCCCAUCGAGUUUGUACUUUUGACUCGCAAGAAAGAUUCUUUUGCUCCUACCCGGAAAAAUGAGCAUGACUUGGCUGUUCCUAAUGGUGAAAAUGAGAUAUAUGAUCCGUUCUCAAAGUUCACUUUCACCCAAGAUGUUGAUCUCUCUGUCAGACAAGCAGUUUCAGAGUUAGACAGUUGGAUUGCAAGAGCAGAUCCUCAGCUCGUUGAAGACUUGGAGAAGCAUCUUUAUGUAAAUGCCGCUUUAGAGCGUUUGGAGCAGAGAAAAUUGUACUGGAAUGAGCAUAAGCUCUCUAUUUACAGCAAAGUGUGCACAACGGCUAGAAAUCAGACUCAAUCAUUGUCACCUCCUGAUGUUUCUCGAGUUGGUUAUCAAGCACCCAUGGGGGGCCAUGGAGCGCCAGAUAGCGGCUCCAAUGAUCAAGAUAAAUCAACUGAAGAUUCUUCAGCGGAUAAGUCAGAUGGAGAAUCUCAAUCAAGUUUGGAAAAGGGUUGUGAUAAUGAUCUUGGUCAUCCUCUAGAAGAUCAAGACGCACCGUCAUCUUCCUCAUGCAAUGGAAGUAAAGGUUUCCUGUCUCACCAAAUUGACACCAAAGACCUGAAGGACAACGACGCGUACAACUUUUAUCAGGUAAUCAGUUUCUGAUGCAUACUGUUGUGUUUUCAUAAAGUACUAAUGAGCUGCAUGAUGAUUGUUUUAUUGCUAUGGGCUGGUCAAUCUCUAUAAUCUGAAAUAAAUGUUAUUAUCUGUUUUCGAUAAUCUAGGUGGGUUUAUUAAAUAAUUGUGGUGGUUCUAUCCAUAUAUGCUUAAUUUGUCUUACCUUUGUGCUCUUGUUGUGUACCUAUACAGUCUGUUGAUGGUCAGCACAUUAUCCUUCACACUUUGAAUGUGAAGUGCCUUCUGCAUCACUAUGGAAGCUAUGACUUUCUUCCACCAAGGUAAGAUUCCAGGUCGUUUAUGCAUCACAAUUCUCAUUUUUCAAAGACUAUGGAAUAAGUUCCAAUGGGAUCUUCUUCGUUAUCUAAUCAUUUCUGCAUGUAUUUGGGAUGCUGAUUCAAAGUGUGAUAUAUGGCACUUUUCGUUGAUUAAUCAAGAACCGUUCGUAUAAAGAUCCAACUCUUAUUUAGUAUGAAAAUCAGAACGGACAAUACAUUCAAGUAAAAACGGUUCAGUACAAGAUGUUAUCAUCUCUAGUUUGUUGUUCUAAUAGACUUCUGAUUUUGAUCCAUUAAACGGCAGAUUGAGUGGAAAGAUACUGGAAAUGGAAACCAUUACCCAAUCAGAAGCGAUAAGGAGACGCUACCGCUUUUUAAGUCAUUUUUCUUUAUCAACUACACUUCAGGUAUAUUUUCUCUUUGUUGCUCCUAUCUUCUGCAUGUGUUGCUAUAUCUUGACAUUUUCUCAUGAGGUUAUCCUUGGUUUGGUAAUCUUUUCAGAUAUGUGAGAUUGAUAUGAAGGAAUCCUUGCCUCCUGAUGCAUUUGCUCCAUUUAUACAUGAAAUUAAGAAGCGUGAGAAGCAGCGGAAAGAACGUGCUUGGAAGGUAUUCUCGUUCUAACCAUAAAACACAACCCCACGGUCUACUUCAUCUAAUAUCUUUCAGAUUCCAACUCCUAUUGGCUUUGUUUGCUUUGUGUCUUAUUCUCCUAUGUAUUCCUUUGUUUAAGGAAAAAUCAGGACUUAAGAUCAUAUGAUGUUCAUAUUUCAGGAUCGAAAAAAUAAAAUCAAAGCUGAAGUAGCUGCAGCUGCAGAGCUUGUACCAUUGAUGGCCAGUUUUGGGCAGUCGUCUUCUAGUGAUGACUUUCCCCCAUUUUCCUUGGAUGACUUUGAAGGUAAACAAGAGGAAUCUCUCGUCUCGUAAUUGGAUUUUAGGUUUAUUGAUCUAAUAAGAAGCUUUUGUUGUGUCUCUCUUAAGCUCUGGGAAACUCUGCCCCAAUAUCAUCAAGCCCUCCAAACAUUGGAGAGAGAAGUUCCUUCUCACAUGUGACAAGGCUCGGUUUCGCAGCUGGUCACGACUCCCCAAACCUGAAUAACGAGCCAACAAACGUUCAAAGCAGCAGCAGCAGCAGUGAAGUCUCAAACGCAACCACAGGUAACCACUGUUUUUAGCUCUGCAAAUUCUAAAUAGGAUUCUCGGAUGACCUCUAAACAUGGUUUCAGGUGCAAGAAACACAAACAUAACAUCCUUUGCGAGUGUAGCUUCAAGAACAACAACACCAAUGGCACCAACCGUCAAAGAGCCCGGUAAGAGAGGGAAGAAACAGAGCCGAGUACUUCUAUCGACAACUAGUGUACGCCGUUACUGAAAAGGCCUAUGGAUUUGUGUAUGUAUAAUAAUCUUUUCAUCUAAGAAAAACUGAGUAAAGAAAGAACCAGAGAUUAUGGUGAGUGAGUAAGUGUAAAACUCAAACUUGGGCUUUGUUUCUUUUUGCAACCCAUGUGACUGAUAAUGAAGGUGUCUCUCAUUACUACUAGUCUACUAUGCCAUUUAGGACAAUUAUUGAGACUCAAUCAUAUGAUCCUCUUGACUCAGAGAACUAGAAAAAAAAAGAUUGGAUAAAAUUUCUUCCAAGAGUGAUUUUCAUUCUCACAUGUUACAACAAAGCAUGAACCUUAUCCUUUAAAAAAUAUCUUCUUCCUUUUGUUCAAACUUUUAUCUUCUUUGUCAUAGAAAGUUUGGACCACUGAUUUUAGUCCGUUGGAUUAUCAAUUAUUGACCUCAAUAAUAUCAAAAUUUACUUCAAUGAGAAUAAGAUUACAAUUUUUUAUUUUUUUUUGAACACCAACAAAUCUGCUUCUUCUCUGGCUAUAAAUAAAGCAUAAACUGUUCCAAAAACAGAACCAAAAAAUAUCUAAAAUCACUAAACCUAUCUUCUUAACCAAAAGAUCAAUAGAUUACAAAAAUGCAGGGAGCUCUGUUUAUCAAACCAACUAUUCUUCUUCCUCUUCCUUCUUCAGUUUCUUCUCCAAAACUCACUUUUCUUCUUCCUCACGCAACCAAAGCUUCAAGACUCUCAUCUCUCAGAUCAAACAACUCAUCAUCAUCAUCAUCCUUAACGUCUGACCCUAACACCGUCGACUAUAACUCCUCCAUCCUUUCGUAAGUCCUUUUGAUCACUUCCUCAGUUCAUCCCCUCUUGUUUCUCUUCUCAUUGACUUACUCAAUAACAUCUCUAUACUCAGUGUUUUUCCAGCUGAAGCAUGCGAAGUAAUCAGUGGAUACGCUUGUUCUGCUGAUAUUUACCCUGAAGUCAAGCUCGAUACAAAGCCCGUCUCACGUCCCGUGGCUUCAGAGCCCGUUGACAGAGAAUACGAAGAGUAUAACAGCCCCAAAACGUAAGUGUUUUUCACAUUUUUUAAAACCCUUUCCUUAGCUUGAUUUUUCAUCUCUGAGUUUUGUGAUUUUUGGACUUGGAAACAGGGUUUUCCGUGAAGAGGCCUGCGAUGAUCUUGGAGGAGAAUUCUGUGAACCUGACUUUCAAAAAGAUGCCAACUAGAAGAAACAAGAUUUUAUGUCAUGUGAAUAUGUGUUUGUAUUUCUACAAGUCUUUGUAACCACUCCUUAAUUUAUGAUAUCUAGCUUCACUACUUAAUCAAGAUUGAUGUUAUGGAUUAGACCCGAGUUCCCAAAGUUAAUACUCUCUCUGUUCCAAGUUAUUUGAUGUUUUGGGUUUUACACAAGAAUUAAGAAAAAUUAACUUUUAUAUUUUUAAUUAUUUUUUUGUUAGUUUAAUAAAUAUUAGUUGAGUAUUUAUAAUAAAUGACUAUAGAUUUGAAAAGAAUGUACAAACUAACCUUGAGUCACAGUAUCUUGUCGGAAACAUGUUGGAGAACACGUGUAAUUACGUAAAUGUCCUUUGUAACAUGUUAUUUUUCCGAAAUACAUGCGAUAACAUAAUAUCCUCUUUUUAUCUUGUUAUUUUCUCUUAUUACAUAGUAUUUGUAAAAAGCACGUAGUAUUUUUUGGAAAAAACAUUCUAUUCAGUUUAAUAUCUCAUUUUAUCAUGAUAUUUUGUAGUAAUACACGUUUUUUUAUUAAGAUCACACUUGAUUUCUUUAAAAAUAUAUUCUUAUUUUUUAGUAAUACAUGGUUUUUAUUAAAAUCACAUAUAAUUUUUUUUUUUUAAGAUUCUGUUCAUGUAAAAGAAUUUCAUAAUAAUGUUUUUUCUUAAAAAUUCAUAACGUUUUUUGAAAUAGCAUGUUUUUAAACUAAAUAUAACAUGUGAAAUUUUAAUGUUACAUGCUAUUUUGAAAAUUUACACGGAUGUGUUUCGUUUACUGUUCAUCUUACAACAAAUGAAGGGUAGCUUUGUUAUUUCCUUUCUUCCGACAACGUGGAUCCAUGGUUAUUUUGUAACAAAAAACUUUAUCUCUGCUAGUUUCUUAAUUUGUAUGUUUUAUUUGGUUAUCUACUAAUAUUACUCAUAUUAGUUUUACUUCUCUCCUUUACUAUUGGUUACAAACAAAAAUAAUAAUGAUUGUUUUCCAAAUCAUCAAUUUUGGUGGAAAAAGUAAAAAAACUUAAAACAUCAAAUAACUAGGAAAAGAGAGAGUAAUAAUUUAAAUACUUGAUAACUAAAAUGAUGAGAAAUUUUGCAUACUAAAAGGUUAGAUAAAAGCUUUGUUGGCAAUGUUCGUUUGUUCAUAUGGAUGAUACAAUCAAAUGAUCCACUCAAAUGAUCAUCUAGAUAAUUCAUAUGGAUGUUGUAUGUUUCUGAAUUUGGUUGUGCAUCUAAACGAAACUAAUUAACGUAGUACUAAUUGACACCGCUGCAAAAGAACGACUCUACUUCAAUCAACGUUUAAGAGCAUCUCUUUUCUUAGAAACUUUUUGGGUUUUUCAAAAUAUUUUAUUUUAAUCAAACUGUAGAUGCUAUGUGUUAAGAACCUUUUUCCAUGGGUUCUUGAGAAGCAUUCUUCAAUCUCUCUUUUACUUUAUAAUUACUUUUUUAAUUGAUGAGAACAACAAUGGACAUGCCCAAAAUUUGUUACUCGGAAGAACUGUGCAACAAAAAAACAAAUAAGAAACAAAGUUUACAUGUUUUUACGAACUUGAAACGUGGAUAGUCUAUAUUAGAAGCUUUUGAUCAAACUGUAGAUGCUCAUCUUAAAAAUAACAUCAAAUGGUAAAUAAUUUUUUAAAAAUUGGUAAAAAUAAAAUAAUAGAUAGUACAAAAUACAAUAAAUAAGAAAUAUUGACAAAAAAAAACAAAUAUGAAAAGAAAUCUACGUACUUUAAAAACUUGAAACGUGAACGACAUAUAUUAGAUGAAUUUAAUGAUCUAACGGUAUCACCUCAAAAAUCAUGUUUAUUUAGUAGAAAUAUUAAUAAAUAGAUAGUAAUACAAGAAAUAAUACAUACAAAAAUGUUGACCAAGAAAACAAAUAAGAAACAAAAUCUAGAUGUUUUAAGAAACUUAAAACGUGGACGACAUAUAUUAAAAGACUUUGAUCUAACGGUAGAUGUUCACCUCGAAAAUCAUGUCAAUUUGGUUGAAAUAUUUGUAAAUAGAUAUAAGAAACAAUAAAUACAAAAAUGUUAACCAAGAAAAUAAAUAAAAAACAAAAUCUACAUGUUUUAAGAAACUUGAAACGUGGACGACAUAUAUUACAAGACUUUGAUCUAACGGUAGAUAUUCACCUCGAAAAUCACGUCAAUUUGGUAGAAAUAAUAAUAAAUAUAUAGUAAUAUAAGAAACAAUAAAUACAAAAAUAUUGACCACAAAAACAAAUAAGAAACAAAUCUAUAUGUUUUAAGAACCUUGAAAAGUGAACGGCAUAUAUUAGAAGAUUUUGAUCUAACGAUAGAUGUUCUUGAAAAUAAUAUCAAAAUAGUAAAAAUAUUUAAUGAAAAUUAUUUUAGAAAGAUAAUAUUAGAUAGUAUAAAAUAUAAUAAAUGAGAAACGUUGACUGUAAAAAAAAACAUGUUUUAAGAACCUCGAAACCUGAACGACAUAGAUUAGAAGAUUUUGAUCCAACGGUAAAUGUUCACCUUGGAAUUAACGUCAAGAUAAUUCCAAAAUGCUAUAAAUUGAGGUUUUUGUUUUAGUUCUUCUUCACACUUACAUAUCAAAUAUAUUUUAUUCAUUCUAUAAACUAAAAGAAAAAAUCCUUUCUCUCAUCUCCCUUUCUGUUGCUUACCAUUUUUUCAAAACUGUCUUUGAAGUGAUGAUAUGGACAGGUUUUCUCUCCUGCUUUUUGUUUUAUCUUUUAGAAAUCCAAAUUUUCAUAUCUCGUAGAAUAGUAAUCUCUUAUUUAUUAACCUUAUGGAAAUGAGUUUUUGUCCCUCGUAGACUUGUUGAGUGUGAAUACAAAGGUGGUGUUUUCGCAUUAAACCUUUUUUUUUUGCUGUGAAAAAUGUUCUACUUUUGAUAGGGUAAAUGGGAGGUUCAAGGCCCAUCAUAAUAGAAAUCUUCUUCUUUUUUUAUCAUAUGGAUGCUCCUCCCCUCUAAUCACUCAUUUUAUCAUUCUCAUUUUUUAUAUUUACCGCUAAUGCAAGAAUCUCAUCUUCCAGCUUCUGGUCAGAGGCUUGACCAUUUGUAUAUGCGCUUCUCCCAUGUCCCGUAUAAACCAAAAUUCUCAAGGUUCUAGAGAUUUUCUAUACCGACAUGGCGAAAGCGUAAACAAGAACAGUCAAGCAUCUGACCAGGAGUUGAAAAUGGAAUCUUGAGUUAGAAGCGAAUGUAAAGACAUGAAAUGAAGUGAGAGUGAUCAAAGGCGACCAAAAUCCAAUGUUAUGUACUUAUGACUAGACAAUUUUUAAUUUUGUAGAUGAAUGAAUACAUGUUUGAUAUUUGAAUACCCAAGUUAGACCUAAACUAAUCGUCUAAUCCAAUGAAACUUUUUGAUUUUUUUUGGUAUUGGUAAGAAUGUUUAAUAAGAUGAAAAUAUGUAGCAUUUUGGCACAUUUUUUCAUAUCAAAAUAUCACUUCUCACAUAACAACAAUUAACGAGCAAGAAAAAUAAAGCCUAUCAUUGAGCUUCUUCCUCCUAAUCCUAUCAUGGACUUGUAAUGCUUGGACUCUUGGGGAUCGUGUGGAGAAAAGAUGAUUCAGUAGAAAAUGGAGUAGUUUUUUUUUACUGAAGUAAAAACUGAAAGGUUUGAAUCCUUCUUAAGAGAGAGACUUUCACAGAGAAAACAUUUAGAAAAACAAAAAAAAAGAAGUACCAAACGGCUUGGAUCAUCAAGAGGACAUCACUAAAAACUAGAAUCACGAGGACUUCAUUACUACAUGCAUUAUAAUCAUAGAAAAAUUCAGAGAAGCUAAAUUAAAACCCUAUAAAAAAGGUUAGGUUUUUAAAAGAUUCAAAGGACCUACCACUUUUACGUUUCUUCAUCACAUCCUCUACGUUCUCGUGACUCUCUCUUUCUAUCUCUAACCGCCAUUAACUAUGUCUCCUCUCUAUCUCUCUAAAUCUUUCUUUUGUACGGAUACAUACAACGUAUAUAAAAGUUCUUAAAACAUUAAGUAAGCAUUUAAAGAAGAAAACAAACAAAAUGGUAGGGUCUAUUCUUUGCUCUGCCUCUUCCUUCACCAUUCUUUUCUCUGUUUUUUCUUAAAAAUCUCAAUGUUUUUCUUCACUCUUACAUCAUCAAAGCUCAUUUCAUCAGCUAAUACCAAAGCUAUACCUUUAACAUAACUGUUUUGUCUGUAUAUGUGCAAAUGUUUUGUCUGUCUUCUUUGAGAAGUUCACUCAUGAACAAAGAUGAAGACUUUAAAAAAAAUUCUUGAGCAUAGCUUUAAGAUGAAACAUAAAUGGAAGUUAACAUUGCUAAUAAAAGGUUGAAGUUAUGUAUCCAACAACAACAACCUCAAGUUCUCAAAAGCUUAAUUUAAAAACAACUCUCAUUUGCAAUUGCAUUACAUGCUUAGAUUGAAGUUAUGACAUAAGAAAAAAAGUUGAGAAGAAAAUUGCAGAUUUAAAGGGACUUAGUUCUUCUAGCUCUGCUUCAACAGAUGCUUAAUGGACUCGAAGUCAGGAUCAGAUCAGAUCAUACCAGCAUACCCUGCUGUAUCGAAAAGCACUGCUUUGAUUUGAUCAGGCAGUAUCUCUUGUCCUUCUUGGCAUUGCUGAUAGACAAAAGAAAACAUGUUACUACUAAAACUGUUCUACAAAUCCUUAACCUUUCAACUGAGAGUAGAAGAUCACCUCAGCGCGGAAAACAUCCAAGGCAAACCCAUUAAAACAGCUGAUCACAGCUUGCUGAACAUCCAAUCCAAGAUUAUCCAAAGCUUUCAUGGUAGCGAGCAACAGACCCGGUCUACGACCACAGAACAUAUGAAUGUUCACUGCUCUUCCUUCCCUUAAUCUAACCUCAACCUGUGAAAAAGAAGCAGAGUAAUCUCUCAAACAUGAAUCUUUGUUUUCUUCUUUCCAGUCUAAGCAAAAGUUAUACAGAAUAUAGUCCUUACUCUAGCUUGCUGGCCUUUAGGACUUGGUAAAGAAGAGGGACACAACUCUUCCUUGACACGACAAGAAAGAGUUUGCGGUGUAGGUGUCAACGGAUGGAAGCUUGAUGAAGUUGGAGGCAAAGAUCCAGGAGGAGUUGACUCAAGUUCAUUGUGAAGAUCAUUGAUCCUUUGUAGAAGUUCCUUCAGAUAAUCAAUUGCAUCUCCAAGUAUUGAUGCUCUAUCCAUCUGCAAAUUCAUCGAAAAUCCAUAAAACACUAUCACGAGCCUCUUCCUCAAAAGAGUAAAGCAACUACAUGCAAAGUUUGACAACAACAAAGGCCCUACAAAGCUACAACACAACAAUUCUCUAUAACAGCAACAAGUAAACAAGCUCUUAAGGAGAUAAAAGAGACAAAGUAAGUGUUUACUUUGCUGAUCUUGGGGACAACUGAUCUAAGCAUAUAAAGCCUAUCAUUAAGCUUCUUCCUCCUUCUCCUCUCAGCCAUCAGAUUCUUAGCAGGCAUACCUUUCUUCUUACCCUUUCCUCCUCCUCCAAUCUGAACACUCUCAGCCGCUUUACCGCUCUCAUUUAUCUCAUCAGACUCAUAGUUCAACCCAGAAACCUCAAUCCCAGUCUCAUCCAUAUCUCCAUCAUCACUAAACCUCCUCAUUCCCGAACUCUCCGAAUUUCCCAUUUUGCUUCCAGAGCUCUGACGCAUAGCUGCACGUUUCUGGAACAGAGUAGGCUGUGCACCAGACGAUGCUAACACCUCUAAAGGCUUCAGAACUUUCGCUCUGUUCCCAACAAAACCACCAUUAGCAGGACUACCAAAACCUUCCAACUCCAACGGAGCUGUGAAACCACCACACAACAUUGUGUUGUUGUUGUUGCUUUCCGGCGCAAGAAGUGACCGAGCAGACAAGAAAUCAGGAACAGAACUCAAAUCCCUGUUCCCCAAUUGUGUCAAAGAACCAAACCCCAUCGAAAUAGGAGCAUGGAUUUGGUUAAGAAAACCAGAUUCAGAGCCAAACUCAAAAGCAUUAUCAAAAGGGUUUGCAGAAGAAGGAACAUUGAGAAGACAACCCUUGUUGUUGUUAGUUGACAAGAACUGAUUUUGCUGAGAAGGGUCAAGACUAAAAGCUUGAGAAGGAGAACAAGAAGAAGAAGAAUCAAUAGAGUGUUGAAGAAGAAGAUUAUCAUUAGGGUUAAAAGGAAAACCACCAAAGUAUCUGAAAUCUGGCUGAUUCUGUAACAUCUGAAGAUCUUGUGGAUGUGGUUGGUUACUACUAAACCAAUCACCUUCAAGCAUAGGCUUAAACUGAGAAGAACCAUCUUCUUGAUUCCUUCCCCAUGAACCUUCCUCGUUCUCUUCCCUUUCUCCACCACCACCGUUUAACCAAACCCCUCCACCAUUGUUUCCGUCAAGACCCAUCGCCAAAGUUGACACCUUUACCCCAAAGUCUGAACCUUUAGAGGAAAAUUCUGCAAAGUUGAGACCUUUAACUGAAAUUUGGAAGCUUGAAGACAAUUCUGCAAAAGUUUGAAAACAAAAGAUAUAUACUUUGAAUAUUCAGAGACUUGGAAAAGUAAAAAAAGAGAAGCAUUAAAGUAGAAUCACGAGGAUUUCAUGAAUUGAAGAAGCGAAAUCUGAAAAGGAAGAUAGAGAUAGAGAGAGAGAAUGAUAGAUUCAUUUCUCAGAGCUUUCAAAAAUUGAAACUUUUUUUUUGAUGGAUUCAAUUUCGGCCACCAUGAAAUUGCUUUAUCAUUGAACACAUACCCCAGAUUUCUCGUGACUCUCUUUGCUUUGCUUCGUUUACCGUAUCUCUCUCUCUCUCACCGUCACUAUUUCUCCAUUUUUCUGCUUAAUUUUGGCUUAAGCUUAUCUCUCUGUCUCUGUUGUCACUGUCUCUGUCUUUAUAUAGACAGUGUUUAAGUAAGUUAAUGAUGAUGAUGAUAAUUUCAAAGUGUAAUUAGCAUCAUUCAUGCAACGCGUGUCUUCCAUGCAUUUCUUUAACUCAUAUUAUUACCUAAUUAUUGUUAUGUACUUAAAAGUUCUUUUUCAAAAGAUGGUAAUAAAAUUUAUUUUAUAUUCUUACUAUUAAAUAUAUUUCCUUUUAUUUUUUGUAUUUUUUUAAAAAAUUAUAAAUAAUUAUGUUGUAACGCAUAUCUCGACUUUACCGGCGUCGACAUCUUUUCGAUGGUUCCUAAGCUUCUUGAACAAAGCCACAUCAAGCUCAAGUUUGUAAGUAAAUAGUUUAAUUUCAUAAGUCUUUUAAACAUUAAUUAAGUAAGGACGAGUAAUUCCAAAUUUUCUGAUGAUUGUAGCGUUUAUCACCAUUAUCAACUAAAUUGAGUUCCCAAAAAAAUAUAGUUGUGUUGCGAUAUGCUUUCUAGUCUUCUAGAGGAAGUAAUUAGGGAUUCAUUUUCUAAAAAGUUUUGUUAGUUUCAAUUGUGGCUUUGUGCCUUAAAUUGGCUUUUUGCUUAUAUAGUUUUGGUUUAUGCUUUAUUAUUAGAGAAUUUGUUUUUCUACCGGCUAAGAUUCCGGAGAUUUAAACGUGUUCUCCGGCUAUCUAUCUUAGUUUCCUUCAUUUAAAGGUUUUAAUAAACAUUGAAUUUUUUUUUUUUUAUGGGCUGUUUGUUGCAGUCCACCCAUACUAUAUGGGUUCAAUUAGGAUCACUAUGUAGUAGACCUCAGCCCAAUUCAUUAUGUAUUUUUUAUCUUCUUUCUAAUUUCAUACAAACUAUAAAAUUCUACCUAAAUAACCAAUUUCCAUUUAUUUCUGUAGUUGUAAUUUAUAAUCAAUAAUUCGCGUUUAUUGUUUCGAAAUUUGAGUAAAUCUGAAUUUAAGACUCGGUCAAACUUUUUAAGACUCGGCCAAGCUUUCAAAGUGUUUUUGACAUGUUGUUGGGAAGGUUUUAAACUCGGAUUUACUCUAAUCGCGAAAUAGUAAACAUGAAUUAUUGAUUUUAAAUUGUAAUUACAUAUAAUAAUUGAAUUUGGUAAAUUGGGUAGAAUGUGGAAUUAGAUAGAACAAAAAGAGCAGAAGGUGAAUUGGAUAGAGGUCAAAAAUAUUGGUAAUCCUAGUUAAACGCAUAUAAUACAUGUGGAUUGGUACAAACAGCCAUUUUUUAUUUAUGCAUCAAGUACGGUAGUGCAUUUUAUCCGUUUCAUGAAUAUUGAUUUUGCAAAUUUUCAUUUCACACAGAUUAAAAAUUUAUACUGCAUUUUCUUUCUUUCUAUCUACUUCUUUUUAUUUACUGUAGCUAUACAUGAUUUGAUUUUCAAUAAUAAACACUUCCCAAGAAUUAUAAUUCAAUAUUAGUUUUACUUUAUUUUAAAGCUACUAUAAUACACAUAGGAAUCUUGAAGAUUGAUCUUUGAUGAAAUGGAUGACGUAUCUAUUUCACCAGUUUCAAUAUAUUGUUUCUUUGCAAAUAUAUGAAAAUAGUCUCUUUGUUUUCAAUAAAUCCAGCAUGGCUUGAACAAAAUAAACUUACUCAUUAGAAAUUUUUUAAAGAUGAAUAUGAACAACUUAAAGCUUAUUUUUAACUCCAUCAAAUUAAAUGGUAAUGGUUAGUGUGCAAGGAAAACUUAUUUCCAAGUAGUCGAUAUAUCCUUCAUUUGGUAGCAAUUUGGUGAAUGUGCUGAAUCAACUAGCAACUCAAUGUUCUUCAAAAUUUGGGGUAGAAUCUUCGGAGUGCUCUUCAACUUCGAUUUGAGAAAUCAUUAUUAUUUUUUGUUUCGAUCCAUUACAAUCACCGCAAUGUUAAGUUUAUUAAAACUGAGAUCACUAGGUAGAAAAGUAGAACCACUUAAUUUGCUUUUCAUAUAUAAGUUCAAAUUUAAAGAAAUUAUUUUUUUGGUUUUCCCUAAGGUUUGGGGUUGAAAAUUUUGAAAGAAAGUAAUAGAGUUCGAUAUAUGUAUAUUAAUUUCUUUCCAGUUUUGAUGUUUAAAGAAAAACUAUGUAAUUCGAAAAACAAAAUCUACUUAACGAUGUUAUUGACGGUGGUCCGGUUGUCUUUAGUUCGACUAGCAUCAUAUCCAAAUAUAGUUUAAAAUAUCAGUUAAUUUUCUGUUAAAGACAUGAAAUGUCUUAACAUGUGCAUGCCAUCCACACUAAAUUUUCUACGCCAAAGAAAAUUCAAUUGUAUAAAAUUGGAAGACCAUAGGUUUGUCUACGCAUAAAAAAAUGUUCAAAAAAAUGCAUGAUCAUCGUUAAGUUAUUACUCUCACCCACAAACUUACAACUCUAUAGAUUAACUAUUCUUUGUAGGCAUGAUCAUCACUAGAUUGUAGUCGAAGUUUAUAAGCAAAAGUUAAUCCCAGUCUCUUACACUUCUAACAACCCCAACAAUAUUUUCUUCUUCUAACUUAACUUAGUUAUAAUAAAACUAAGCAAACAUUUCUUUAUUGGGCUUUAACCAAAACCGAUGGCCCAAAAUACUUCUCAGCCCAAACCAUUAUCUUCUUCUCCUUGUUGACUUUUCUGUUGACCAUCUCCACCAGCAAUAAUAACUACAAGGCCUAACCUGAUAUGCAUUCGACGAGAUAUGUAUUCGACGAAAAAGAAAAAGAGAAAUAUGCAUUAUAGAAACAAGAGGCCUAAUCUGACAAAACAAGAUUUAGACUGUACCAAAAUAAAUAAUUUAAGUAAAAAUAUUUUUAAAAUAAUGUAAACGUUUUUGUGAGCUUAGACAAUUAAAAAAUAGCCAAAGUUAUUUAUGGACUUUAUUGACUAAAAUGAAUAUAAAACUUAUAUGAUAAAACUAAAAUGAAAUAUAUGAGUAUAUUAUAGGCCUUUGUUUGUAUUUCGUAUGUGAUCCCUAUGAGGAAACUAAUAAGCUUGGAAUAUUAGAUCAUAUUGGUAGCUAGAUCAAGGUGUUAAACCUCGUAAAUUCAAUUGUUAGAUUAAAGAGAGAAAUGUAUAUGCAAAAGACAGAGGAGAAACACAUACGUUAAAGUUAGGCUUUUUGAAGUUUGAAAUAAAAAAAUGGUUAACACUUCGUCUGUUCUUACCCAUUUCAUUUAAUAAAGUAUGAAAACAAAUGAUAAAGCUCAAGAUAUGUUGAUCAUUUCCAGAGUACAGUGUUAAACAAAAUUUUGUGUAUUUCGAUUGUACAAAGAAUGCAUAUGAGAGAUAGAAAAGACUUGAAUAUAUGACCAUUUCAAAGCAAAGUACUCUACUAAUUGUUGUGUUAGUAUAUCAAUUAAUUGUUAUUCCUUUUAACUAGGGAUUUGACCAAAUGUUUUAUUAGAAAAUUAAACAACUUUGUUGUAUGUAAUAGCCGGAAUUUUUUUGGAUUAGAGUAGUCAUUUUAGCUUAUCCAAUUUUUUUUUUUUUUUUGCGAUAUCAUUCGCUAUGAAAAAUUAUUCAAUUUUGAAAAUCUUGUGUGGUUUAAAACUAAGGUUCUUACAUGCGUCAUUCAAAUGAAAAUAGCUCCAUCUUUCUUCAUCUUAAUUGAUCAUAUUAAUUGUCUAUAAUUAGUGUUAACAGCUAUGAAGAUUUUAUUUUGGCAUAUCGAUUUCGGCACAAUAUAAAUAGAGAAGAAUCGGAAGAAAAUAUUGGAGACAACGACAUACUUGAUGACAACAGAGAUAAUGGAGGUGGAAGUGACGGUGAAGACAUAGACAAAGUAGAUGUUAACGAUGAUAGUUAUAAAUAUGUCAACUAAUUAAGAAAACACCAAAAUCACAUAUCAUAUCUCUAACUAUUUUGUGCAAAACAAACAUGAAAGUCGUUCAUAUUUGCAACUUUAUUAUUCAUGUUCAAAAAAUACAAAAUAAUCAUAUAAAGGAAAAAAUAAUACACAAUAUACCCAUCAAAGUCUGGGUGGUGUAGUCGGUUAUCACGCUAGUCUCACACACUAGAGGUCCCCGGUUCGAACCCGGGCUCAGACAUAUCUAAAAUAUCUGGAGAUGUAUGGUCUUUGGGCUUGAACUUCCAUAUAUUAAAAAAUAUAUAUAUAUAUACAUAAUAUAUCCCUUUUUCAUUGUUGUCAAAUUUUAAAAUUUUGAUAAGUAAUAUAUCAAAUCAAAAGUCUCGAUAUGGAGAGUUCAACUAUAUUUUUAGAAUUUUUAAAAACAAAUGUAUAUAAUUGUGAAAACGCUUACAAUAUGUGCAAAAGAUGCAAAAAUGAGAUUUAUUGCGUAUUAUUUUAGAUUUCAUAGGAUUAUUUUGCAUUUUUUGACGUGAAAAAUAAAAUUGCAAAAAUGAGUGACUUAGAGAAUUUUUUCACAACCCUUAUAUAAUUGAAGAAAAUUUGAAAUCAAUUACGUGUCUUGCAAUUUUAAUUUUAAAACAAUUACGUAUUUCUUUUUGACAUUAGGUUUAGGGUUGGUGAUAUUCCUAUUUACCUUAGUUUCACCAAGGUCUAUAUAAAGACCUCUUAUGAUUAAUAAAGAAAAAAUCUACAACAAUUAACGUAAUUCUCUCUAAGAGACACUUGGGUCAAAGGGAAGGUUUUGCUUAAAUCACGGGUACUGCAUAUUACCAUAUCACUAGAUUUAAGUCUUAGGCUUUUGCUCGUAUCAUUAAUUAGCAAAUGAGGUGGCUUUAGAUCCUAGGUCCAAUAUCAGUUAUUAUUUCAAACUUUGAAUCUUGAAUAAAGAUAAUGUGAGAAGAAAUAUUCCUUUCAUUCAAUUGAAAAACCAAAUAUUUUAAUACAAGUUAGAACAACGUCAAUAACCAUAACUAAACCAAAAGGUAAAUGUUGUUACUAAACAAGUAAAAAAACUGAGUCACAAAUAAACUCAGAAAAAGGUGAAGAAAAGAUUCAUUAUCAUAGAUGCAUCGAUGAGACAAGUGCGCCUUGAAGAUAUGAACACGAAGAUGGAAGAAAUUUGCUUGCAUUCGUUAUUAACUCUAUCAACUCCUCUCCUUGUCCCUUCAAAAUGUAUACUUCUUCAUCAAUCUUCUUCACUACCGAGCUGUUGCAAUCAGAAAACAGAACCUUCACAAUAGCGCUUAACUCUAAUGCGGAACCUGGUUCAUCUUGGCUCGAGCAAAGACCAGUCGAGGAAAAUGUGUUUGGAUUCAAAAUAACGAUGUUGAACAGAGGUGAUUUAGUUGUCAAAUCUUUGACCAACACGUGAAAUGAUAACUCCUCUUUGGAGCAUUCCACUAGCUGAUUCGUAAACAUUCUUUCCAAUGUGUAUUUCCUGAAAACGUCAGAGGAUUCACCCGUCGUCGAUGAUGUGGAAAUAUAGCAUUUGAAGAGUCUAACUCCACCAUCAAUGGGUUUACCGUUGCUCCCAACACCAGAAGGAUAGGCUCCAAGAGGAGAGGAACACUCAGGGCAAGCAAAUUCAAUCCACUCGACAUUCUUUGACACAUUUGACGCUUUCGCCAUAAAAACAUCCUCAAGAAACCCAUCAAGAAGAAACUUCUUAUCAAGUGUAAGUUUCUUCUCCUCCAGCUGAACACUCUCAUUAGAGUCAGGCGAGUCAUGUACACAACAUCCAGGUAGUGAUGCCUUAUCUAUACAACGCGUCUUCGAUUCAUCCACUUGACCACAAACAUUCUCACCUCCACUCUCAUGACUCUCAGCAUUUCCUUCACUAAUUCUAGAACCCGGUUCAACUACACCAACAUCACAACUCAAAGCUAAACUCGACUCAAAUUCGACUUCAGUUCCACCUUUCUCAGACAAGAUACACUCUACAAGAUCAUCUUUGCUAAGCAACACAGUAGUAGCACUAAGUAAACACAACCCACUAGAGCAAGUAUACGAAUUCGUGUACUUAACAACCAUCUUCUCACUAAUUCCACCAAAUGAACAACAACAAGUACCAAACCAAUUAUCAGCUGAUUCUCUCCAAUUAAUAGACGGCAUUUCUGAGAAAUCUAAAAGUUCCUUCUUUGUUAACCUAUUUGAACAACUUCUACAGUAAAAAUGAACUCCUCCCAUUAAAGAUAGAGUCUUUAGAUCAUAACCCAUCACUAAAGGCGCCGACUUUUCUCUAGAAUCAGUCACCAAAUUGAAGUCUGAGACUAAAGGAUGAUCAACAGGGAGUAACAGAACAAGUCUAACCUCGAUGUGAUCGUCUAAAGCUUUGAAAUUUACAGGAGAUUCAGUAUCUAGUAAGACCCUAGGGAUAGGAACUAGAAGAGAAACAAUCUCUUCUUUGCUUGCAGCUUCUUCAUCUUCUUCGUUGAUCCAUGUGACGAGAAGUUGAGAUUUUCCGACGAUGGUUGAUACAUUGAGGCUUUUGCAGUGGAUCUUAGGGUUAGUUUUGGAAUCGAAAAGAAAGAGACGAAGGUUUGGAGAAUGAGAUUGAGCUUCCCAUGUGUAUCUCCAUGUCCUCUGGGUUUUAGAGUUUUGCUCCAUGGAAUUAGAAAUUGCUCUGCUUCGAUUUUUCAUUAUUUAAUUUUGUUUUCUGAUCUUUAGUCGGGUUUUCAAACCUGACCCGACCCGUAUUCAUCUCAAAACCGAAAUAUUUUAGGUACCUGAAAUAACUGAAAUAAAAAUUAAAUAUCUAAAAAUAUUAGUUAUUUCUAACACGAUAAAUACAAAAUAUUUGAAAUAUAUAAAAACAGUAAAAAUAUUCAAAAACAAUUUAAUAUACGAAAAUAUUUAAAACAAAAUAAUUAAAUAAAUAUUAAAUUUUAAAAUUAAAAGAAUCAUAAUCGAAAUGAAAUCAAAGAUAAACUUCAAAAUAUUAGAAUGGAUAUUAAAUUUUAAAAUCGAAAAAAUGAAACUGAAUGGAACAGAACCGAAUAGAUAACGGAACGCCGAAGACUACAGUAAUGACACUGGUGAGUAACCGUUAUCUUUGUUCUAAUAGUGACACUCUAAUUAAGAUUAGCCGAAGACAAAUAUGGUAUUUGGGCCUUUAGAAGCCUUAUACGUAUAAGGCCCGAGAUGGAAUCAAAAUCACGUGUACCCACGUGACCAGAAAAGUUAAGAGAUACUGUUGCUGUAGUAAAACGAGACAAAAAGUCUAUAAAAAGACAGAGUGAUAGAGCUCGCUUUGUCUAAAGUCUGUCUCCUUCCAUAAGGAAGAUGACAAAACAAAAGAGGUCUUGAUUUUAUCCAAGAUUUUUUUAUCAGUAAGUAACCCAAUAAUUUCACACUGAUUAGUUUAUCUUAAUCGUAACUAAAAUCAUAGAGAAAGAGAGGUUUUGUGAGUUGUGGAGAAGUAAAGCCUGUAAAACGGUGUGUUAUUGUCUUUAUUGUCUCUAGAAAUGUAGACAAAACUCUCUAUUUUUAUAACAUGAUUAAACCUACUCAACAAAAGUUAGUGGCCACUAACAUGAAUUCUUUUUCUUACUAUAAUCCUUUUCUAUCUUUCGGUUUUAGGUCAACCACUUUUCAGUGGAUUUUAGCUUUUUGAGAAUCUCUGUCUUAUCCAAGAUUCUCUUCUUCUUCUUCAUUUUUCAAUUCUUUCUUUUUAAAAUUCUUAUCCGCUGGAUGACUACAUUGGUUGAAUGAAUUAAUGGAGACUCAGUAUCGUUUUUUGCGUUUAAAUUAGUCUAAAGCUUUGUUGUAUUAUAUUAAAGCACUAGAAUGAAAAGACUAUGUGUACUAACUAACUAAUCAAGUAUAUAUAUAAUGCAAAAGUAUAACUACAUUUUUCUUUUUAGAAGAAUGUGGAAUUUUAACAUUGCAUUACACACGUAUCUUAUGUACAUUCGAUAUUUCGAUCCUUACCAAAAUUCAGUAAAACGAAACAACAACAAAAAUCUAACUUUAAGUUUAAACGACAUAUUAAAAAGGUUUAUAUAUUUCAAUUCGUUUAAAUAUAAGUAACCUGCUGUUUUAAAAAAAAAAGUAACCUAAAAUGUGUUUUGAUGUAAAAUUAAAGUUUUUAAACAAAACACAAAAAAUCUGAAUGACAUAAAAAAAUAAUCCACCAAAACAGUUAUGAGUAAGUUAAAUGAUAUAACACCAUUCUUUCUGUCAUUUCUAUUUUAUUUGAGUUACCAUGCAAAGCCUUACAUUGAGAAAGAGAUAUAGAAUGAUCAAGUACAUUUCUCAUUGUCAUUUGAUUGAAAAUAUAAAAUUCAAAAAACCUUACAUCAAAACAAUAGAAAGUGGAAUGUAUAGCUAUCUAUGUGGAAAGUGGAAUGAAACUUUGAAGAUUAAAGAAUGUAAAAGAAUCAUAGAAAGAAAUAAAAAAUAGUUUAUCAAAUGGGAUCUCGAUAGAUAUAAUCUAAACUUCUUCUCCCAACUUUUUCUCUCGUUGUUUCCCAUGAUAAAAAGCUUUAAGACAUUUGCACCAAAAAGAUCUCAAAUUCACGUUCACAUAGAAAAAUUAACAAGAGGCAGAAGGAAAAAAAAUGUGGAGGUCAUUCGCAAGGUAAACACACUCGCAAGACAUACGUCUAAUCUCUUCUUUAUUAUCUAAUUAUAGAAUUAGUCUCCAUCUCAAUUUCUUCUCCGUGGCUUUUCUCUGCAGAAGCUUCAAACUCAUUAAUGUACCAAAUGGUUUGAUAUCCAAGCCAAUUCGCUCUACUCUCCUCUAUUCAACUUCUUCAAGGUCGAUCCUACAUAUAUAAAUACUAUAACGAGAUUCGAUCUUUUAAUCUUAAUUAAAACUCACAAAAACCCUCUUAACAUUUUUUGCUUCGACUAUAUGUAUAGAAAGUUAGAAGGAAAAGUAGCGGUCAUAACCGGCGGGGCAAGCGGAAUAGGGAAGGCCACAGCGGAGGAAUUUGUGAGCCAAGGUGCGCAAGUGAUUAUCGUAGAUAUAGAUGAAGAGGCUGGUCAUAUGGUCGCGACCGAACUUGGCUCAGCCGCACAUUUCUUAAGAUGUGAUGUCACUGAGGAGGAACAAAUCGCUAAGGCCGUGGAGACCGCCGUGACUCGUCAUGGGAAGCUCGACGUAAUGCUCAAUAGUGCGGGAAUAUCAUGUAAGAACAUAUUAAACAAUUAUAAUGAAUUUAUUUUAAACUAAAUAUAUGUAUACUAAUACAUCAUAUAUAAGAUUUAAAAAAUAAAACAUUACUUCUAUAAUUCUACAUAUACAUAUCUUUAUAUAAAUAAAUUGCUUAUGUAUACAAUGCAGGCUCCAUAUCACCACCAAGCAUAGCGGACCUAGACAUGGACACUUACGACAAAGUGAUGCGUCUCAACGUGCGAGGUACUGUCUUAGGGAUAAAGCACGCGGCUCGAGCCAUGAUCCCCGCUGGCUCGGGCUCCAUCCUCUGCCUCUCUAGCAUCAGCGGCUUGAUGGGUGGUCUAGGCCCACACGCAUACUCAAUCUCUAAAUUCACAAUCCCGGGUGUGGUCAAGACGGUUGCGAGCGAGCUGUGUAAGCACGGACUAAGAAUCAAUUGUAUAUCGCCCGCAGGCAUCCCGACGCCUCUAACUUUGAGGAUGUUUCGAGAGGCGUUUGCGGGUCAUAGCAUUCGGGAGGAACAACUUUUGGCGAUUGUGAACGCGACGGGAGAACUAAAGGGAGAGAAGUGUGAGGAGAUAGAUGUGGCUAAAGCGGCUUUGUAUUUGGCAUCGGAUGAUGCUAAGUUUGUGACGGGGCAUAACCUUGUUGUUGAUGGUGGAUUUACUUGUUUCAAGUCUCUUAAUCUCCCUUCUGCUUAAUUAAUUUAUCAAGUUAGUUAAAGUUUUUUUUUUUUUUUUAGUUUUCUGAUGUGGUUAUUACGAGUGUUUUGGCCUUUUGGGUCAUUGCUGAUGUGAUCGUUUGUAAUCUAUGGGACAUUAUAUGGUUGGAAUUUGGAAUUAUAAAUUUAGCCUCUCUGUGGAGUUUCGACAUUUCACUAGUAUAGUUGAUUAUAUCAGUCAACUUAGUAUUAGAUAAUCAUUAUGUGUAUUGUGUAAUUCUAAGUGAUUCAUUGUUUCUGAUGAUUUACGUAAAGCUUAUCAGAGGUUUCAAAACAUAUUGCAAGCAGAGUUAUCUAUCGUGGCCUCAGGUGUUGUAAGAAUAGCUUGUCCAUCAGAUAACAUGUAUGUAGAACCGUUAGUUGUGGUCUAUUUAAAACUUUUUAAAUACUUUCUUUGAGAUAGAUGUAUUUCUCCUAAAUCACAUAUGUUUCUUAGUUAUGGUCAAAUAUAGAAUAUUAAAAUAUUGUACCUAAUAGUGACACUAGUCACUAGAGUUAGGUGCCACUACACCAAGCUCUUCUGACUUUGUAUCCAUCAAUACUAGAAACUCUUUUGAUCUCAACAAGCAGUCUUAUGGCGGCCAUAGUACUGAUCAGAUCUAUCGUCAGGUUAAUUUAGAUCAUCUCUCGAUUACUACUAAUUUGUUUCAAUAAAUCAGCUUAAUUUUGUUUCUUCUUCUCGUUCUUUCAGAAACUUUAAACGGCCAGCCACCGCAGCCUCAGCCGCUUACUCGACAGGUGGUGGUGGCGGCGGUUGUACUUGUACGAGGUAAGUUUCUUCUUCUGUCUCUCAUAUCUGAUUUUGAUUGGACCAAAUCGAUCGAUCUCUUAGUAUCACAUUUAAAUGAAAAAGAACCUAUUGCUAAUUUUUUUUUUUAACUCGAUGAGUCUUGAUCUAAUUUUUAUGUAUUGAUCGUAACACGUUAGUCAACUUAACUAGAUAGAUUAUAUGUGUUUUUUCACUCUGGACUUGAAUGAGUUAUGGCAUGGUCAGGACACUAAUACAAAUCACUAGAUAAUUUCCUUAUACAUGUAUGCACUAAUACAAAUCACUAAAUUCUACAGUAAAAAGCUAGAAGGCAAAGUAGCUCUCAUAACUGGUGGUGCUAGCGGGCUCGGUAAGGCCACGGCCAGCGAGUUUCUCCGCCAUGGUGCCCGAGUCGUGAUCGCCGACUUAGACGCGGAAACCGGGACAAAAACCGCUAAAGAACUAGGCUCGGAGGCAGAGUUUGUGCGGUGUGAUGUCACGGUGGAGGCUGAUAUCGCUGGAGCCGUGGAAAUGACGGUGGAGCGGUAUGGGAAGCUAGACGUGAUGUACAAUAACGCUGGGAUUGUUGGACCUAUGACUCCAGCGAGCAUAUCGCAGCUUGAUAUGACAGAAUUCGAGAGAGUAAUGAGGAUUAAUGUUUUUGGUGUUGUCUCCGGCAUCAAACACGCCGCUAAGUUUAUGAUUCCGGCUAGGUCUGGAUGCAUUUUGUGCACAUCAAGCGUUGCAGGUAUUAACAUAAAAUCAAAGUCUUAGAUUAGAUAGAAACCUUACUAUAUCAAACCAAAAGAUGGUUACUUAGUAGUUAGUACUUAGUACUUAGUACUUAGUUAAGAAUGUAUAAUAUCAUAUCGUAUUAAUCAAAGCUUGGUUAGUACUUAGUACUUAGUUAAUAAUGUAUAAUAUCAUAUCGUAUUAAUCAAAGCUUGGUUAAACAAAAACUUAAAUGAAGCUUAAUAGUUUUCAAUUUGUGGUCAACACUCAAAUUUGACUUUUGGUAUGGACAAAACAAUGUAGGCGUGACUGGAGGGUUGGCUCCACAUUCAUACACAAUCUCAAAGUUCACAACUCCCGGAAUAGUCAAGUCGGCAGCAAGCGAGCUCUGCGAACACGGCGUGCGUAUAAACUGUAUCUCACCGGGUACGGUGGCUACACCGCUCACUCUCAGUUACCUUCAGAAAGUGUUUCCGAAGGUAUCGGAGGAGAAGCUACGCGAAACAGUGAAAGGAAUGGGUGAGUUAAAAGGAGCUGAGUGUGAAGAAGCUGACGUGGCUAAGGCUGCUUUGUAUUUGGCUUCCAACGACGGUAAAUACGUUACUGGCCAUAACUUGGUCGUGGAUGGUGGCAUGACUGCUUUCAAAAUAGCUGGUUUUCCUUUUCCUUCGGAUUCAUGAUCAAUCAUUUUGUAUCGUCUAUAAAUAACUUUGUACUGUAUUCAAGAUUUUAUAUCAAAGUUGGAUCUUAAAACAUUUAAUAAAUUUUCAAAGCAACCAACUAAAUAUAAAAGUUUCUAUAGUAAGAGUUAACUUUGAUAACAUAUGACUUUCAUUUGAAUACAAGCUGGCAUGAACUUGAAGCUUUGAUCACAGUUUCCAACUCCUCGACCAUCUCAACUCUCUCUUUCGAGGUAAGGCGUUUUGUGAGGAAAGUUGCUUUAUCCAAACGACUUGCGUUACUAAGGAUAUAUUUCGUCACCUCUUUUUCAUCUUCUCGCCAUUCGUAGUCUUCCCAUACAAAUGUCUCCAGAUGGAGUAACAUACAUUUAGGAAUAUUCUUUGGCUGAAUCCAUUUCCACAAGGGUACGCCAUCUAAACUUUUCUGCCAUGGCUGUGGUUAUGAGAUCAAUGGCGAGUUAACACAAAGUAAAUUACAUGUAUAUUAGAUCAUCAAACCCUAAGUUGAGGUGGAAAUUUGCUAAAAGAUGAAUUUUCAAUGCUUACACCGAUGAGCUUGAGGACUUGUAAAUUAGGAGAAUGAUCGAGCAUGAGCAUUAGUAGAUUCCAACAAUCAGCUCUAUAUAUACACAGCUCCAAAUAUACCAACUGAUAAAAUAUAGGAAAUGGAAUCUAUACAUGAAGGCAAUAUUAUUAGUAGAGUAACAAUGCAAUAAUAAGGAAACUAACUAAUUACAAGAAAACCUUACCUUCAAGGCUGAUAUCUCCAAGGAGAGACGUUUGACUGAAGUCAGUGAUCUCAAGAUGAAACUUUUAUUAUUGUUGACAAUAUUUGCCUCCAACAGCAUAGGUGCAUUCUCAAUAAGACAAGAUCCACGACCACCAAUCCAUAUACUUCAAGUAUUUUAAAGAAGGAGCAUUUAUCACAAAGCCCACAUGUUCUUUAUCAUUUCUAUUACAAAUCGAUAGUCUUUGUAAGGAAGGAACUGCAAUAGUUAAAGGCUUCACAUUGGAGUAUAGAGUUCCAUGCACAUCCAAGUUUUCAAGAUUAGGACAACCAGAUAAAAGGUUAAGAACUGAUGUAUUGUUUAUGAAGUUCACAUAGUGAAGGUGCAGAGUUCUAAGAGAUUUCAGACAAACUGAAGAAGGGACAACCAUACGAACCAAAAACUUGACUUCCAAGGUAUCUAGUGUUUCACAAUUGCACAAGCUUUCAGGAAAUAUGAACCGUCCUCUAGGUGCAAUCUGAUCCAGUAUGAAAAUUAAUGGAAGAUAUCUAAAGUUAUUUAAUCCAAAUCUAUUUUUCUAAAUAAUUUUGAUAAUAUAUAUAUAUAUAUAUGUAUCUAUUUUUAUUAAUAGUUUUUAUUUUACAAUUUAAUUUAAUAAGUUUAUGCAAUUAUUUUUGUAUUUUUGUUUAGCUACAUUGGUGGAUAUAGCGGCGUUGGUGAAUAAAAUUCCAGCGUAUACAAGGCCAGACGUUUUAUCCUAUAACGGGCCGGGCCCAAUAUUUAAACCUUCUAGCUCACACAGAGGUCAAAGUUUUUGCUCUCGUCUCUAGAUCUGUAGAAGUAGAAUGGUGGAGCCAUCGAGCCAUGUGAUGUGAUCGAAACAAAAAGCUCUUUGCUUCUUCUUCGUCCAUUUCUCGUAGCACACUUUUCACAAAGAAGAUGGGUUCUUCACAAUCUACGCAAAUGGAAGACGAAGAAGAAGAAGAAGAGGAAACUGACAAUGAAGAAGAAGAAGAAGAAGAUAAUGGCAGAUCAAACACAAGACAAUUAGACAAUCUCCUAGUAAAGAAAGUUCUAGAACAAGAGCCUGAGAUGUUACCAUGUCACGCUUCAGCUUCACCACUCUCACCACAACUAUCAUCUCUCGGUACUCCAAGGCUUGGACCAUCGAUUAAAGUCUGGGAUCCUUACAACGUCCUCUCUCCGCCGCCGCAACCGCCGUCUAUCUUCUCUCGAAUCGUGUCUGGUGAUGAAGAUCGAGCUGUGACAGAGGUUUAUCUGAUUAGCCAUGGUGAGUCUGAUCUUAAUCUUAAACCUGAUUUGAUUGGUGGGAGAUGUCAUGUAGCUGCUCUUACUGCUAAUGGUAAACGUCAAGCUAGGGCUCUUGCUGUUUUCUUCAAAUCUCAAGGUGUUCGGUUUAAUUCGGUUUAUUCGUCACCUCUAGAUCGAGCUAGAUCCAUGGCUGUUUCUGUUUGUCAGGUAAAGUUUCUUCUCUUAGAUCUAAGGUUUAACGAAGUGUACAAUGUUGCCUAAUUUGUGUGAGAUUGAUCUGUGGUAAUAUCUUGGGAAUGAAUUAAGUAAGAGUUGAUUGAUCUAAUGAAUCCAUUGAAACCACUAAGUACUGUUGUUACUGCUCUUUGUGUGAGCUUAUCUUGUUCAUGGUUGAUUAAGGAGUUUCUUAGUCUUCUAUAACUAUAGCUUAGGCACAAUCUAAAGAGUAUAUAUCUUAGGAUCAUACAUCAAUGUAUCAUUUAGUGAAAGAAAUGAGAUUGAAAGUGGUUAUUGAAUUGGACACAUUUUGUUUUUAAAGGAAAUGAGUUUUCCGGAGGAGCAUGUACAAUCUUCGGAUGCUGUUAUUGAGAUGAGUUUAGGGGAUUGGGAAGGCUGUAAUCAAGCAGAGAUUUAUAGUCCUGAAACUUUGAGUUUGAUUGAAAGGUGCCAACCUGAUUUCACAGCUCCAUCUGGAGAAUCACUGAGGCAAGUAGAGUUUCGAAUGGUUCAGUUUCUAAACGGGACAGUCUCAGGAGUUGCAGAGAAGCUUAGGUCAGAUUAUUCUUCCACUACGAAUCACAAUGAAACUCAUGAGCGUGAUGGUGGUGUGUCACUUGCUUCGACUAACUGGGACUUACUACACAAGCAUCGUCCCAGUCUUACAAGGAAGAAAUCUGGUAAAAGCAGGCUUCAAGUGAUGACUAAUCACGAACCUGACGAUGGAAACUCCCCAAGGGAAGAAGUUAAUCAUAAUCACACUGACCUAAGUGAUUCGUCUUCCUUAAUCUCGAAUUGUGUCGGGGUUUUCACGCAUUCUUUGCCUAUAAAGUGUCUUUUAACCGGAAUCCUCGGUUGCAGUCCGGUAAUGACUCAUAAGAUCUGUGUAGAAGACUCUUCAGUGACUGUGUUACAACAUUCAUGGAGAAACGGGUGGCAGAUCAAACGAAUGAAUGAUACUGCUCAUCUUAGAUUGUUGUAACUUUAUUUACCGAUAAAUUAUUUGGAAAAACGAGGAUUCAUAUAUGUUUACACCAUGAAUCUGCAGAAGCUCAAGAACAAAGGUUCUGCAGAUAAUGAAAUGCCACGGCCUCUUUGUAAUGUUUUGUUUGUGACAUGAGGAAAAAAGAUAAACAAAAUGGAUUCAUUGAUUUUGAUUUGAUAUUUGUUCUUGUCUGAUACUAUUUGAGUGUGAAAUUAGAGAUUUUUUUGUUUGCAAAUUUCUUUUCCUAUGUUUGAUUAUAAGUACUUAUAAUCAAAUUAGUCGAAAUAUUACUUUGAGACAAAAGAAUGAAUGAAUGAAGGUUCGGAGUAAAAAAGCACUGUUUUGUUCCGUCUCUCGUCUUCUCCACACGGAGAGACACACAGAGAGACAAAACCUAACAACGCUGUUCAACAGAUAUGUCGACAAAACAGAUGUUUUCUCAUGGAACUCUGUCAUCGCCGACCUCGCUCGUAGCGGUGAUUCUGCUGAAGCUCUUCUCGCUUUUUCCUCAAUGCGGAAGCUUUCUCUAUACCCAACUCGCUCUAGCUUUCCUUGCGCCAUUAAAGCAUGUUCGUCUCUUUUUGAUAUCUUCUCCGGCAAACAGACCCAUCAGCAAGCUUUUGUCUUCGGUUAUCAAUCCGACAUCUUUGUGUCUUCGGCUUUGAUCGUUAUGUAUUCAACUUGUGGGAAACUGGAGGAUGCACGGAAAGUGUUCGACGAAAUUCCCAAGAGAAAUAUUGUAUCUUGGACUUCGAUGAUUCGAGGGUAUGAUCUUAACGGUAAUGCCCUUGAUGCUGUUUCUCUUUUCAAGGAUCUAUUGGUCGAUGAAAAUGAUGAUGACGAUGCAAUGUUUCUUGAUUCUAUGGGUUUGGUUUCGGUAAUCUCUGCUUGUUCUCGUGUUCCUGCUAAGGGUUUAACGGAAUCUAUUCAUAGCUUUGUGAUUAAGAGAGGUUUUGAUAGAGGAGUGAGUGUUGGUAAUACUCUUUUGGAUGCUUAUGCUAAGGGUGGAGAAGGAGGUGUUGCUGUGGCGAGAAAAAUCUUUGAUCAGAUUGUGGAUAAGGAUCGUGUUUCGUAUAAUUCGAUUAUGAGUGUGUAUGCUCAGAGUGGGAUGUCUAAUGAGGCUUUUGAGGUUUUUCGUAGACUUGUUAAGAAUAAAGUUGUGACCUUUAACGCCAUUACAUUGUCUACUGUGUUGUUGGCGGUCUCGCAUUCAGGUGCUCUGCGUAUUGGAAAGUGUAUACAUGAUCAGGUGAAUUUGAUUCCUGUUCUGCAACCUUUUCUUGUCAUGAGUGACAAGUUUCUUUGAUUAUAUGUAUUGAUGAAUGUGUCUAAUUUGCAAAGAUAAUGUGUCUAUGCAGGUAAUAAGGAUGGGUCUUGAGGAUGAUGUGAUAGUGGGGACGUCGAUAAUUGAUAUGUAUUGCAAAUGCGGAAGAGUUGAGACGGCGAGAAAAGCAUUUGAUCGAAUGAAAAACAAGAAUGUUAGGUCGUGGACCGCCAUGAUUGCUGGAUAUGGAAUGCACGGCCACGCGGCUAAAGCGUUAGAGUUAUUCCCUGCUAUGAUCGAUUCAGGGGUUCGACCAAAUUACAUUACUUUUGUAUCAGUGUUAGCUGCUUGCAGUCAUGCGGGUCUUCAUGUGGAAGGCUGGCGCUGGUUUAACGCAAUGAAGGGGAGAUUUGGUGUGGAACCAGGGUUAGAACACUACGGUUGUAUGGUUGAUCUUCUAGGUAGAGCUGGGUUUCUUCAGAAAGCUUAUGAUUUGAUUCAGAGAAUGAAGAUGAAGCCGGACUCUAUCAUCUGGAGCUCACUUCUUGCAGCUUGUAGAAUUCACAAGAACGUGGAGCUAGCUGAGAUAUCCGUGGCGCGUUUGUUUGAAUUGGACUCUUCGAAUUGCGGUUACUACAUGCUGCUUUCGCAUAUCUACGCUGAUGCGGGUCGUUGGAAAGAUGUUGAGAGGGUGAGAAUGAUCAUGAAGAAUCGCGGAUUGGUGAAACCGCCAGGUUUUAGUCUACUCGAGUUGAAUGGUGAGGUUCAUGUGUUCUUGAUCGGAGACGAAGAGCAUCCUCAGCGUGAGAAGAUUUACGAGUUUUUAGCAGAACUGAACAGGAAGCUGUUAGAGGCAGGUUACGUAUCGAACACGUCAUCUGUAUGUCAUGAUGUUGAUGAGGAAGAGAAAGAGAUGACACUGAGAGUUCACAGCGAGAAACUAGCGAUUGCGUUUGGGAUCAUGAACACGGUUCCUGGCUCGACGGUUAAUGUGGUCAAGAAUCUGAGAGUUUGCAGCGAUUGUCACAAUGUGAUCAAGUUGAUUUCAAAGAUUGUUGAUAGAGAGUUUGUGGUUAGAGAUGCGAAGAGGUUUCACCAUUUCAAAGAUGGUGGAUGUUCCUGUGGAGAUUACUGGUGAUUAGAUAUUAGAAUUUCGUUUAGAUGAGUAAUUCUUCUCGUGUUUAAUCAGAUUUAGUGUAAGAAAAUACAAUUACGAUUUCACAAAUCUAUUGGUUUUGUUAACCGUUAAACUUGAAAAAUAUGGUUCUUGGUUUGAAAAGAAUGAUAUACAAUAAAAUAGUAUAAAAGUGUUACAUAACACCAAACUCUUGUAGCUCGUCUGGUCUACGAUGGACUUGAGUUUGGCAUUGAGAGAGAGAUAGAGAGAUGAAGAAGAUGAAGAUGAUAAAAUUAAAAGCAAAUGCUUGAUCAUAUGAGGUAUUAUUAAAUAUCUCUUCUUUUUUUUAAACCAGUUACAUCCCAGAAAAUAAUAUCUUAAUUCCUAUGACAAAAACUUAAAAAGUCCUAUCGGAUCUUAUUUCGGAAACACAAUCGGCUUUUAUCUAAAGAAUAUUACUUUCAUAUAAUAUUCUAAUUUCACAAGAGAUGUUUCAUGGUUUAGGGACGAAAUUAUAUGACGAUUAAAACAGACAUGAAUAAAGUUUAUAAUCCAAUAGAGUGGUCUUUAAUUUUAUCGAGUAUUUACUAAAGAAAAUAAUUUUUUUGCGGUAACUAGGUCUCCUAGAUAAGACGGAGUGUUACUUCAGUUCAGUAUAAGGUUUUAAUCAAUUGACAACCUCGAAGUUUAAUAGUCCCCGAAAAGUUUAAAGCAUGGUAUCCUUUAUUACUAUACUUAGAAGAAGGAAUGAGAAAUCUUGGGUACCUUGAGGUACAAGAUUAUUGCAGUAAGAUAGCUUUUAUAAGGAGAUGGUACUACAACUGUCACAUUUUGAUCUUUGAUUAAAUAUAUAGUAACUAACUACCUACUUAUCAAUUAGUUGAGGUGUUCUAAAUUAUGUGCUUUUUUUUAUUAGUGAUAACUAAAUUUUCCUACGCAAUGUGUGGGAUUAUAUAUAUAAGAUUGAUGUAGCUUAAUACAAACUUUACUAGCAUAAAAUGAUUUUAUCAACAUAAAUUGUUUCUAAACUUAACAUCAAAAAAUUUCAAUCCUUAAUUCUAGUAUAUAUAAUGAUUAACGUUUGCAAGACAAACAAAUAAUCUCCAAUAAAAAGAAAACUAGUAUCAUAAAUCUUCUUUAAAGGAUUAAUAAUAUAUUAACGCCGUAACACUAAAUAACAUUUAUUCAUCAAAUACAACACACCUUCAUGACUCACAUCUAGCUAUGAUUUUCAUAUAAACUGUAAUGUUAUAUUCAACACUUGAUAAUAUAUAUGCAAAUUGCAUUUAAUUCUUAUAUAUAUUAUAAGGAUAUUAAAUAGCUGAUCACCAUCAAGAAUACCAUGAGCCCAUCGAUUGAUUAUCUAGUAGAAGUCAUCGAGAGAGAUAUUCUCAACGGAGCCCAAACCAUCGAAUGUUCCGAACUUGGAGUAAUAAUUAUUAGUAGUCGUCGUAUGUCCACCCAAAAAAUCGAGAGGAGUAUCGUUGGAGGUAAGAGCCGUCGUGUCGUAGACAAAAGACUCUGUGUUUGUGGUGACAUCAUCUAUGACUGGAUAAUAGUAAGAACAUUUGUUGCUGUUGCUGUUGCUGUUGUUGUUGUUGUUGUUGUUGUGAUGAUUAAAAUCUUGGAGGAGAAGAUCGUUAACCACAGUGUUUUCGAUCCUUGUUAAGUUUGUGUAAACGUCGUCUUCUUCAAGAUUGAUUACGUCUACUUCUUCUUCUUCCGAUGCUUUUCUUGCUUGUAUAACCUAAAGUAAAAAUAAAUAAAUAAAAUUGAGCCUAAACAUGUAACACGUUUUGUAGAAUUUUCUUUUUAGUAGCGUGUAACGUACGUAAUUGUUUGAGUAGAGAUCUUGGUAAACCAUGAUGAAGUCACCUAGCUGCAGACCAUGAGCAUUCACAAAAUCGCCUGGAAAUAAUACCCAGCUCGAUCCAAUAUUUUUAACAAUCAUUGAUUCGAUUUUUUAUUAUCAUAAAAAAAAACAAAAACCGGGAUUGUCGGUAACUUUACCUGUGUUUUCUAGCACGUACAUUCUGCUAUUGUUGUUUGGCCAGUACCUAAUGAUCACAACAUUAGGCCAAGACUCAAACAUCUAUGGUUUCUUCUAACGAUCUCAUUUACUUUAGCUUAGUCUUAAAUGAAAUGAUGCUAUUUUAAAGGUCUUAAGAUCGACAUGGAUACAUGAAUACUUUCAAAAUGAUUGAUCUACCAAGAAUUAUCCAUGUAGAUCUUAAGAUCAGAUAUAACCUAUCCGUUAUAGAUUCGUACUAGCCAAUUUUGAAAUUCUUGCUAACCAAUUUUGUAACUGAAUAGUUUGAUUCAACUAUAUAAGCUAUGCUUUGUUACAUAACAUUGAUUAGGAGUAAAAUGAUAAAAGUACCUAUACUUGAAGGUCCAAACGUGAAAACCGUCCAAAUCUUCCAUUCUUAUAGGAAUCCCUUCCUUGCAUUCAAGUGCCGGCAAGUGAGCCUCCGCGGCUUUCUAUAUGGAUCAUCAUCAUUAGUUAUCAUAUCAACACCAACAUCAUUAAUCAUCAUCAUGAUCAUAUAUAAUCAAAGAUCACCUUCGGGAGUAUCAUACGUCGGAGAGAGCUGACGUCACUGUUCUUGAGUUCCUUUUGGAAGAGGAAUCUUAGCUUUCUUGGGUCAAUUUUCUGACAUCAUCACAAUAUACAUUGAAUCUUUUUAAUAAAACCAAUCCAAUAGAAAAAUAUACAAAACUCUAAAUCUAUUUUUAUUUGGAUCCUCACAGAUCUUAUAAAAAUAACAAAAAAUAGUUUUGAAUUAAUAAUAUUUAGAGAGAGAGAGAGAGAGGGAAAAUAGUAAAAAAGAGUGAAGAGCUUACACGUGCGGGGAGAGGAGUUGGCACGUGGGAAAUAGGAGGCAUAGGAGGAGGGAAAGAGAGAAGGUUAAAGGAAGAAGAAGAUCGUCUCUGUCUAGGCAUCCUUCUCUUCUUCCAGUUAACACCAAGAAGAGGCACAGACGCCGAUAACCCAUGAUGAUCAUGACCCGACCCGGAUCCAAACCCAUGAUCAACACUUGCCACUAAAGUAGAGGCCUUGGUUUCCACAUUUUCAUCAACCAUCAUUUUUCUCUCUCAAUUGGUUAACACUGCCUAGUAAAAAGGAAGUGUGGAAGAAAACAGUUCUCUGUGUGAAGGAAAAAAGAACAAAUGGUGGAUCUCUUUGGGUUUCAGUGAUAGAGAUAGAGAGAGAAAGAGAAGAUAGAUAGAGAGAGAAAGAGAGACUGUGGUUUGUGUUGUGUUGUGUGUAUGUGUGUUGUGCAGAUCGAAACAGAGGCUUAAAAUGGACGCUGGGCAAUCAGAGAUUUGGGUUUACCAUUGGUUUUUAAUGAUUUUUGUUUUACUAUUUAUGGUAAGGAAGUGACAUUUGUAUAACCUACAUUCAUGAAUCUAGGGUUUUGGAAGAUUAAGAUUUUCUAAAUCUUGAUAAGAUUAUUAUGAUGAUAGUAACGCAACAAGAUCUAAUGCCACUAAACUAACACUCAACCAUAGUUUAGAGAUUAGGUUAGGUUAAAGUUUAGAACCAAGAGCAAAGGGACGAGUGGAUUGUGCAUGGUGAACAAGUGUAGCAAAAGUUCUGCUUCUUUCCUUUUUUCCAGAAUUCAAUGGCGUCUUCUUCUCUCUCUCUACCACAUUUAACUCUAGUUUUAAAGUCAAUUUAACUCUCAUUACUUACUGGUCAACAUGUGAUUUGUAUAUACGUAGAUUCUACGACUUUUUUUUAGGGAUAAAGAACAUUUUUGCGACCAAGAAUAAAGGCUUUUUGUUUCUACAGACUUAGACGAUAACUGAUUUGGAAGAGAAGUGAAGGAUUCAUUGUACCUUUGAGAUUACUUGACUUAGGUUGAAAUAGCACAUUUGUCUCAUAGCUUAAAGCUAGAAUAUCAAACUCCCAUACGAAAAUCGUUACUUGACUUUCAUUUAGUAACGCCCGUAUCAGAAAAAAUUAUGGAAAGAUGAAUGGAACAAUAUAGUACUCCAUUAAUUAUAUUUCAGAAGAAAAAAAAGCGACAAAAGAAAUAUGUUUUUUUUGUUAAAGUUAAAUUAUAGAAAAUAAAGAAACAUGAAUUGAAUUUUGUAAAUUAUGCAUCUAGUUAAAACUAUGGAAAUGUGUAAUCAUUUCGUUAAUCUAUCAAUAUUCGACGAAUAACAGACGAAAAAUGUGUAAUGGUAUUUAUAAUUUGUUAGUAUAUACAACUUAGAUUGACACAAAUUUAUCUAUCAUCUAUAUAUAUUGUUGUCAUUGUUACUAACAAAUACCAUUUAUAUGCCAUAUUCUAUAAUUCGUCGAAUGAUUGAUUAUCGACAUGAUAACACAUUUCCAUGGGUUUUAACUAGAUGCAUACUCUUAGAAAAUUGCAAUUCAUGUUUCGUUAUUCUUCUAUGAUUUAACUUUAACAAAAAAACCAUACUGUAUAUGUUUGGUCGAUUAAUAUUUUUCCUGAAUUUAAUUAAUAUUUUGUUCGAUUCUACUUUCCAUUUUUCUUGAUAAGGGCGUUACUAAAUGAUAAUCAAGUAACGAUUUUGUCAAUUUUAGUAAUAUACUAAAAUAAUUUUCGACUCUGCACGAAUAUAUUAGGGGAAAGUAUGGGUGAGGAAGAAUACGUGACGUUAAAACGUUUUUGAUAUUUUUUGUUUUCUUUGCAUGGACAAGUGGCAACUAUUCUCUCCAAAUUUAAUAAAAGAUUCUUUCUCUUUUUUUUCAUGACUUUAAAACUCUAAUGACUAAUGAGUUUUCGAAAACAAAAAGAAGAUUAAAUAGUUACUCAUGUUAGUGUACAUAUGUAUAAUGAAUUUUAGCUUACAACUAUAGUGAUAGAUUGAUAGUUCAUGAUUUUUGAAUGAAAACUAGUCAAGCGAUAUUUGACAACUAAUUACAAUUUAAAAGUGCAUAAAGAAAGAAAAAGAAAAAUUCACUCACUAAAUUUGGAGAGAAUAGUUGCCACUUAUCCAUGAAACGUUUUUCAUUAUAUCACAAAUGACGUAUAAUUUAGUAAAUCGAAGCUAUAUUUCAUUUGAUUACUUACUUGACUUUUGUUUUAUUAGAAAACUAUCUCAGGCCCUAAUAUAAACUCAAUAUAAUAGAUUGCAUAUUAAAUCGGAACUAAUUAAACUUUUUCUGGCCAGCCACAUAAUAUAGUUAGAUAAUUCUUCGACUCUAAAUGGAUAUGUUUUGGAAUGGUGUUGGAUGGGGAGGAUUUAGAAGUUAAAAAUAUACUUAAUUAAUUUCAAAGUGGUUAAGAAAAAAAAAAGAGGAUUCUCUCAUUCAUUUUGGAGGGAUUGCAUACCACUUGUCCAUGUAUAAAACUGAUUUUAUGCAUUGAAAGUGGCAUGUAAUCUCUUCAAACUUAUGAGAGUAUCUCUUAUUUUUUUAUUUUUUUUUACUCACUUUGAAAUUAUAAACAAACGACAUCUUAGAUAUGUGUAUAUUAUAUAAAAACCAUCAAAAAUAAAUAUUGACAAAUAACAAGUAAUGGGAAGAAUAGAUUUAAUUCUAAUUUCAAAGUGUGUAAAGAAAUGCUAGUAGUAAUUAAUAAGUAUAUAUGUACUAUAAUAGUUAUAAGUAUAUAUAUUUCAAAGUGUGUAAAGGAAUGCUAGUUAAUAAGUAUAUAUAUACUAUAAUAGUUCUUCGCUAUACUCUACAUGUAUGUUUCAGGCCAAUAUACUUUCAAUUAGUUUUUAUCCAUGAAUUAUAUGACCUACCAAAAUAUAAACAUAACUAAAAUAACAUUAAAAAAUAUAGUUAGAUAAUAGUAUAUGAAAUUGAGAUAUAUAUAAAUAUACUUGACUACUAUAAUAUGCACAUGUAUUAAAAAGAGACGUAUUGUAUUGAUUUUUGUUUUUUUAAGUAUUGUUGAUCUAUGGAAACAGAAACGUGUAUCAUGAUAAAAGAUGAGUAACGUCUAUUUAACUUUUUUUUUUUUAAACACUUUUUGGUAAAAUAUAUAUAUAUAUAACUAUUUAAAUAAUAAUAUCAAAUUAUAUGAGAAAUGAAAACGAAUUUCUAAAUAUAAGAAUUUGUUUAAUAAGUUUUCAAAAACAAAUAAAAAAUCUAAAUUUCUUAACACUAAAAAGCUGUAACAGAUUUCAACUAAAAUUUUCAGAUCAUAAAUAAAUAAAUAAAAAUUUAAUAUUUACCAAUUUGUAAAUGAAUAGUUUGGAGUAAGGAAUGAAAUACAUCAAACUAAAUAUUUUGAUACUAUUUUUUUUUCUAUUUUUUAACCUUUCUCUACUAUUUUUGAUUAAACUAUAGCAAUAGUAUAAACCCGUUUAGAAAUAUGUGUAGAUUUUAUGUAUUGACUUAUAACAAUUUUUAAAUUAAAUUGUAAACUACUUGUGGUUUCAUAUUUUUUAAUCUAUUCUCUUAUAAAUUAAUUUGCAGGUCUUUAUAAAUCUGUCUAAACCUCUUAUAAAUCAAGUCAAUAUAUAUAUAAUAUAUAUAUAUAUAUAUAUAUAUUGAAUUGAAUGUAAAAUUGUAUUAUCAACCAAAAAAGCUUUUACAAUAAAUGCAUCAUAUUUUAAAUUACAAAUUGAAAAUGACUUAGACUGAUAAAAUGGUAUGACGUAGCUUAUGGAUGAACUUAAUUAAGUCAUUAAAAGAUAACUCUCUAAUUAGUUGUUCUCUUUAAAGGAUGAACUUUCUAAUGGUUAUAAACAACGAAAUAUUAUUAAUUCCUUUAUAAAUUACCUUUAACCUCUUUAUUAGAAAAUUAUAUGCGCUGUAUAUAAUAUGCAUAAUACUCAUUAACACUCAUUAACAUAGAAAAAAUGUUUAUAAAGGUGAUUAUUAGAAUUUUGAAAAUUAUACAUUAAACCAUAAAAUAUAAAAAAUUAUAAGAUAAAAACUCGUCUGCAUUCUUAUUAAAAAUAACGAACACAAGUAAUUAAAAUAAUGUUAAGGAGUUAAUAUCAUAAUGGAUAAUAAAUUUUGCUAUUUUGAAUAAUUGUUAUUGUUUAGCUUGUAAAAUUAUAUGAUUUGUUUUUAAUAAUGUAAUUUUCACUCCAUUUUUUUGUCAUGCUUUAUAUAUAUUGAAUUGUUUUUUCUUAUAUAUUUUUUUUGCUUUUUGGUAUUCAUUUAUCUUAAUUUUACUGUUAUUUAUGUAUUAUUUAUAAUAUUCUUCUAAAAAACAAGUAAAAUAAUAAAUCUUUAUCAAUAAAAACAAGUAAAAUAAUAAUAAUUAUGAUAUUUAUUUUAGUUAAUAUAUAUUUAUAUAGUAGAAACAUAUUGUUUGGAGUAUUAUUAUAAUACUAUGAAUUACAUUUAUAAGCGUUUCCACCACAUACCUAGUUUUCGAAAAAACUGCUUCUGUGAUUCCAAAUGUUUCACUUUUGUGCACUCACUUCCAAUUUCAUGCAACCUACAAUCAUUAUCAUUUAAGCUUGUAACAAAUCCAUAAACCAUGAGGACUACAAAAGCAUGUAAAUUUAGUCGUCUAUAGACUAUAUGUUGUCAAAGCAUGCAAAUAAUGUGACAUAAUGGAAUAAAAAUGGUAAAUCAAUUAAAAGAAAAAAAGAAAAGAAUGCAGAUUGGCUAAUUUCGCCAAGUUAAAGGCCUCUUUUUACUGGGUCGAUUCAUCAAUUUUUAAGUCUAAUGUUUCCCUUAUUAGAAAUAAAGAAAGUAAGGAUAGAAGAAAAUUUUACAAUCACAUCGAAAAUUUCUGAUCAUGUAAAUUUCGAUUUUGGAAGCAAAAAAGAAAGUACCUACUAAUAAGAACUUAGUACACACAACUUCAGGAUCUUAUUAUUGUAGUAAAUCCUUCAAUUUAUGCUAGGUUAUUGACAAAAAAAAAAAAAAAAACUUAUCUCUUGAAUGUGAUUCGUAAUAUAUGAUGAAAUUUGGAUUCCGGUCCACAGAAUUUGACGGUAUGUUGAUCUUGGUCGUAUUUUGCAGUGGCUUCCAGGAUUCAUUAUAUUUUGUAGGACCGCGAAAUCUUGAUUUGCUCUAAAUCAAAGAUCUUUAUAAAACGAUUAGGAAAGUCGGUUUUCGAAAACGAGUGAAGGCAAGAUUUGAUCUCUUUCCGUAAUCCAAACUAGCUCACGAACAUCACCGGAAAAGUCGUCGGAAAAUUGGCCGGAGCCACAUAUGUAAAAUUGAUUUUUCUAACAUAUUUGUCGUCGUCGAUUUGCUUCAUAUAUCAUUCCAAGGAAAGCAUUGAUGGAAAGAUGUUAUAUCUCCGUUGAUUGCAUGCCGAUCUUCAACCAAAAAAGGCAACAAUAGUGUGGUUUUAUGUCGGUUUCGCUCUCUUUGAGAUAAUAAUUAACUUUCACACAAUCUUUUGUUUUUCUUUUGCGUUAUAAGUGUGAUUUUUCACACUUCUCACGCACACGAUGUCUUUUAUUUUCUUAGUACGGUUACUUUUGUUGAUGCGUUCUCUCUAUAUCAAGCCACGCGUACGAUUCACGAUGACGUCUAUUAAUAGGAUAUUUUCGAUUAAAGAUUUGUCAUCUUCAUAAUAAAUAUCAUAUAUUGAACGUUUUUUUCUUCGGAUUUUUAGAAUUUUUUACUUUUAUUACCUUUCUAGGUAAUACCAUGAGAAGCUAUCUUUCCCUUCAUUUUUUAAUAUUUCAAAUUACAACUCUUUACUCAUGGUCACGCCUCGGCAGUUUUAGUAUGAUACUAUUUUGUACAUUAGGCUUCUUCAUAGACUUUAAUGUCAUUCCCUAUGAUCUAUAUCUCAUUGCAUCUACGUCCACUUUUCCACAUUGUAUAACUUAUGUUGGUGAGUUUUCUAACCUUUGUUAAUGAACAAUUCGUUUAUUUGUAAAAUCUAAAUCCUAAUAAUUUUUAUAAAUCCAACCCGAUAUUGAAUUUUGUUUAAUUAUAAAAUUUAAACGCAUUUAUAAAUCUAAACUAAUAUUUAACCUUGUUUAAUUAUUAAAUCUAAACCUUAACCUUCCUAAUAAAUUUAAACCGCUAUAUGAUUUUAUUUUUGGUGGUAGAUAAGAUUUAAUAGUUAAAUGAAUUCAAUUUUGUUUAAUUUAACUGACAAAUUCUAAUUGGAUAAAAAAAUGGGGUGCAUUUUUCCAAAAUUAUUAGUCACACUGGUAAUUAUUGACAAAUCCGUGUGUUGCCUUUGUGUCCUCCCGUGACACUUCUAUCGCCAUAGUGCGACCUAUUACUGCAGUAUGCAGCCUUUUUCCUGAAGCUAUUAGGUUUCCCUAUGGCUCCUAUGCCUCCUUUAGACCAACUCCAACGGGAGUUUCUCAUAAAAUUUCUCACCAAUAAAAUAAGAAAAAAAAUGUCAAAAGGAGGAAAGAGGUAAGGGAAAGUUUCUCUUUAGAGAAACUCAUCGACAACGUUUCUCACAGUUGUCAUUCAAUCAUUGGUUUAAUUAAAAUACUUUUCAAUUAAAUAUUAAUAAUAUUUAUGUUCACACUUAUAUUUAUGUUCACACAUAUAUUGAGAAACGGAAGUUGAGAAAUUGCCGUUGCUGAUGCUCUUAGUUCCUUCUUUCAUGUCUAUAUGAUUUGUAGGUUCUCUAAAGUUGAGAUGGGUAAAUGUUCAGCUAACCCAUGGAGUUGGAAUUGUGAUUCUCGCUUGUUCACAAUUGCUUUUGGUCUUCACAAGGAUACUAAUUGUAUGCUUUGUUUGUGGUUGUGCUUUGUUUGCCAUUGUUACUCCUUUAUGGAGAUCUAUGUUCUAUCAAAUCCCCCUGUUGGUGGAAAAUCUUUAUUUGCAGGGAAUGAGAGCUUCUUUGGUGUUUGUGGACUCGCUGUUACAUCUUGUUUGGACAUGCUGUCUUCCAAAACUCUUGAAGUUCCCUUGCGAGACAUUUCUGUCGCUUAUCGUUCUAGCACCUACACGUUGGUAGCAGAAGAUAUUGUAGCGAAGACUGCCUUAUCGUUGAAGAACGCCCUCUUGUUGGUGUGGAAUGAAGACUCUUUGGUUUUGCAAUUGUUCUUGGAUUCCCAGUUCAGUGUAAAAUCUUUCAAGUCACUCGAAGUCACCGUUGAGCUAGGGAGAUUUCUGCUUGUUUUAAGCUUCCUCCACCUCCGGUUUAUCCCCUUGUUUUUUGCAUUAAUCUCUUGUACUGCGUUUGUAUUUGCAGUUCUUUCAGUUCUUAGUGCUGUGUUUUACUCUUGUAAUGGAGACUAAAUCAUUUCUAUAUCUAUGAAAUCAGUUUGACCAAAAAAAAAAAAAAGAAGAAUGCACCCUAACAAAGGCGGCCUUUGGGCAAAAACUAUUUCAAAAAAUAUGUUUAAUUUCUCCAAAUUUUUCCUUCUCUUUGUGCUUUAAUUGGCCUUUGAAUCAAUAAGACUCGUUGAUUUGUUGUCUCCAUCCUUCUCCUCUUCUCGCAGCAAAAUUCUUCUUAUCAUUGUUUUACUUGGACAUGCUCCAAAAUUAUAUAAGCUCUGAUACCAUGUUGGAAUAUUGAUUCUAGUUCUUAAACUCAACAUGUACAAAAAGUGUGUCAAAUGAAAUGUAGGUGUUUUCUCCUCCGACCCAAAUGUUGUACAUUGCGAUGAUGUUUUGUGGCCCUUCCACGUCAACGUAUGUAUGGUCACCGGAGAAAUGCGUUGGGAUGAUUCUUCCAAAUACUACCUCCCCACCGUUGAGACCUCCUUCUCCAGAGUUAGAGAACCGUCUAAGCCAUAUAGAAAACAUAUUUUUUGCAAUCUUGCCUUGGAAAACCAUAGAGUGCCAAACAGAUGUACCGAAAUUUAACGAGUCCGGGAACCUGAGUCCCAAUAUACCAUCAAACGGUACUUUCGUGAAAAAAACUUUUUUCAAGAGUCUCAACGCCCUCUAUGAAGGUCUGUGACGUGAUGCUAAUCCCACCAACCGUAACGGUGUCAACACUUAAGAAACCCGUUCCAUACUUGAGCUCUGCCUUUAUUCCUAUUUUACGCACAUACUAGAGAGGUUAACACACUGAACGUAUAAAUACAGUCUAAACAGAUAUAUAAUUCAAAUUUUGACACAGAGCAAAAUAAAUUCACACCAAAAUAUAUUUGUUUCAUGACCAUACAAAUAAUCAUCAUAAACCAUGAAUAAGGAUUAAUACUUUUUUGUAAACAGUGAAAUUGGAUGAAAGAUAAAGACAACCAUAAAAUUUAGAAUAUAUUUGAUAAAAAACUAUAAUAACACAGUCUAAAACUUACCAUUUUCUUUAAAGGUUCUUGAUGCACUGGAUUUGUAACAUAUGUUCAUAGAGAGAGCUGUGUUUCUGUUUCUCUGUUUGUUUGUUGCGUUCUUGCAGAACUUUUAACCCUCUUAUGCAAUCCAAGCUAUGAAUAUAGUUUUCAUAUAGUUGUUCUCAUAUCAACAAUUAAGCAUUUUGUUAUAUGAAUAUUUGAUGAUCACACCAUGAUCAGACGCCUUCGGAUUCAUAUAAGGGGUAGGCCUUUGCACCGAACCUAACUUUCCCAAUCGGAACAUAACAAUGUAUGGUUUUUUUUUUUCAAUUUCUUAAUGAAGUUCUAUAAGAUAAUUUUGGUGAAUAGUAUUAGUAUACCCUCCUAAAUUCAUUGAUCACGUGACGUGAUAUGCUUCAUUUUUUUUGUCAACACAUGAUAUGUUGCUUCUAUUGGUUAAAGCCUUAAAGGCUAAAAGCUUUUUCUUCUAUACCAAAUUUCCUUCUCAUAACUCAUUUUUCUUUUCAUUGUAUAUAAAUAACUUGGAGGAUUUAAAUCCAAAUUUUGUAAACCCAUCAGAAAUUUAAAUUAACAAUGAAUAUUCCAACUAUAUGCUUAUGGUUGAAUCACUUUUGUCUUUCUUUUUCCUCAAGUCAAAACUAAGUUAAAUUAACAAUUAGUCAAAUACUUAUGAUAAACCAAAAAAAAUGAUUACACCAUCAUGGAAAUUUUUUUGCAGCUUCUUCCGCAAGAAAAUCAAUCAGUAAUCAGCAAAAUACAUCUGGGAUGGAUGACGUUUCAAUAGAAACUUAUCUUCUAUUCGUCUCAAGAGAACAAAAAAAGUGUCAACAAUACGUGAUAUGAUCAAUUUAUCACAUUUAAUGAGAUCUGGUCAAAUCACCAAUCCAUUUGUGUAUCUGAAAUAUUUACAAUUAGUUUAAGACAAAUCUCAUUAUGAUAACAAUAAAGCCGUCUCUCUUGUCCAAAUACUAAAUCCGUUGCAAGAGAAGGAGAACAUAUAACUAGUGUUCUGUUUCUUAACUAACUAAUAAAAAACAGAGAAGAGACAUGGGCUAGAAUGAGAGAGACACGAGAGAUAUUAUACUGAAACUUGUUAUUUACUUGACAAUUUUUACAUAAGACAACAUACACACUUAUAUAGAUGUUUACAUAACUAACUACAUAACCGUUUGGUGACAAUUGUAACUUCUCCGACAAGAUACGUCUCUUACUCACACCUUUUCGUAGUAUAUCAUAUGGCAUCCAUUGCCUCUAAAUAUAAACUAUAGUAUAUAUGAUAUUUAAUCAUGGAUUCAAUUCUAACAUAAACAUUAUCAAUCGAAUCUGUUGUGUAUAUUUGGUAGUAAUUAACAAAUAUGUCAAGUUAUUUGGGUUAGAUUAGUUUGGUUAUAGCCUUCUAAGCUAAUAUGUUUUGUAUUUCUUCUACUUUUUGAUUAUAGCCUUCUAAGAGAUUCGACCUAUCAAAAUGUGUUUAUACAUGGACUCAUGACGAGAUUUCAAUCAAUUGUGAAACCAGCAAAUUACGGCUAGCCGGCUAGGUGAUGAUUUACAAAAACUGCAAUUAUGCUUAAUUUGGGGUAAUAAUGAAAAAUUUGACAUAGGAUUAUAUAAAGGGAAUAGAGAGAGAAAUUAAGUGGUGGUCUUCACAUGGCAGCCAUUUUUAGAAUAUGAUGAGAUGCAAGAGAUGAGUGGACCUAUCCACAAAAACAACAAUGCCAAUCCACCACUCUUCCCAUUUAUAUCCAUACAUUCUUAGUUUCUUACAUUAGCAUAUCUUUAAAGAGUUGGAAAAACAUGUCUUGACAAAAUUAGACAUGAAUUAUUUGCCCAAAUAGAUCUUCAUCAUUCAUCAAACGAUUUAUGUUUUGAUGUAAACAAAUUUUACCAAUUAAUACUAUUUUUCUGAUCUCCAAGUGCUAUUUUUUUAUUUUAUUUUGCACAAAUAGUAACCCAAGGUCUCUAAAUACUUAGAUUUCUAUAUUUAUGAAUGUAAGGAAUGAAUGAUUGCAAGGAUCCAUCUAACAAACGAUAUAAGUCAUUUGGAGGAUAAUAUAAUAUUAUGCAUAGAAGAACAUUCAAUAAUAUGUAUUUUUUAUAAAUACUUAUGAAUGUUUCUAUGCCAUUGAUGUUCUCUAAAAACAAUACACUGCAAUUGCUAAUCCAUUCUAAUUUAAUUAUUGCUAGCUAAUUAAUUAGUCUUAUACCAAAUAUUUUCUCUAAAAACAAAUGAACAAAAGUUUGGUGGUAAGAGGCAAUGAAGUGAGUCUUCUCUUUCAUCCAAUAAUAAUACUUUUGUUUUGUGUGUUCCCUUUUGCAAUUAUAUGCAAGUGGGUCUAUAAUUGAGUUUGAUUAUGAAGGCUACACACCCAUCUUUGUUUUUUUCAUUAUUUUUUACAUAUAUACAUUUUCUUUUGUAUUUUCACUUUAAAGUUCUAUCGGCCAAGGAUGGUUGAUGUGUUUAGUGUGUUAUUCAUCUUUUUUUGUCACCAUUGAGAAAAUAUGGUUAACAGCUCCAAAGUUUUUUAAGAAUUGUUUUUGUAAUUAUUGGUGCGAACAAUGAAUAAUUUGUAUAUGUAAAUAUGAUUGUCUUGAAUAAUUGUUUCAUCCAUAUUUCUCAAUAGUAAAUAAUGUAUCGUUUGCUUUCUUAAUCGGACAAAAUUAACAACAAUUGUCGUAGAUUCCUUCACAUUUUUAUCAUGAAUCAUUUAAUAUUUCAGCCGACCGUUUCAAGUUUCAACCAUGUGUACACUGUUUUUUCACAUUUACCUAGCAUAUUCAUUUCAAUUGUUGCCACCAUUUUGAAUGAAACCUAAAUUAAUUAUUUUGUAUUUUAUAGAAAAAUAAUUAUUUGAGUAGCGUUUGGAUUUAUAUGAUAUGGAAAAAAAGGAAUUUAAUAAUAAAUUUGCUAAUGUCAUCACCUACUGACUACGUAUCUCCACGGAUGGUGUAUGUCCUCAUAACCAGACAAAUUCAGCCAGCCUUGCUUUUCUUUUUUUCCUCCUUUAACAACCCACAAAAUUAAUAAAAUUAAAAACUCAAACUUUGAUUUGUGUAAUUAAACUACAUUCUCUCUGAAAUUCAAAACUUGAAAACAAAUUAUUGUCGUCAAAAAAACUGUAUUAACAAUAAGAAGUGCCAAAAAAAUAUAAUAGUGUAUGGAAGAGCUUAAUCCUAUCUUAUUGUGAGCCAAAAAAAUAUAUAUUCUAUUUCAUUUCGGAUAUAUUUAAAGAUAAUUAACCAAAUAGUGUUUUAAAAUGUCAAAUGUCAAAAUAUGAAAUUUAUCCUUGCUUCACUCGGAAAUAAAACUUUGUUAUGAAUAUAACAAACAUCUUCGUUUAAAUAAUCAAUUAACAAUAAUUUUAGAUGGACUGCGUAGAAUUUGUUCCUGCUUUGGCCAAUUUUUAGAUGAAUUUAGUUUGCUCUAUGAUAUGUUUUACAACAUUAAUUUAGCAUAUCUAAGAUCAAUGUAUGCUAAUGUUAUUUUUAUAAACUUUUUUUUGGAUUGGACAAUGAAUUUUUUUUUUGUAAAUAAAAUUUUUAAUUUUGUGGUUUAAGAAAACAUUACCAAUAGCCAAUACGUAGGUAAGUGAAUGGUUAACAUUCUUUAAAUAAUAACUAAUCAAUCUUUAAUCACAUAAAUUAGUUGAAUAAUUGAUAAUUAUUAACGAACUACUACUUAAUGACUUUAUUUCUGCGAGUACAUAAAUCUCUCUUACUCGCCCACAAGACAACAAUGGCAUAAUUCCGUAAUUAAACCAUAAAACCAAGGUCAAUUACAAAAUCUCUCUCAAGUCUGACACUACUACAUCACCUUCUCUUUUUUCUCUCUUUGGCGAGAAUGGCCUCGUAACCAGUGAUUAGGACACAUGCAUGCCAUUUCCCAUCAACGGUCAAGAUCCAUCUCCUCUUCUUCUCCUUCAAACCAUUCCCCACCGUUAGAUCAUCUCCAAACCUAACCACGGUUCAUUCUUUAACCACGGUUUGUUUCGGUCAGCCAGGUAGGGGCCUCUCUGAUGUCCUUCAAGACUUUUUAUUUUUCUCCAUUACCAAAGUCACCAAGAAGCCAGAAGAAAGAGAAUAGAGAGAGAGAGAGAGUUUUGUUCUUCUUCUUUCUGGUUCCUUUGCUUUGCUUUGGUUGCGUGAUCUCCUCUCUCAUCAAUCUUCUUCAUCAUCAUUCUCAUCAUCAUUAGCUUCUUGAUUUUUUUUUCCUUCUUUUUUUCGUUUCAAGAAACUAAACAAAGUUUCUAUUUAUGGUUUUCUGAUUCUUCUUCUACAGAUCUAUUAUUUGAUUCUCCUUCGAUCAUUGUCAACGUUUUCUUCUUUUGUAAUCAUCACAGUUUUUUUUGAGAAUUUGUUCAUUUUUUUUUCUCAUAUAUUGAUUCGAGUUCUUUCUUCUUGAAUCUUGUUCUUCAUAGAUCUAGUUUUUGUUUUUUACUCUCUAGAUCUAUAGAUCUGUUGAAUUCACUUCUUUAAUCCAUCUCUGUGUUCUUGAGUUCCUAUGGUCUAAGUCAAACUCAAGUUCAAGAUCUGUUGAAUUUGGAAUCUUGCUGGUGAAGUUAGAGAUGAAUUAUUUCCCAGAUGAAGUAAUAGAGCAUGUAUUCGACUUUGUAACAUCUCACAAAGACAGGAAUGCUAUAUCUCUUGUAUGCAAAUCAUGGUACAAGAUUGAAAGAUACAGUAGGCAAAAGGUUUUCAUUGGAAACUGUUAUGCCAUUAAUCCAGAGAGGUUGCUUCGGAGAUUCCCAUGUCUAAAGUCUUUGACUUUGAAAGGAAAACCUCAUUUUGCGGAUUUCAAUUUGGUUCCUCAUGAAUGGGGAGGUUUUGUGCUACCUUGGAUUGAGGCUUUGGCUAGAAGCCGUGUAGGACUUGAAGAGCUUAGGUUGAAGAGGAUGGUUGUUACUGAUGAGAGUCUUGAGCUGCUUUCUCGUUCUUUUGUCAAUUUUAAGUCUUUGGUCCUUGUUAGCUGUGAAGGUUUUACCACUGAUGGUCUUGCCUCUAUUGCCGCUAAUUGCAGGUAUCACUUUUUUCUUGUGUGUUAUAAAAAUUGUUCCUUGUGUUGUAAGAUUAGGUUUUAUAUGUGACUAUAGAUGCUAUGUUUCAUUGUGGUUUACAUAUCAUUGCACACUUGCUUCCUAAUAUGGCUAAAAAGACGCAAAUCUAGCUUUUGGUCGAACAAUAAUAUCCGAUUUACUUAGAAAAUAGGUGGAAUAAACAGUUUAGUUAUUGCAAUGGUUCCUUUUGGUUGUGUGUUACAAAUGUAGUAGUGUUUGCUGAGUGUUAUUAUUGUGUUAGGUCUGUAACUCUGUUUUACAAUUCUUUCUUCUUUGUAGGCAUCUUCGGGAUCUUGAUUUGCAAGAGAAUGAAAUCGAUGAUCAUAGAGGUCAAUGGUUAAGUUGUUUCCCAGACACUUGCACGACUCUUGUCACGCUAAACUUUGCGUGCCUCGAAGGAGAAACUAAUCUGGUUGCUCUAGAGAGGCUUGUUGCUAGGUCUCCAAACCUAAAGAGUCUGAAGCUAAAUCGUGCAGUACCGUUAGAUGCACUCGCAAGGUUAAUGGCGUGUGCGCCGCAGAUAGUUGACUUAGGAGUAGGGUCUUAUGAGAAUGACCCAGAUUCCGAGUCUUACUUGAAACUCAUGGCUGUCAUAAAGAAAUGCACCUCGUUGAGGAGUUUGUCGGGUUUUCUAGAGGCUGCUCCUCACUGUCUCUCAGCUUUCCACCCAAUAUGUCAUAACCUCACCUCCUUGAAUCUUAGUUACGCAGCUGAGAUUCAUGGUAGCCACCUUAUUAAGCUUAUUCAGCAUUGCAAGAAACUUCAGCGGUUAUGGGUAAGCGAAUGUUUCCUAAAGUGUAUAUAUGAACCGAGCAGAUAGAUUUAUACGUAAUGGCUUCAAUGUUUUCUUGUAGAUUUUGGAUAGUAUAGGUGACAAAGGGCUUGAAGUUGUAGCUUCUACAUGUAAAGAGUUACAAGAGCUUAGGGUUUUUCCAUCUGAUUUACUCGGUGGAGGCAACACAGCUGUGACCGAAGAAGGUCUAGUUGCCAUCUCGGCAGGCUGCCCUAAGCUCCACUCUAUACUCUACUUCUGCCAACAAAUGACAAACGCAGCUCUCGUAACCGUUGCCAAGAACUGUCCAAAUUUCAUCCGUUUCCGACUCUGCAUCCUCGAGCCAAACAAACCCGAUCACGUCACAUCUCAACCUCUAGACGAAGGCUUUGGAGCAAUCGUCAAAGCCUGCAAGAGCCUGAGAAGGCUUUCUCUCUCAGGUCUCCUUACAGACCAAGUCUUCCUCUACAUCGGAAUGUACGCGAAUCAGCUCGAGAUGCUCUCCAUAGCCUUUGCAGGAGAUACAGACAAAGGCAUGCUAUAUGUGUUGAAUGGUUGCAAAAAGAUGAAGAAACUAGAGAUAAGGGAUAGUCCGUUUGGGGACACGGCGCUUCUUGCUGAUGUGAGCAAGUAUGAAACAAUGCGAUCCCUUUGGAUGUCUUCAUGUGAAGUCACACUCAGUGGAUGCAAAAGGCUCGCAGAGAAAGCGCCAUGGCUCAAUGUAGAGAUCAUAAACGAGAAUGAUAAUAACCGGAUGGAAGAAAACGGACACGAGGGGAGGCAGAAAGUGGAUAAGUUGUAUCUGUACCGGACUGUGGUUGGGACAAGAAUGGAUGCGCCGCCAUUUGUGUGGAUUCUCUAAGUCCUUUUCAGACCAAACUGGUUCUGAUUGGUCGUCUUCCGUUAGUGUGUCUUUCCCGAAUUAGGUGUACUUUUUGUUUUCUUUAAAUUAAGACAAGAACUGAUUCUUCUGUGAAAGCCAUUCUGUUUUUGUUUUUGACUUUCCUCCGUUGAUUUAUUGGUUUCUUUUUUCAAGUUAUUACAAAGUGCUACGGUUUGUCUUAUUUUUCUAAGCUUUUUAGAUUUACCUUGCUAGGAAACAAGAAUGUACACAAUAAAGAAAAAAACAUGUACAUAAUGUAAUAUGUUAAUAGAAUCAAGUAAUCAUAGAUUUGAGACUUACAAGUAUCUUAAUUCCCUAAUCCAAUGUUUUAAUAGUUUUCGUUGUAUUUUUAAAUAUCAUUUUGAAUUUUUGAUGUUACCAAUUUUAAUGGUAACGUCACAAUAAUGAAAUCACCGAGACUGGUGAGGUCAAAAUCUAGCCAACAAUGAACAAUCAUCAAAGCAUAAGAUAAUAUGUUCUAUUCUAUGAUGCUAAAACUGUUUCCGUAGGAUGUUAUUUUAAGUUUUUAACUGUUACAUAUUUGAUUAUUGAGUAUCUUUUUAAUGAAAAUUUUACCAAAUGUUGGUCGUAAAUAAGAUACAAAUCUGACACUCCUUUGUCUGAAGGUUUUUGUAGGAAGAAGCCUAUUAUGGCCCCAAUUCAGAAGGCCCGUAAGAAAAACAGGCAAUUUACACGGUCAUUUUCAGCUGUUGGAUUUGUUUUCAUACAGAUUAACUUGGAGAACACAAGAGAUAAUAUUUACAUUAUGUACAACAUUACUAUUUAAGGUCUCAUGUUAUAAUACUGAUCAGUAAUCCGGUGAAGGUGCAUCAAGAAUUUCAUCGCUGCAACAAAAAUUUGAGUUUUUGAAUCACACGUUAUUUUUUGAAGUACAUUUUGUAGUUGGAUCGGAUCAAAACAUAUUUGAAAUUGUAAACCGGAUAUUCAAAUCUACCUACCAAUCUUUGCAUCCAAAAUCACAAUCAUCAGAUCUUAAGAUAACAUCAAUAAUGAUCUAUGAUGCCAAAACUGUUAGUGUAGGGUCAUGCAUCAUAACAUUUGAUGGAUGUUAAAUUAACUGUCACAUACGGAUAUCUUUUGAUGUAACUUUUAACAAAACAUUUGGUGUAAAGAAACUAUGUUAUAUAAAUCAAACAAAUGCGACACGACUUGACCACUACGCACAAAACCAAAAGACUUCAAAGUUUUGUUAGAAACAUAGGAAGAUGUAUGUCAAUAAUCAGAAAAAGUCUUUCACGUCAAGUGUUGCCACUAACAAUGUCAAAGAAAUUUGAAUUUCAGUUAUCAUUAGCUAAAUUUACGUCUAUAUGUCUGAUAUAGAACAUAUUUGUCUUAAACAGCUUCCAUGAACGUAAAAUGUAUUACAUAUAUAUAGACAAUAUGCAAAAAGCUCAAAGUCAUCAACAUUGUCUCUUUCCAUGAUCAUUCAUGUCGUGCCUCUUUAAUUUUGUAUGAAGGUGAAUGUCUGAGAUGAAAGAGAAGAACAUAUAAGGAUAGCCAAGGAGACUGCCUGAUAUCUUUUUUAUAAGCAAAAUGGUCAUUGCUUGAUACAACUUAUAGUGACUUCAAACAAGACACUAAACAUUUUACACAAAGAGUCAGGCAAGUCAUCCUUGGCUACCAAAUAUGAUUCUUCUAUUCAUCUUUGACAUCUCCUUCUAAAUAAUGUGUACACUCACAAACACACUAUUAAAAAAAAAUGCUUUCUAAAUCGAAUGCAAAAAAAUUGACAUUUUCAACCCAGGAGACACCUUAACAAAGAUUGAAUUUUUUUUUCUGAAAAGAAUUUAUAGUGACUAUGGAGACAGAAAGAAAAACAGGUAUAACGUGAAUGAAAAAAGCAUGUCAAGAUAGCCAAGGAGACUGCCUGAAACCUAACCCGCAAGAUUCAACAUGAUUUCAAAUUAUUAUACUUUUGAAUGUAUAAUAAUCCAAAACCCAUGAAUUACAAAUUGAAUCAUGGAGGUGAAAAAGAUCAGGCAAGUCAUCCUUGGCUACUAAACAUGACUCUUUUCGCCAUGUUAGACCUCUCUUCCUCAUUAUACUCUUUAUUACUCUCAAUAUGUGUUGCCUCAUUCCUCACAUGGAUGUGCUCUCUUUUUAUAACCCUUGAGAAGGAAUAUAUGCAUAUAGAUUUCUAAAUUUAUCUAUUUUCUUUUUGCAUGGGCUAAAUAUAGUCAACUUUUCUUUAUGACGGGAAUAUGUUCCUUUAAAUGGACCAUUUUAGGGGUCCACUAAGACAAUCUUCUUUUCGGUUCAUUCACAAAAUAUAAUAUCGCAGUACAUUGAUGGAAUGGUGGGUUUAAGAGUUUCCACAAUGUAGACGAAAUUUUACAUUGUCGAAUCAUAUAGAUUUUGUUUUUAUAAAAUAAAUCAAUGUACAUUUUAUGUGAGUUCAAUUAAAUCGAUGAACCAAAUGCAGAUUUAGAUGUGGCUAUAUCAAUCAGUAUGAAACAAUUAUCUUUUGAAUAGAAUAGUUUAAUGUUUAAGUUGAAUAGAAUAGCUAAAGAUUUAUAGAAUCGCAGAUAUUUUAAACCUGAAUAUUAUUAAAGGGAUAGUUAAUUAAAAUCGAAAUAUACAUAUUGGCUAAAGAUAAAAAUCUUUUCAACAAAUAUAUAUGCGUGGAUUAACUCAUUGUGGUUGAUAAAAAAAUGUUUUCAUUUUAUUUUAUAUUGCUUUUUAUUCUCACAAUUAAGUUGAAAUACAAUAAUGUUAAAUCGAGUAUAUAUAUUUGUUCCCUUUAUCUUAGUGCAAUGCGUAAAACAAUGUUCCUCUGAAUUGAUGCUUCUGCCUUAUGGUAUGGGCAAGUUGUUCUUCACUUUUUCUUUAAUUAAAAAAUUAAAAAUCGUUUUCCUUAAAAUUCUAAAAUAGGAAAUGUUUUAUGAUGGGUUGGAUUUUUGUAUUACCUCUUUUGGAUAUUGAUAGAAUGACAGGGUUGACCAUUAAAUUAAAGAAAGAAUACCGUAUUUGGGACAUUGCCGAAUCAAUCCAGGCCUAUUCAUUUUCAAAAGUAGUCGAUUCUCUUGUCUAUCAUCCAUAUCUUGUUCACCACCGAUUGUUGAGAUUUGAUUCGGUUCGAAUGUCAUCAUCAUAACAUCAUGUCACUUUACUAAGUUUUCACAAAUAUUAUUCACUACCACGUCUCGGAAAAAUUGUAACAAGCGUAAUCUGUAGAAAAAUGUUCAAAUACUUGUUUUCCAAUGACAUAUAUAUUUAUCUCUCAUAAAAAAAAAAAAGAAUCAUAACAUGUAUAUUAGAGCAUCAGAAGACUUGUAGUUUCUGUUCUCUAGUUUCGUUUUGGCCUUUUGGGUCCUACUUUUGUUCUUCUCGUGUACUGUUGCUGGUUUGACUUCGGUUAUGUGCACACCUGAUUUUAUUCGGCUAUAUCCAGCGUUCAUAGAUUCGUUAGAAUUUUUGGUGGGAACCUUCUGGCUCAGUAUUUCAGUUUUAGUGCUUAGCUCUCUUAUUCGUCCCAUGAGCUGUUUUCUGUAGGUUCUUGGCCCUUCUUUUGUCUCCGUUUCUUUGGUGCUUUGUUUCUAGAGGAGGGUGUCAUGCUGGCUAUGUAUGUAUUACAAAAGUCUUUUUUUUUUCACUACAACAAUAGUUAGUAUUCUUAGUAUUAGAAGAUAGCAAUGGGUGUGGUUCUACUGUAUUAGACUUAAGCUUGCAUUUUGGAUAGCGUUUAUGAAUAUGUAAACGCUAUAAUUUGUUUGGUUCAAAAAUUACGAUAGCACAAUUUUCAUAACUGCUUUUAAAGGUGUUAAUCAAAUUUUCGUAACUAUAUUAUAACUUUUCAAAAACGAUAAGCUUUAUAAUCAUAUAGAUAAAACUAAAAUCACUUUGAACCACCAAUAUUUAACGAAAUUCUUUCCCAUACGGCCAACACUUAGCCAAAAAAAUAAGGAAAAGCUCAAAUUAAAAAUCAAACCCUAAUUUCUAUAUCUCUUAUGCAUCCUCUUUCUCAGGUUUACCUCUUCACUCUCUUUCUCGAUUCAUCCUUUUUACAAAGAUUACUUUCUUCUCCUUAACUCUCUUUUAUCCCUUUAGUCUCUUCCUGCGAUUAUACACCCUGGAUCUAAUAUUGGAUUUUAUCAAUUUCUAUCACUCUUUGUCACUCUCGCUCUCAUUUCCAAAUUCUUCUUCUUCUUAAAUUCUACAGAUUCUUUUUUUUUUUUUUUCGCUGGCCUGAAACCCCAAACCAUUGUCGAUGCUCGGUUCGCCGUUCAAUGACGUCAACCUUCUCUCUCUUUAUCCUUCUCUUUUGCCUCCUCCAGUAAAAUUUUGUUAGGGUUUUAUGAGCACUUGGGUUAAAUUUUGUUAGGGUUGAGUUGAUCGAUUUGAAUUAGAGUGAUUUCUUAGAAACUUUUGGCCAAAGUUAUGAUGAUGUUUUUCAUGACUUCCCCUAUGGAAAAUUACCUUCCAUAGUGUGAUCACGAAAUACCACGUAGAACUACAUAUUCCAAUUUACAUUCCACGCGGAUCUUAGGUUUCAUUUGAUCCUGGCACAACGUAAACGUAAGAAAGGUCCGGGGUUCGUUGAUCCAAUGAUCACAACGGUCAAGUGAUGAGUUUGAUACAAAAUUUAUUGUGGUAAUAUAUAUCCCUUUUUUCUUACAUUCGAAUGCUCUUGUUUUUCAUACAUUAAAAUAAUCAAAGCUAAUAAACUCUACUACUCACAACCACUUAGAUAUUCAGAGGAAGAAUCUAAAACCCUAACUUUAGGAAGAAGAUUAGAUGAAACAUAUAUAAAUCACUUCAAAAUCCAAUUCAAAUAGACCUAUAAAGAACAAUACCCUGUAAUGAAACGUGACUAUAUAUCAAGGUGCGCUGCAUCGGAACCAUACCCUAAGAGGAAGUUUCCAUGAAGCUUCAUGGCAAGACUCAUUCGAGUCGAUCCAAUCAUAUAAAUAUUGAUGUAUACGCAAAAUGUAAUAUAUGCUAUAUAUUCAUCCAAAAAGCCUCCAAAAAUCGUCAACAUUCGCUCACCAUUAUAUUUGUUGUCAUGUCUAUCUUAUUUUGGAUGAAGGUAAAUAUCUGAGUUGAGAAAGAAGAACAUAUAAGGAUAGCCAAGGAGACUGCCUGAUGUCUAUUUAUAAACAAAAUGGUCAUUUCUUGGUAUAACUUAUAGUCACUUCAAAACAUGACAUCGACCAUUUUGUUCAGAGAAGCAGGCAAGUCAUCCUUGGCUACCAAAUAUUGUUCUCCUAUUCAUCUUUGACAUCUCCUUCUAAAUAAUGUGUAGACUCAGCCACAUAAACUAUGAAAAUGCUUUAGAAACCAAAGGCAGAAUUUUGACAUUUUCAAAACAUAACACCCUAACAAUGAUUGAAACUUUUUUAAAGUGAAUUUCUAGUGAUUCGGAAGACAGAAAAAUAAGUAUAACAUGGAUGAAGAAAGCAUGUCAAGAUAGCCAAAGAGACUGCCUGAAACCUAACCCGCAAGAUUCAACAUGAUCUCAAAUUAUUAUACCUUUUAAACGCAUAAUAAUCCAAAAUCCACGAACUUAAAAUUGAAUCAUGGAGGUGAAAAAGAUCAGGCAAGUCAUCCUUGGCUAUUAAACAUGACUCUUUUCGCCAUAUUAGACCUCUCUUCUUCAUUAUAUUUAACUCUCUUUAUGUCUCAUGCCUUACAUUCAUGUGCUCUCGUUUUAUUUAUAACCCUUGAGAGAAGGAAUAUAUGCAUAUUGAUUUCAAUAUUUAUCUCUUUCUUUUUGCAUGGGAUAAAUAUAGUCAACUUUGAAUUCUUUAACACGGGAAUAUGUUCCUUUAAAUGGACCAUGAUUCGGGUCACUAAGAUAAUAUUCUUGUCGGUUAAUUCACAAAACUAUACAUCGCAUUUGAUUUGUGGGUGUAAGCGUUUCCACAAUGUAACAACUCUACAUAAAAUAAAACAAUGUACAUAUUAUGUGACUUUAAUUAAAUCGGUGAAUCAAAUGCAGAUUUAGAUGUGGCUAUUUGAAUCAGUAUGAAACACAUGUUUCAGUUUGUAAAUUCGAACAUAUCUUUAAAUAUAAUGUUAAGUUUGGAUUUAAUAGUUUAUGAUUUAUAGAACAGCAUAUAUAUGAUUAAUAGAAAGUUUAAAACCUAAUAAAAUAUUGGCUAACGAUAAAAAGGUUUUUCAACAUGUACAUGGGUUAACACAUUGUGGUUAAAAUGUUUCAAUUUAUUUCAUAUUGUUUUUAUUCUCACAACUUUGCAUGCAUACGGUCCCUUUUAUCUAAGUUCAAAUUCUAAUAAUAGUAAUCGAGUAUAUAUACGGUCCCUACUCCCUUCUAUCUAAGUGGAAUGUCUAAAAAAAGUAUAUGUUCCUUCGAAUUGAUGCUUCUGCCUUAUGGUAUGGGCAAUUUACUUUUUCUCUAAUUUCAAAUUUAAAGUAGUUUUCCUUCAAAGUCCAAAAUCGGAAAUUUUGAUGAUAUGUUGCAUUUCUCUAUCACCUCUUUCGGAUAUAAAAAGUUUUGACCAUCAAAUGAUAGAAUCAGAAGACCGUAAUUUGGAUAUUGCACAUAUUCUAGAGUAGUCGAUUCUCUAUUUUUCAUAUCAUUUUCACUAGGACCCUUGAGAAUGUGAUUUGAUUUGGUUUGGAUAUCAUUAUGUCCUUUUCUUAAGUUUUCAUUAAUAUUAUUCACUGGCACCGGUCCGGAAUUUUUUUUAUAACAAUUUUAGUCUGUAGAACAAUUUUCAGUUUUUUGUUUUGUCCAAUAACAUGUAUAUUAGAGCAAUAGAAGAAAAAAAAAUCGAUGAAUUUUCGAGUUAGUAAAAAUGACGUCUUCCCACUGGCUAUUAGUUUGCCUUCUCAAAGCAAAUACAUGAAUUCAUGAAGAUCAAGAAUAAAUUAUUUUUAUUUGUUCUCUUACAUUUGAUGCGUUUGAAGUUCAAGGUUGAUUGUUUAGUUUGUAACGUUAGACUUCAUGCUCAAGAUUUUACUUUUGUAAGAUCUAUGUCACCGAUUUAGAUUUCAGAACUUUUUAAAAAUUUAACUAAGAUUAUUGAUCAAACAAAACUGGUAUUAUAUAAUAGUUUUGUCAUCUUCAAUUUACUAAAUCAAAUACAGCCUUAAGGAAGCCAAGAUAAAACGUAAUUGUGUCCCAACAGAGAAAUAAAAACAAGUUAGCCUCUUCUCCUACCAUUUAAUUUGAAGCCUCUGAAGAAAGCAUUUUGUAGAAGGGACCGUCUUUUUGAAUAUAAGAUUGGUGACGGCCUUCUUUUUUAACACUUCUUACAAAUUUGUUUUAAACCCCAUUUACAUUCGUCCCUACAAUAUAUUGAAAAGACAACGUUUUCUCUGAAGAAUUGAUCGCUCUGACGAACUCCCUCGUUGAGGAGAACAUAACGCAAUCCGGUCUUAUUGUGAGUAAGCUCGAGGAAGCCCAAAUAAAACAUUGAAUUUCCGCUCGAAGAUGCGAGACGAGACGUGGCAAAUAAAGGCAGUUCUCACAUAUAUAUUUACCUUUCCAUGAUAUGAACACCAAAUACCAUGCAAUUUCGAAUGAUCCAUGUUCUUCCACAAUCGCUUGAUUUUCAUGUAUACAUAUAUAUAUAUAUAUAUAUAUAUAUAUUGAUGUAUGCGCAAAAUGCACGACAUACAUAUAUAUAUGCAAAAAGCCUCGAAAUCAUGAACAUUAUCUCUCAAUGAUUUUUCUUGUCAUGUCCAUCUUAUUUUGAAUGAAGGUAAACGUCUGAGAUGAGAGAGAAGAACAUAUAAGGAUAGCCAAGGAGACUGCCUGAUGUCUUUUGAUGAGUAAAAUGGUCAUUGCUUGAUAUAACUUAUAGUCACUUGUCAAACAUGACACUAACCCAUUUUACUCAAAGAAACAGGCAAGUCAUCCUUGGCUACCAAAUAUGAUUCUUCUAUUCAUCUUUGACUUCUCCUUCUAAAUAAUGUAUACACUCACUUUCAUAUACUAUAACAAAAACUUUUGAAACCAACUGCGAAAAUUUGACAUUUUUGAAAUUUAACACUUUAACAAAGAAUGAAAGUUUCUGAAGUGUAAAUUUUAUAGUGAUUUUGAAGACAGAAAGAAAAGUAGGUAUAACAUGGAUGGAAAAAGCAUGUCAAGAUAGCCAAAGAGACUGCCUGAAACCUAACCCGCAAGAUUCAACAUGAUAUUUGACCUAUUAUACUUUAAAAGGUAUAAUAAUCCAAAAUGCAUGAAUUUGAAAUUGAAUCGUGGAGGCGAAAAAGAUCAGGCAAGUCAUCCUUGGCUACUAAACAUGACGCUUUCCGCCAUGUUAGACCUCUCUUCUUCAUCAUACACUUCAUUACUCUCUAUAUGUUUUUGCCUUAUUCCAUACAUGCAUGUGCUCUCUUUUUAUAACCCUCGAGACUCGAGAGUUGAGAAGGAAUAUAUGCCUAUCAUAUCGAUUUCUAAAAUUAUCUCUUUUCUUUUUGCAUGGGAUAAAUGUAGUCAACUUUAUAUUCUCCAUCACGGGAAUAUGCUCCUUCAUAUAUCGGACAAUUUUUCGGGUCACUAACAUAAUCUUCUUGUCGGUUCAUUCACUAAAUUGUAUCGUUUUUCAUUGGUGGGUUUAAGAGUUAAUAUAUAUAUAUAACGUUCUCGAUCAUCUUAGAUGUUGUAUAUUAUAUAUACACACAUAUAUAAACAAUUAAAUGCAACUUUAGACGUGUUUAGUUCAUUCUGUCUGAAAGAAUUGUUUAAAUUUUAUGAAUCCGAACAUAUUUUGAAAUAUAAUAACGUUAAGUUUUGAUAUAAUUAUGAAAUAUCUAUAUAGAUGCAUAGGUAGUUUAAAAGCUCAAUGAUAUACUAUAGACUUAAUAUUAAAAACGACAUUUCAACUAAUAUAUACACACGUGACUCAUUGUGGUUGAUAAAAUGUUCCAAUUUAUUUAGUGGUUAUUAACUUAUUAUUCUCACUACUUUGCAUACGUUUUCUUUGUACUUUUUGUACUACAAUUCAAAUUACACGUAGCUAAUCGAAUACAUAUUCGGUCCCUUUUACCCUAGUGCCAUGUGUAAAAUUAUGUUCCUUAAAUUGAUGCUUCCGCCUUAUGGUAUGCUCAAGUGACUCAAGUGGUUCUCGACUAUUUCUCUAAUUUAAAAUGAAAGUUUAUUUUUCCUUAAAAAUCCAAAUUAGGAAAUUUGUGUGAUAUGUUACAUUUUUAUCAUAUAACCACUAUUGGGUAUAAAAAGGUUUGACCAUUACAUUAAAGAAGAGUCAUAAUACUUUUUGGCAUAUUUUUUUUAGGACAUUGUGGAAUCUCAUUUGAAAGUCUUCGAUUCUCUUUUCUGUCAUCCGAUCCAUAUCUUUUUCAUUUCCAAUUGUUGAGAUUUGAUUUGGUUCGAAUGUCAUCAUCUUGUCGUUGCAAUAAAAGUUUACACAAAUAUUAUUCACUGGUACGACUGAGGAUAUAUUGUGGGCUAAUUUUUGAAUUGGGCUAAAGCCUCACAUGUGAUUAAUUUUGAGUUGGGCUAAAACCUAUCACAUAAUUGUUAGUUAUUUAUGUUAAAAUAGAGGUUGCUCUCUCUCACUAUUCAUACAUUUCUCAGCAUUUUGGCUAAGAUCAAGUAUAGUAUCUGAUUUUAUCAAUUUAAUAUCUGAUAUAUGGACUAUUGGUUCACAUGAUACGCUAUUUUUAAGUUAGAAACUCACAUUAAAAUAGCUUAUCUGAGUUUUCACAAGUGGUCUAAGCGUUGCUUAUAUUAUUGCACGGAUAUGGCUCAUUCCCACCACCAAAUAUAGUCCAAAUUUUUAUGUAAAUGCAAAGACAUGGGAUUUGGUGGUCUUAGACAACUUGUCUCCAAUCUCCCUCCAUCUGAGUUUUGUUUUUGAAUUUUCUCUAACUAUGUUAGAAAGAUUUGUAGUGAUGAAACUCUAUCAUAUAUCCAACACUUCCCCUAAAAUUCCUUUGUUUCCGUUUCUGCAUAAUUCCAGUUACACACAAAGUGCAUGCUUCCAUCAAGUAAUUCUAAGAAAAAAAACAUUUGUUCACAAACUAUGUCCUUUCAUUUUUGGAUGGUAUAGUAUAUAUGGGACAACAAGUAACUAGCUUUUUUGGAGUGUCUUGUUCAAAUUUUUGACAUAUAGAUUUGUUUGUAUACUACUAUAUUUCAUUUAACUGCAUGUUUUAAUAAAGAAACGGAUCUUUGAUACAUAUAGGUAGUUUUCUAAAAUCAUUUGGAUCUUGUGUCAUAUCGAUUUAUUUGUACGUGAGAUUUGGCUCACCUUGCCGAUUAAAGUUCAACUAACGUUUUGUAAAUUUUAUUUUGUUUAUAGAAAUUCAGAAGAGGAAACUUGCACGUCUAAAUUUGUAUAUAAAUUAUAAAAAGAGCCAAAAUGUCACUGUUGUUGGUGUUUAUAACCUCUCUUACAUACAAGUCGCAAGACAAGAGGUGGUAAAUGUGGACUUUUAUUCUAACUAAUUAAAUACAGAAAGAUGGAAAGACAACUUUCUCAAUUACUCUCUCAAACACAAAUUUGAUUCUAACUAAAUUAAAGUUCAACUAAAGUUAGUUUGUAAAUUGUAUUUUAGGUUAUACUUAAUUGUACUACUUUUUCAAAAAAUAAAAAACAACUAUGUUUUUAUUUUCCGCGCAUCUUUGCUUGGACGAGUUUGUCGUGUUCUUAUUAUAAACAAAUAGAAAAACGGCAAAAGUCUCACACAAAUGGGGGUUACAUUACUUCGCUCAAUCUUCGGUCUCUGUGCCGUCUCAUCUUCAUCAAGAGUAACUGAUUCCUACUGUUCAACGAAGUCAUAUCUCCGACGACGCCGGACCUCCGCCUCGAAGCAACGACUCACGGAGAUCAAAUCCGUAACAUCCACUCCUCCUCCUCCUUCUAGGGGUAUUCGACGGAGACGGAAGAAUAAAGAUGAAAACGUGGUGCACAAUCCGUAUUCGAAGAUGGAGAUUUGCGAAAAAGCUUGUUGGAUUUUUUGGAAGAAGCGAGAGAUUUCGUUGGGGAUGGAGGAGGUCCACCUCGUUGGUUCUCUCCGUUGGAAUGCAGAGCUCAAGCGCCAAACUCUCCUCUCCUCCUCUUUUUACCUGGUUCGUCGUAUAAAACUUCUUUCGCCUUUCUAUCGUAAUAUGAAUGAAUGUGGUUCCCGAUGGGAUAACUUGAUUACACUUCAAACAAGGUUGUUAUACACGUGUAACCACUUGGAUUCUUGGGCAUUGGUCCGGGUGCUUUAGUUAGGGUGAGUUUGCGGUAACAUGCAAAGAGCAUGCUCACCUCCGGAUUAGUCGGACUUGACCUAGACACGAUACCGAUAAUUCAGUUUGGUUGAGUUGGGAUAGUUUCUACGGAUUUGAAGUUUUAUUUCAUUUCCAUGGAACACUGAAAUGUUAAGUCUUUUCAAGUUAACAAAACUGAGAAAACUAAAACUUGCAGGGAUCGAUGGUACUGGACUAGGUCUCAUUCGUCAUCACAAGAAACUUGGGGAGUAAGUAAUGUUUUAUUCAUUUCCUUUUAAGUUUCUAUUAGCUUUUCCAUUUUUUUAACAUUCCCUGUAUCUAAAAGAGUAUGGUUUCUCUGUUUUUGUAACUUUGAUUUUAGGUAGUUUAAUUUUGAAGUAUUGGCAUGUUAAGGGAUCUUUAUUUUUAAAGUUUUUGUAUUUGAAUAGGAUUUUUGAUAUAUGGUGCCUUCACAUUCCCGUCAGUGAUCGUACUCCAUUUAAAGGUGCCUUUAUAACCCCCUUGUAAAGUACCAAAAUGGCUAUUUAACUGAGAAGAUAGCUAAUCCCGUUUAAACCUUUUUGUGUGUGUUUAGACUUGGUGAAGCUUAUUGAGAGGACAGUUAAGUCGGAGAACUACCGUUUCCCAAAUAGACCAAUAUAUUUAGUUGGAGAAUCUAUUGGAGCAUGUCUUGCGUUAGAUGUUGCAGCCAGGAAUCCCAACGUUGAUCUUGCUCUGAUCUUGGUUAAUCCAGGUACACAAGCUAGGUCUGCGGGAUUCUUAUUUUGUCGCAAAAGAUAACAAAAUAUGUACAUCUUUGUUCAUCAUAGACAUUAAUUAAUUUUCGCAGCCACACAUGUCAACAACUUCAUGUCAAAACCUCUAUUAGGAAUGCUUAAUGUUUUACCUGAUGGAAUUCCCACACUAUGGGAAGACGUAUUUGGUUUUAAGCAAGGUACUUUUAUUCCCUUAUCAUAUUUUAUCUUGAAAUACAAGCUUGAGGUCCAAGUUGGAUCUCUAUAAUGGUUUUGGCAUCUUGUUGAUUUUACUUAGAAAGCAGUGACGGCUGCAAAAUUUUAUAUAAUAUCAGUUCCUUGUAGAUGGAGAACUUAUUAAAACAUCAAAAACUUGUGUGUCUUCUUUGUUCCCGGGGCUUUAUCAUGUAGGCGCUCCAUUGACUGGAAUAUUAGAAGCUAUGUCAAAUGAAUUUUCCGUCCAGCGAAUGGGCGGAGUGGGUGGAGGGAUGCUAAGAGAUCUCUUUGCAGUUUCAGCUAAUCUUCCAGUAAGUGUUCCUUCUUAGGAACUCAUGAUUUAUAGUUUAUAGUCUAUACAUUUUCAGUUUCACUUAUCAAGUUCUUAAGUAAUGCGAUCAACACCUUGAAAAUUAUAUUUGUAGACUCUGAGUAGGAUGUUCUCUAAGGACACACUCCUUUGGAAGCUUGAAAUGCUAAAGUCUGCUAUUGCUUCUGUAAAUUCUCACAUAUACUCAGUUAAAGCUGAAACACUGAUACUUCCAAGGUCCAAUAAUUUUCUUUGUUUUAGAAAUUAUGAAUCUCUUUUACUUUUUUCAAAGAGAUGUUAUAGCUUGGAGCAUAAGUGUAAUGUGAUUAUGACUAUCUCAGUGGACGUGAUCAAUGGCUGCUUAAUGAGGAAGACAUUGUCAGAUACUCGCGAACGUUGCCAAAUUGUAUUGUACGUAAGCUUGAUGACAAUGGACAGUUUCCUCUUUUGGUAAGUGAUCUCUCUUCAUCCAAUACUUAGGGUUUAAUAUUGAUACUACUAUUAAAUAGGUUCUUGAAAUCUCUAUAUAUCCUACACUUCAAUUAUCUCUCUUUUACAUCUCAUGUUAGGAGGACAGCUUAGAUCUGGCUACUAUCAUCAAGCUUACUUGUUUUUAUCGCCGUGGGAAGUCACAUGAUUACGUUUCGGAUUACAUUAAACCUACCCCUUUUGAGUUACAACAACUAUUAGACGAGCACCGGUAAAUGCCUUACUAAUUGCUAUAUCUUAGUUUUUCUAUAUGUAUAUAGCAAAAGAAAUAAAAGGUUAUAGUAAAUACUGAAUGGAAUAUUCCGCGGUGCAGAUUGCUAAUGGAUGCUAUUUCACCUGUAAUGCUAUCAACUCUAGAAGACGGUACAAUUGUCAGGAGCCUCGAAGGAUAACCUUCGCAAGGGCCGGUUGUGUACGUUGGAUAUCACAUGAUAUUGGGGUUUGAGUUGGCUCCAAUGGUAGGUCUACUCUUAAAAGAGAGGAAUAUUCACAUGCGUGGUUUGACACAUCCGAUGGUAUUUAUGUAUAUCCAAGACUCGUUAGUCGACCCGAAGAUGUUUGACAAAUAUAAGUUAAUGGGUGGAGUACCUGUCUCCAAUAUGAAUUUCUACAAACUACUGCGUGAAAAGGCUCAUGUGCUUUUGUAUCCUGGAGGUGUCCGCGAAGCUUUGCAUAGAAAGGUUAUGUUAUAAUUAAUAUAUUGUUGCGUGGUGACCUUUUUCGGUUUCUACAAUUUUGGAUAUUAGUGUUUUGGAGGUUAACAUGUAAAGAGAGACUUCACAGGGUGAAGAAUACAAGCUGUUUUGGCCAGAACAAUCCGAGUUUGUGAGAGUUGCAUCUAAAUUUGGAGCGAAAAUCGUUCCUUUCGGUGUUGUUGGAGAAGACGACAUCUUUAAUGUAAGUAUUCUCUACACAAAUAUUAAGAUCUACACUAUUUCAUUUCCUUCAUGUAACUAUUUAUCACAUAUGCAUUAUUAACCCCAUUCAAAUUUCUACUUACUCGAGAUUCUCGGCCUUUACCAAGAUUGUUGCGUUAUUCAACAUCUUAAAUGUGCGUUCAGCGAACCUCGGUUUCGAGUAACUUUGGCUUGAGACAUUGGCUGAUUUUCAGAUUGUAUUGGACUCCAAUGAUCAAAGGAACAUCCCUAUCCUAAAAGAUUUAAUGGAAAAAGCAACAAAGGACGCUGGCAACCUAAGGUGUUUUAUGUUUGAUCACACUAUAUAUAUUCUCAUUUAUAAACACAUAUGUGAUUUUGAACGUCAUAAUUGUCAGGGAAGGAGACGAAAGCGAAUUGGGAAACCAAGAUUGCUAUAAUCCCAGGACUUGUACCUAAAAUUCCAGGGCGGUUCUACUAUUACUUUGGCAAACCAAUAGACUUAGCAGGUAUCUAUAUAAUCUAAGUGUAUGCUCUCUACAUCAAAUCACUGACCUCAUUACUUGCAAUAAUGGCGGGGUUUUUUUUCCAUGGCAGGUAAGGAGAAGGAGCUGAAAGACAAAGAAAAGGCACAAGAGGUUUACUUGCAAGCAAAGUCUGAGGUCGAACAAUGCAUUGCAUACUUAAAAAUGAAAAGAGAGUGUGAUCCUUACAGACAAUUGUUGCCAAGGAUGAUGUAUCAAGCCUCACAUGGUUGGUCUUGUGAAAUCCCAACGUUUGAUCUCUAACUUAUACUGUGGCUAUAUAUGUUAUAGACAUCUAAUCAUAUGAUGUUUAGAGGUUCUAAGAUUCUUUAGAGAUCUAAAGAUCUUUUAUUUGUUCAUCGAAAAUAAGACAAGAUUAUUUAACUGAAUGUACAUGACAUGAAUCUAUCUAUUACUUUCGUAAGAUUACAAGUUUUUAUUUAUGUUUUGAAUGUAAUGUUAAACUAGACUCAAAUAAAUAUUACCACAAAUCUGACAUUCUUUUGAAAAAUCUGGCAUGCUUUGGAAAAUAUGGCAUUCUUAUAUCAAGUGUGAGAUAUUCUUUUGAAAAAUCUGACAUCUUUUGAAAAAUAUGACAUGAUUACAUCAAGUGUGACUGUGACAUUCUUUAGAAAUAUAUGUGACAUAACUCUUUUGAAAAAUCUGACAUUCUUUUGAAAAAUAUGUAUCAUAAGUUUUUUUAGUACACCAAGUGUGACAUAUAUUCUUUUGAAAAGUCUGAAAAUAUUCUAAGAAUUUGAGACUUUAGUUUCCAGAGUCAAACCAAACUUGGAGGCCUUUACAUGCAUCUCUUAUCACCAGUCGCUCGGAUUUAUGAAAGUUAUAAUGAAUGCAGUCGUAUGUAAUCUUUCUUUAGGAUCAAACAACAAUUUCAAUUACUCUGUCUAAAAUUCUUGAUUUACAUGCGAUCAAGGUAUACUGUAUAUAGGUAAUUUGUUAAAAAUGCAAAACUCACAACCGAAGAAGAUUUAUGUUAUUUUGGUUCUUAAAGUACGUAGAUAGUUUUCUAAAAUCAAAUUAAAAAUCUAAGAAAAUAUACAACGUUAAGAAAGAAAAAACAAAGACACACACACACAUACAUGUGAACACCCUCCCGAUUGGAGUUAAAACUAAUUUAAGUUUCGAAAUUAAAACAAGAUCCAAAAGGUCACUGUUGUUGCGGUCUUUACAUCCAAAAAAUGUAUUUAUUUGUGCUCUACUCUUUUAAAUACAACAGGAGGUGUGCAAUAUGGACUUUCUCAAUUAUGUUGUAUCCUACCUAUAUAAUGAAAUAAAAUCCAACGGAAGAAGGCCAUUAAUUCUCCUCCACGUGCGUUAUGUCUUUUAUUUGUUUUCUAUGGGGCUCUAUUAUGUUUGGUCAGCGCAACCUAAUUAUUAUUUUUUUGUAUCAUCAAACAGUUGUGUUUUUAUUCUUCCACGAUAGUUCAAUCUUGUUUUGUGUUUUUAUUCAUCAAAGAUUCAAUUAUCUUUUAAACACCUAAUUUUCAUACAAAAUAUAACUUUUUUUUUUAUAAGAUGAUAAGACUUUUGGUAUUCCUUCUAUUAUAAUUGUGAUUCCACUCUUGUGUAUUGUAAUUUAAAAACUUAAAAUUUUAUAUUUUAGACUAAUAUAUCGUCAAUAUUAACCACUUCAAAUAUUUAUUAUAAAAUCUACUUCGGCAUUUUCAAACGUACCCACUUCCGAUUCUAUGCAGUUUAACUUAUUACACUAAUUUUUAUUUUGAUGUGUUUUUAUUUAUUAUGAAAUUAUUACAAUAAUCUAGUAAAGUUAAAUUAUAAUUCACCAAAAGUUUGCGGUUGCCAAAUAUUCUUCAUUAUUAUUAUUUUUCAUAUCUCAAACAAAGUAGUUAUGCAACCUUGCUUAAAAUAUAUGAUCCCAUAAAUUUUCAAAACCGGUUUUAUAUGCAAAGUACAUGUCAAAACGUUAUCUUAUUUACAUCCAUUUACUAAUCAAAUAUCUAUUUUACCACAAAAGGUGUGUUUUAUACCCUAUCAUGUUUUACUCUUGAGAUAUGUUCUUUGACACCACCCACAAAAUAUCUCUACGAAAUACGAAGCCACUAUAUGUCUCUUUAAUUUCACUUUUUAUAGUUUUUUUCACCGCUAAAAUUGUUGACUAAAAAAUAUAUUGCAUAAAAAUAAUUGAUAAUAUAUUUAUAAGAAAAACUAUGAUAAGAAAAAAUAUAAUCGGUUGAAAUGAGUCAUGACUAACAAUAAUUAAAGGUUAGGAAAUUAAAAGAAAAUAAAUUCUGAAAUAACUAAAAAAAAAAAAAUAGAAGAUGAUGAUAUAUGGAUCCCUAUACUAAUAUUUUGGAAGUACAUUGAAAAACUAACUUUCAAAGACCCAAUUAAUUAAGCUCAUUAAGGAUAAACAUGUUAAAUACUAACUUAUGGACAUUAAUUAAAUUAAAAAUUAUAAAACGAAAAUAAAUUGAUGACAAAAAAAAAACUAUGAAUUUUCUUAUUAGGAUUUGUAAUCUACUUUCUUGAAAAAAAUUGAAGUUUACUGACGGCUUCCUUUUUUUGGAAACUCCAAAAUAACAAAACAUAUGAAGAAGUUUUGGAAUAGCCUUUGACUCAACAACUUUAACAAUAGAAAGAAAACAUGUUUAAUUAAUGUUCAUGCACUUCGUCUCGGCUGCCCCUUGUGGCCUGUGGGGUUGCCGGGUUGGCUUAGCUUGAGACGACCCAAUACUGAAUUUGUUAGCUCGGUCAGUGAAGUCUACAUGCAUGAUACAAAAAGAUUGACUAGUGUUUAAGUUUUUUUUUUUUUUUUUUUUUUUUUUCAUAAAUGGUAGUGUCUCAUAUUAGAAAUGGUAGUUUGAAAAGUAUUCAGUUUGUUUGUUCACUUUGGAUUAUUUGAUUUUGGUUUUGUUAAUUGAAUCAGUUUUGUUUGAAAAGUAUUCACUUUUGAAAAGUGUUCACUUUAAAAAGUUUUGUUUGAAAAGUGUUCACUUUGAAAAGUAUUCUUUGAGAAGUGCUCAGUUUUGGUUUGUCCACUUACGAUUAUUAUUCACAAGCUACAGCGGAUAGUAGUGACUAGUGACUUAUGACUUUGAAUAAAGAAUUUCCCUCUAAAGGAAUGAAUACAUUAUAAAUAGAUUAUUAACCUAAGCUUGAUAGAGAAGACAGAACAAAAAAAAACACAAGAACAGGGCAAGGAAAAUGUCGGUUUUCCUCUGUUUCCUCGUCCUCUUACCCCUGAUCUUAAUCUUCUUGAACGUUUUGAAACCUUCGAAAUAUAAGCUUCCUCCGGGUCCAAAGAAGCUUCCCAUCAUCGGAAACUUACACCAACGCAGGACACUACAUCCGAGGAAUCGCCGUAAUCUCGCCGAAAUGUAUGGACCAGUGGCGCUUCUCCAAUACGGAUUCGUCCCCGUGGUCGCGAUCUCUUCGAAAGAAGCAGCAGAGGAAGUGCUAAAGAUCAACGAUCUUGAGUGUUGUAGUCGACCAGAGGCGGCCGGAAUGAGAGCAACUUUUUACAACUUCAAAGACAUCGGGAUGGCACCCUUCGGUGACGAGUGGAGUCUGAUGCGGAAGCUCUCGGUGGUCGAGCUCUUCAGCGUGAAAAAGCUUCAAUCUUUCAAGUAUAUCAUAGAGGAAGAGAAUAACUUGUGUGUCAAGAAACUCUCUGAGUUUGCUACGAGACAAUCUCCGGUGAAUCUUGAGAGAGCCAUUUUCACUUUAGUCGGAAAUAUAGUGUGUCGUAUCGGGUACGGGAUAAAUCUCUAUGAGUGUGAUUUCUUUGAAGCUGAUAGAGUCGUGGAUCUUGUGCUAAAGGCUGAAGCGGUCAUAAGAGAAACUGUGUUCUCUGAUUUCUUUCCCGGAAGAAUCGGUAGGUUCAUCGACUGUAUCUCCGGUCAGAACAGGAGAUUGAAGAAUAAUUUCUCGGUAGUAGACACUUUCUUUCAGAAUGUUCUUAACGAGCAUCUUAAGCCUGGAAGAGAGAGCUCUACUAUUGUUGACUUGAUGAUCGAUAUGAAGAAGAAGCAAGAGAACGAUGGAGAUGCUCUCAAGUUCACCACUGAUCAUCUCAAAGGAAUGAUCUCGGUAAGCCUUUAGUCUUUUUCAAGUUAUAUAUAUUCCACAGUGGUUAAAAAAUCUUGCAACAACAUACCAAUAUAUUUGUGACUUUGUGUUUAUGUCAGGACAUAUUUGUAGCAGGGAUUGGUGGAGUCGCUGGCAUAACACUAUGGGGAAUGACCGAGCUGAUCAGAAACCCAAGAGUGAUGAAGAAAGUGCAAGACGAGAUUCGGACAACACUUGGGGACAAGAAGGAGAGAAUCAAAGAAGAAGAUCUAAACCAACUUCACUACUUUAAGCUCGUGGUCAAGGAGACAUUAAGGUUACAUCCAACAACUCCACUCUUGCUCCCAAGACAGACAAUGUCUCAUAUCAAGAUUCAAGGCUACGAUGUUCCUGCGAAAACACAGAUCUUAGUCAACGUUUAUGCGAUGGGUCGUGAUCCAAAACUCUGGGAAAACGCAGAUGAGUUUAACCCUGACAGGUUUCUCGACAGUUCCGUUGAUUUUAAAGGAAAAAACUACGAGUUUAUACCGUUUGGAUCUGGUAGGAGAAUAUGUCCAGGGAUGACAAUGGGUACCAUACUUGUUGAGAUGGCAUUGUUGAAUUUGCUUUACUUCUUCGAUUGGGGAUUGGCGAAGCAGGAGGAAGCCAAAGAGAUCAUCAAUGGGGAAGAAAAUUUUCUAGCCUUCUUUCAAGUUCUUCACCACUGAAUAUAUGGUUUGGUUCCUAUCAAAAAAAAUAUAUAUAUAUGGUUUUGUUAUGUACACUAGUUUCUAAGAUAAUAAAUGAAAAUUGUAUCUGCUUUUGAUUUAGUUUCAAUAAAAAUAAAAAGUGAUGAUCCAGUUGGAGUCAGCUUCUAAAUAUCUGUAUUGUUAAUGGUGGAACAUUAUAUCCAUAUUUUUAAUUUCAUAAUUAAUGUUAAAAUCUUUCACUUGUGUUUGGCUAUAUGAUAUUUGAUAUAGUAGAGAGAAUUAUUUGUAAAGUUGUUUAGAUAUGGAUAUAAGAAAUGGCAUUAAUUGUAAUUCUUUUGAAAAUGAAGAUUUAUUUCAAAUUUUCACUUCAAAAAUACUAAUAUAGAUUAAAAUUGUGCUACAAAAAUGGUCAUUAUAUCACAUAAUACACACUAUGAUAUGUGAAUAUAUAAUACCAUAUUUAAACAAUGUUAUCAUGGUCACCCUAUUAUAGCUCCAACAAAUACAUCCUAUACUAUUAUUUGGAAAGUACAUAAUAAAAAAUAACCUUAUUUUUUGUAAGUAAUUACAUAGGUAUGCCAUUAGAAAUAAAAUUUUAAAGAGUUAAUUAAUUUAAUUUAAUUAGAAAAACGAAAAACAUUAUUAAUUUCCAAAAAAGUAACCAAUCAAUAUCAACAUAUAAGAUUUGAUAUCUAAAUUUUAAUUAAUUUAAUUUAGUUAGAAAAAUAAAAUACAUUAUUAAUUUCCAAAAAAGUAACCAACUAAAAUCAACAAAUUAGAUUUGAUAUCUAAAUUAACAUGUUAAUUUUUUAUUAAUUAUUAUACUUCACCUCUCAUCUUUAUAUGAUUCUAUUUUUGCGAAAGAAAUAAUAUCAUCAUAUCAUCAGUAUAAAAAAAUAAUUAGAGUUUUUUCGCAUAUUCCAUGAUUUGAAUUUUUAAAAACGAAUAGAAACUGUUCAAUACAUGAAAAUAUAUUAUAACGGGUCAAAAAUAGAUUUAAGAAAACUUUUGACUGAGUAACGGGUCAUAAUUUGAAUAUUUAUAUUUAAUUUCAUACAUAUUAUUUUGAAAAUUUAUAAUCUUAUAUACUAUAAUAAUUAAUAACAUAUUAGAUUUUUUUUUAUGUGUAUGAUGUAAUUUAAUUUUUAGUACAAGCUGGAAAAUCCUACAAUUGACGGGUUUAGAUCGAUAUGAAUACAAGAUGGUAUACUACAGGUGAAACGCUAAAAUUAACAAUCAAAAUACAAGUGUAUAAUCUUAAAACACUAAACAAUAUAAAUAAUAUCAACAAAACAUAUACAACUCGCAGUGUACUAUACAUUUAAAAUCAAAUAAAAUAAUAUCAUAUAUUUAUAAAUCAUCUUUACAAAAAAUGUUUUUAGUUUAGCUAAAAUAUAAGUCUACCUGCGGUAUACCGCGGGUUAAUAUCUAGUUGUUUAUGAAAACGGUAUCACAACAAUUUUUUAUAAGGCAUCAUAUUUAGAUGUUCUAAGAUUCUUUAGAGAUUUAAGAUCUUUAUUUGUCCAUGGAAAAUAAGACGAGAUUAUUUAGUUGAAUGUUCAUGAGCCUAUCUAUUAUUCCGGAAGGUGUCAAGUUUAACUAACUUGAGUAUAAAGGUUUUAUGAUUCUAGUCAUAUGUGAUGUGGCUCUAGCAGCACAAGUAUUUCAACUAUACUGUUUGAAAUAAUGGAUUCUUCAGGUACAUGUUGAAGGUAGAGAGGUAAAAUUUUCAUUGUAAAACUCACAACCGAAGAAGAGCAAAUUACACCUUCAAAAUACACAACGUUAAAAAAAAAAUGACAUGUACGUAAGUUUGUAAAUUUUGUUUUGUUUUGUAGAAAUUUCAGAAGACGAAUCUUGCACGUCUAAAUUUGUAUCUAAAAUUAUAACAAGAUCCAAAAGGUCACUAUUGUUGGUGUUUAUAAAUGCUUUCUUUUCAUUUUUGCUCUAAACUCUCUAAAAUACAUGAGGUGGUAAAUAUGGACUUUUAGUCUAAACUAGAUACACACAGAUGCGAACAAAACUAUCUCAAUUAUGCUGGAGUUUUGCCUUUCCUAAACUUUGUUAUAGAUUUUCUAGAUGUUAGACACAAAUAAGAUAAUAUCCUCUAAUAGUAUAUGUCUUCUGUUUCCAUUAGCAUUAUUAUUACCAAACCUUCAUUUAUUCCCUGUUGAGUUUUGAUCCAAUUUUUCCUGUUUCUUUUUAAUCUAUAAUAGUCCUUUUUAUUUAUCUAUCUAAAGAGAAUUCUCAUAGUGGCAGCAAGUAAGGAUUAUUUAGUUUAUUGUUAUACUUAAAAGUGUAAAGUAUAAUAAUUUAAGUCGAUCGAACCAGGGCUUAGAUUGAUGUCGGCUGGUAGAUUAUAGUGUCCCACGUCAGUUGUCAUUUGUAAGGUUGCAAUUCAUUUAAAAUUUGAAAAAUUGAUAUUACCAUACACACAUUCUAUGCAUAAUGUGCAUUAUCAUUUUUUGGACAACGAUGUUAUUACUUUGCUAGUAUAUUGUUCUAAUUAAUCAAUCAGUUUACAACUUUGACUAGCCAUACAAGAAUAUUGACUUAUCAUUAACUUGACGAUUUCUUACUUCAUAAAAAUUAAUUAGUCAAACGAAUAUCUAUUUCUUAAUUUGUAAAUUGUUUGGUAAAUUCUCUAAUAUUUAUACUGUUUUCUAAGAUUACAAACAACUCUCUUAUUUUCAUGCAUGAUUUACACGUGAAUAAGUAACAACAACAUAGGUCCGCAAUGAUACCCAAAGCAUUUCCUGACCAUUCACACCAUUCAGGUCUAGUACUUGUGCUCUUAUUCAAUCAUAUAUGUUAUCACUAGAUUUGUUUCUUUAUUUAUCCCUUUUAAUCAAAUUGUUCACCAGUUUCUACGGCUCAAAAACCAAAAAAAAUCAUAACACAUGACACAUGU
rnacentral:lncRNA from 1 species